GGUGAUUCUGAAACCAUUGGUGGUCUCGAAUUUCACGAAUUGUGAUUCUCUUCAUGGGAUCAACAAGGUGCAUUCUUGGGAUCAAAUCCUUUGCAAGACCAGAUAAAUGACUUGGAAGGAUAUAGUUACCUCCCUGGAAUACCAAACAAGGGUAGUCAAAUCUCCAGACAUAAAAUGAAUGCUAAAUUCCAACUAAUCUACAAAAGGUACACACUUGUCAGAUCCAACUUAAGAGCAUCUCCAACAGCCGCAGAACGCGCGGCGCUCUAAAAAUGCGUUUGCAGCGCGCCGUUCGCCUAUUUUGGCGCGGCGGGGAGCGCUGGCUCCAGCGGCCGCUCUAAACUUAGCGCACGCGCUUAGCUCCAGCAGAUGCGCUAAAAUGCAGCGCGCGCGCUCUCGCACAAACGACAUGUGCACUCCGAACUUUAAUAUAAAAUACAUAUGCAUAGAUAAAAAUAGAUAAAAAAGGAUACAUAUAUAUUUCACAAUGCGUACGUAGUUCAUCCAUAGCAUAGAUUGAUAAGAAACUAGUCCAAUAUGGUAAAAAAAACUACGGUACACUAGAAUCUACUCCGAGUCAUCAUUCUCGCUGGUGUUGUCUGAGGUAUCGAGCCGUGCGUCUUCCCAACGUUCAUCGUCUGAGCCAAAGAACGACUCGCCACCUGCAUUAACGAGAUCAAUCUGCGAUAUGGCCAGCGCCUUCCGCCGACGCCUGCCCGCCCGCUCCGUGCAGCGCCUUGCCGUCCUCUCCGCCCAGAAGGCAUUCUCGGCGGUGAUGUCCUGCGGGUAGCGCCGGCGCCAAACCGCCAUGACGUGCUCGUCCUGCUCGGCGAGGAGGAGGCGGCGCUACCGCCGACGGUGAUCCUCCCGGUCCUGUUCUGUUAGAAGACGAGGGGGCGGGCGACGGCCUGCGCCUGCUCGCACGUGUGGACGUCGUGGAAGUUCAUCUGCGCGCGAGGCCUCUGGAGGCGCCACGCUGCCGCGUCAUACGCGCAGGCGGCCUCGUGCGCACACUCGAACGUGCCGAGGCCGACGCGGACAUCGCCGGAAUGAAUCUCCACAUAGAAGGCGCCGAAGGGGCGCUCGCGGACGCCGCGGUGGCCCGAAGAUCCCCGGCGGCGCGGCGGUGGCGCGUCGGUGGCGGGGCGAAGAAGCAGCAGAGGAAGUAGAAGAAGCGGGGAGACCGCGCUUGGCAGUGUGGAAGCGAUUGGAGGCCGUGUGGCGAGCGCCGCAAUUUAUAGGCGCGCCGGAAGCGGUGCGCCAAAUCUAGCGCGCAACCCCCUGCUUUCUCCCGUGUGUGCGCAAUCGUUUCCCGCGCGCACUAAUUUUCCGCCUCCGCAGGAGCGCGCAAAAAUAUCUCCCGCGCGCGUCUUUUGUCGCCGUUGUUGGAGAUCCUCUAAUAUACAUAUGUUCUGCCUCACCUUUAUCUUUUUGAACAGGCUGGGAGUAUAUUCAUCAUCAAAUGGAACAAACACACAGAAGAACAUAAAGUAUCACCCGACAGCUCCAAACCUCAACCACAUGUCCAACAUACACUUCACCUGAGAUAACCUGCGCAGAAACACUCGCUAAGCUAUUAACGCAGACGAUGUGUGUGAAGAAGCAUGAGGAUAAAGACGCAGACGAUGUGUGUGAAGAAGCAUGAGGAUAAAGACGCAAGUAAUAGAAAUAAGUGAAUACCUCUGGUGCAGCAUAGUUUGUACUCUCGCAGCUUGUAUUAAAAAAAUGGCCAUCAUGCAUGACAUUACUUAACCCAAAGUCAACAAGUUUCACAUUAUAUUUGGAAUCAAGUAACAGGGUUUUCUGGCUUUACAUUGUUAGACAACAAUAUGUUUGUCGUGAAUUGCCCCAUGGGCUGCACCUCUCACUAGUAUAAAAUGGACCAUUUGUCCCUGCUCCAGAGGCCCAUUAGUCCCGGUUCUGGAACUGGGACUAAAGGGUCGAGACUAAAGCCCAACACCUUUAGUCCCGGUUCGCUUACGAACCGGGACAGAUGGUGCUCCAAGUGGCCGCUGUGGUGAGCCCAGGCAGGAGGGUCUUUAGUCCUGGUUGGUAACACCAACCGGGACCAAAUGGCAUCCACGCGUCAGCAGCUCAGGAGCAGGGUUUUUUGUUUUUUUUGAAGGGNNNNNNNNNNNNNNNNNNNNNNNNNNNNNNNNNNNNNNNNNNNNNNNNNNNNNNNNNNNNNNNNNNNNNNNNNNNNNNNNNNNNNNNNNNNNNNNNNNNNNNNNNNNNNNNNNNNNNNNNNNNNNNNNNNNNNNNNNNNNNNNNNNNNNNNNNNNNNNNNNNNNNNNNNNNNNNNNNNNNNNNNNNNNNNNNNNNNNNNNNNNNNNNNNNNNNNNNNNNNNNNNNNNNNNNNNNNNNNNNNNNNNNNNNNNNNNNNNNNNNNNNNNNNNNNNNNNNNNNNNNNNNNNNNNNNNNNNNNNNNNNNNNNNNNNNNNNNNNNNNNNNNNNNNNNGGUUAAGUUAGGGGUUUCAUAUAUUGUGUUAGCUAGCUGAUAGCUAGAGACAAGUGACCUCUCUUAUCUCUGUGCUUGGUCGACGCUAGCUACCAUACGUAUAGAGAGAACUCGACACGCUAGCUAGUAAGCAAAUGAAGGAACCAUUAAGUACACAAGAUCGUCAUGAACAUAUGCAGGGAGAAGUGAUCGACCUCUCUUUCUCCGCGAGAUUGGUCGAACAACAAGGUUCCGUAUAUCUAUCCGACUCUACUAGCUACAUAUAUACAAUAUAAGAUCUCUUACAAACCCUAACAUCUAAGGUCUAUUUGAACUUCCACAUGGUAUUCUCCAUCUUUAUUUAUGACAUGGUCAAGAAAGAAUCCCGCCAAUUCCUCUUAAAUUGCUCGUAUAUAUGCGAUCAUGUAGUAGGAGUUCAUCCCGCAUCUUGCGCAUAUAAUUUAAAGAAGUGGGUCAAUACAUGUAUAUGAAUGAAACUCAACACAAAUGAUGGUAAUAAAAUAAAAUUUUGAAUUUUUUUCUACGUACAUCAAAAUCUUCUUUAGAGUAGCCCCGCUUAGAUUUCAUCGAGUUGUAGAUGAACUCGCAAACGUAGUAUCCACAAAAUUCAUUCUUGGCUUCCUGCCACAAGCACUUUACGACAAAUAGAUUUCAAUCAAACUGAUAAUCAAGCAUGCUUAAUAGCUAGAAUCAAUAGGAGAUGCGCGGAACUAGCUAGUAGUACUUACUUUCGUGUGUGUAAAUCGCAGCUCCUUCGACAAUGCCGGAACAAUGGCAGUGAACUAUUUCCAAACCCUGCCACACAAAGAGAAUAAUUACUUGAUAUCAGAAAAAAGGACAAAGUUGCCGAUAUGGUGCGAUAAUGAUCGAUUGAACUUACUUCUGGAAUAUAUCAGUCAUGUUCGCAUACUCCUCGGGACUUUUUCUUCUCGAGUCCAAGACAAUUACUAUUCCAGUUUCAAGCUUAAUCUCUAGCAAAAUAAAGUGAAAAUUGUGCACGCAUGCAUAACUCAGUUACAUUACUAUAAUUAACCUCGAGUAAGGGAAACCGAAUAUGCACAAGACAGUAACUGAAAGUGCAACUAACCACUGGGUGGUUUUGGUAAUUCUUAGCAACAUAUAAUUCAUUGAACUAAUACUAUUUCAAGAUGAUAAUUUGAGAAAGUUCAAUGAUUGGCAUGGCAUGGACCCCUCAAAAUGCAAAGGACAUAUAUUGGCAACAAGCUCAAGACUCUAAAUUUUCUAUUUUAGUGAUCCAAGAUCACAUUGAGUCCAUAGGGAAGCCAAUACUAUCAAAAGGGGAUGAGGUGUUGCUUAAUGGGUUACUUGCUCAAAAUGCUUAGUGAUAUGCUCCAAAAUCCUCAACCACUUUCUCAUUUCCACAUAUGUCCUAAACCUAAAGUCAAAUUAGGCCCCAUCGAUUUGAUCUAUCCGGCGCCACCAAGUUUCACUUGACAUAGCCACUACCACAAACCCUAGUUACUUCGGUCUCACUGAUAGGGAUCUCGGUCUCACCGAGAUGGGAUUGCAAAGUCUCUGUUUCCUUUUUGUAACAUUUCAGUCUCACCGAAAUGAGCAAAUCGGUCCCACCGAGUCUUCAUUGCAAACUCCAUGUUUCCUUUUCAUAACACUUCGGUCCCAUCGAAGUUAGCGAAUCGGUCCCACCGAGUUUGCCUGACCAACCCUCUGUGUACCUAUUGCUGAAAUCGGUCCAACCGAGUUUACGCGAUCGGUCACACCGAGAUUACGUUAUGCCCUAACCCUAGCACAUCGGUCUCACCGAGAUAACUGUAUCGGUCCCAUAGAAGAUCCUAACGUUCACAUAUUUAGCUGGAUCGGUCUGACCCAGUUUGCUGAUUCGGUCCCACCGAGUUUGGGAAUCUGUGUGUAAUGGUUAUAUUUUGUGUGGAGGCUAUAUAUACCCCUCCACCCACUCUUCAUUCGUGGAGAGAGCCAUCAGAACGUACCUACACUUGCACUACUCAUUUUUUGACAGAGAACCACCUACUCAUGUGUUGUGACCAAGAUAUUCCAAUCCUACCAUAUGAAUCUUGAUCUCUAGCUUUCCCCAAGUUGCUUUCCACUCAAGUCAUCUUUCCACCAUAGCUAAAUCUGUGUGAGAGAGUUGAGUGUUCGGGAGACUAUCAUUUGAAGCACAAGAGCAAGGAGUUCGUCAACAACACAUCAUCUAUUACCUUUUGGAGAGUGGUGUCUCCUAGAUUGGUUAGGUGUCACUUGGGAGCCUCUGUCAAGAUUGUGGAGUUGAACCAAGGAGUUUGUAAGGUCAAGCAGAUCACCAACUUUGUGAAGAUCUACCCUAGUGAGGCAAGUCCUUCAUGGGCGAUGGCCAUGAUGGAUAGAAAAAGUUGCUUCUUCAUGGACCCUUUGUGGGUGGAGCCCUCUGUGGACUCGCGCAACCGUUACCCUCCGUGUGUUGAAGUCUCCAUCAACGUGGAUGUACGAUAGCACCACCUAUCGGAACCACGCCAAAAAUCUCCAUGUCAACAUUGCGUUUGCUCCCUCCAAACUCCCUCCAUUUACUUUCUUGCAAGUUGCAUGCUUUACUUUCUGCUGCCCAUAUACUCUUUGCAUGCUUGCUUGAAUUGUAUUGAGAUUGCUUGACUUGUGCUAAGUUGCUAAAAUCUGCCAAGAACUAAAUUGGGAAAAGGAUAAGUUUUUAUUUGGUCAAGUAAUCUAAUCACCCCCCCUCUAGACAUACUUUCGAUCCUACAAGUGGUAUCAGAGCUUUGGUCUCCAUUUGCCUUGAUUUCCAUAACUUGGUGAUCAUAGCCUUGGUUUCACAACCUAGGAGAGUAUGGCAUCUAGCAAGGGAAAUUACCACCGUAGAGGUCCUUACUUUGAUGGUACUAAUUUUGCUAGUUGGAAACAUAAGAUGAAAAUGCUUAUUCUUGGACAUAACCACACUGUUUGGGCUACUGUGUGUAUUGGCUUGCAAGGUGAAUUCUUUGAUCAGAGAGAACCAAACCAUGAAGCUACCACAGAAGAAUUGAAGAUGUUGCAAUAUAAUGCUCAAGCUUGUGAUAUCCUCUUCAAUGGACUGUGCUUCGAAGAACUCAACAAAAUCAGCCGCGUUGAGAAUGCAAAGUAAAUUUGGGAUACUUUGAUUGAUAUGCAUGAAGGUACCGACUCCAUCAAGGAAUCUAAGUUGGAUGUGCUUCAAAGUCAACUUGGCAAGUUCAAAAUGAAGGAGGGUGAAGGUGUCGCCGAAAUGUACUCUAGGCUUGCUCUCAUCACAAAUGAGAUUGCCGGCUUAGGAAGUGAAUAGAUGACCGACAAAUUCAUCAUCAAGAAGAUCUUGAGAGCCUUGGAUGGAAAAUAUGAUACCGUGUGCACAUUGAUCCAAAUGAUGCCAAAUUACAAAGAUCUCAAGCCAAUCGAAGUCAUUGGAAGAAUCAUUGCUCAUGAGAUGUCACUCGAGGACAAAGAAGAGCUUCAUAACAAGUCUAGUGGUGCUUACAAAGCCUCAUGUGAUGCUCCUACAUCAUUAAAUGAUAAACAAGCCUUUAAUGAAGAAUUGAGCUUAAUGGUGAAGAACUUCAACAAAUUAUACAACAGUAGAAGCAUGGAAAUAAGUUCCAAGUCAAGGUCCUACAAUGUCAAAAGAUCAUCUAGUCGUGAGCGAAACUGCUACAAUUGUGGAAGACCCAGACACUACUCCAAUGAGUGUACGGCUCCCUACAAAAGAAGAGAAGACUCCACCAGUAGAAAAAGCCCCAUUUGUCCCAGUUCAUGAGGCCCAUUUGUCCUGGUUGCAGAACCGGGACUAAAGGGUCGGUACUAAAUCCCAAUACCUUUAGUCCCGGUUCGCCCACCAACCGGGACAGAUGGGGCUCCAUGUGGCCGCUGCGGCUUGCCCAGGCAGGAGGGCCUUUUGUCCCGGUUAGUGCCACCAACCGGGACCAAAAGGCUUCCACGCGUUAGUAGUUCAGGGGAUGGGGUUUUUGUUUUUUUUCUGAAGGGGGGAGGGGGGUUGGGGGUAUUGGAGGUUUUGCAGGGUUAAUUUAGGGGUUUCAUAUGUUGUGUUAGCUAGCUAAUAGAGAUAAGUGUCCUCUCUUAUCUCCGUGCUUGGUCAACGCUACGUACUAUACGUAUAGAGAGGACUCGACACGCUAGCUAGCUAGUAAGCAAAUGAAGGAAACCAUUAAGUACAGAAGAUCAUCAUGAACAUAUACAGAGGGAAGUGAUCGACCUCUCCUUCUCCGAUAGAUUGGUCGAACAACAAGUUUUUGGAUAUCUAUCCGAUGCUACUGGCUACAUAUAUAUAUAUAUAUAUAUAUAAUAUAAUAUCUCUUACAAAAUCCCCUAACAUCUGAACUCAACUUCCACAUGGUAUUCUCCGUCUUUGUCGAUGACGUGGUCAAGAAAGAAUCCCGCCAAUUCCUCUUGAACUGCUCGUAUUCAAUCAUGUGGUAGGAGUUCAUCCCACAUCUGAGACAUCUAAUUUGAAGAAUGGGGUCAAUACAUAUAUAUGAAUGAAACUCAACACAAAUGAUGGUAAUAAAAUAAAAUUGUGAAUAUUAUUGCUUACGCACUUCAUAUUGUUGUUUAGAGUAGCCCUGCUCACAGACCAUGUGGCGGAUGAACUCGCAAAUGAGUAUCCACAGAAAUCAUUCCCGGGUUCCUGCCACAACCACUUUACAAGAAAUAGAGGUCAAUCAAACUGAUAAGCAAGAAUGCCAAAUGGUAUUGAUAAAACUAGCUAGAAUCAAUGGGAGAUGCGCGGAACUAGCUAGUAGUACUUACUUUUGGGUGGUUAAAUCGCACCUCCGCCGCCAGUCCCGGAGCUUGUGCGGUGAACUUUUUCCAAACCCUGCCAGACAAAGAAAACAAUUACUUGAUAUCAGGAAAUGAACAAAGUUGCCGAUAUGGUGCCAUAAUGAUCGAUUGAACUUACUUCUCGAGCAUUUUAGUCAUGGUCGCAUACUCCUCCAGAUUUUUUCGUUUCGAGUCUAUGACGGUUACUAGUCCCCGCUCAAGCUUAAUCUCUAGCAGAAUAAAGUGGAAGCGGCGCAUGCAUGCAUAAAUCAUCAAUUAUAUUACUAUAACCUCGAGUAAUAAGGGCAACCGAAUAUGCACAAGACAGUAACACUCACAUAUAUUCGUAAGGAAAGAGUAUUGUAUCUUUGUUUUGAUUUCGAAGUAACGAUGCGAGCAACUUGGCCUCGGUUAGUUUGGCAUCAAGUGUAACAUUCCAUUCAUCCAUGAGAUAUGUGUUAAUGAACCCAAUAUCACCUAUUUGUCUUUUCUUCGAUUCGGCGACCUUCAAUAUGCAUAAUAUAGUGAGGAUAAUUAUAUAUACAUGCAAUGAAAGAGCUGAGCUAUAUAUAGAGACUUCAUUAAUUACAAAGAAGUAGUACUUACAGAUAGUAGCAAGUGAUGAUUGUUUCAUCGUGGGCCUUUUGAUUGAAAAACUGGAAGAACUCCUCAUAUGGAACAAACAACAGAUCAAUUCCAAUGAGGUCGAGCUCCUCUUUAACUCUCAGCGUCAAAGUUUCCGCCCCAGACUUGCUGCAUAUGUCCAUGUACUAAUCAAGGAAUAUUCACAUCAUCUUUGUUAGAGGAGUACCAUGUUUGACGAGAGGCUUCCCGUGCCAGAAUUUUAAUGUGUCCACCUCCAUUAUAUCAAAAAGUUCUUCGUCGGGCAUGUAAUCUCCAGGAUUGGUACCGGGCAGCAUCCCCAGAAGAUUAGCGACGAUAUUGCUAGACACAUUGAGCGGGGGGCACGAUUGCUUCGCUUGUACGCCGAGCUGGGGAAUUUUUUCCCUCUUCUUCAUUCUGCUAGCCUUUGAUCAGUGCAAGUACUUACCGACCGCUCCACUUCCUUAUAUGUCCUUUUAAUGAUGCAGUCAUAUUUGGAUUGCGGCGGAGGCGGUGAUGGUCGCUGCAGGGCAUCCAAAGUGUGCUUCGCUUUCACCAGAUCUAUCUUCUCCUCCGGAGGUGGAUAUUUCUUAGCUUUUACCGAUUCAAAGAAGUCCCUCACUUGCCCUUCACAGAUCUUCUGGUUUUCCUCCUCGCUCCUCGCGUAUGGUAACUUCUCUAGAGGCUUGAGAGACGAUGGACCAAAUCUGUAUUGCCCCCCGCCUUUGGCUGUACUGCUAGACACCGGAGCAUCCGGAGCAGAUGCGGCUAUCUUGUUUCAUUGCUUAAGAGGCGGAGCAGCCAAAGGCGGACUACUACGACGCGCCGGAGCAGCCGGACCGGCAGCGUCUGUGUUCCGCCAUCGCGGUUGCUUACGAGGCGGUGAAGGAGGAGGCGGGCUGCUCGGACGCGCCGGAUCAGGCGGAGAAGGAGGCGGAGUACUGCUUCCCUCAUGCACCGGAGCAGGAGGCGGAGUGCCCUGAUCACUCGCCGGAGGAGGAGGAGGAGGAGGCAGAGGAGGCGGAGUGCCCAACUGACUCGUAGGAGGCGUGAAGUUCAGAAGCUUGAUGUGCUCCUUCCGCCAUAGACACGGAGUCUUCAGAGUAAGACCCAACUGAGUCUCCCCAUCAACUGUAGGGUGCUCAAGCUAACACCUCAUGUGCAUAGGAGGUGAGCUAGAGCACCACAAAGCCCUCCCCUCGCCGGCCCGAAAAAACAGAGCAGUGUGGAGUGCUCUGCUCGCCGGCGAGGGGGUAUAUAUAGGCACAUCAUUGGUCCCGGUCCGUGGCUUGGACUGGGAGUAAAGGACACCCUUUGUUCCUGGUUCAAGCCACCAACCGGGAGCAAUGGUGAUGGGCCAAGAGCUAAGCCCAUUGGUCCUGGUUCGCCCACCAACCAGGACCAAAGGGCCAGACGAACCGGGACCAAUGCCCCUAUGGGUCCCGGUUCAUGACUGAACUGGGACUAAUGGGCUUAUCUGGCAUGAACCAAAGCCCUUGUUUGUACUAGUGCUCACCUAAAAGAAGAAUCAAAAGGGAAGAAUCACCUCCAACAGAGAGAGAAGGAGUAGAGAUGAUUGCUAUGAACGAAGAACCUCUCGAAUAAGCAAGGAUUUGGAAAGGAAGGACAAGUCAUCAAGGAGCUACACAAAACAAAGACAUCAAGCUCAUGUUGGUGAAUGGGUAUCCAGUUCCAACUUCGACCAUCACUCCGAGAGAAGUUAUCACUCUGACUUCGAAUAUACUCAAGAUGAAGGUGUUGCCGGUCUAGCACUUGUGUCAACCAACUCCUAUAACAUAUUUGAUUCACCAAAUGAAGGAAUUUGGAGAUGCUUCAUGGCUAAAGGCCCCAAGGUAACACACCCCGAGUAUGUUGAUUUCAAUAGUGAUCUAGAUGACUUGCUAGGUGAUGACGAUUUACUUGUCACCAACUCUAGUGAUGAAUACUAUGAUGAAACGUCAAUUAAUCAUGCUAAUCAAGAUAAAAAGAAUGACAAUGAUAAGAAGGAGAUUGAGCGUCUAACUAAAGAACUAAACACUCUUAAGUUAGCUCAUGAAACUACUUUAGAAGAUCAUCGAGAACUUUUAAAAACUCAUGAGAAGUUACGCUUCGAAAAGCUCAAUCUUGAGCAUGAUCAUGGGUUCUUAAAGUCCAUCAAUGAUGAUCUUCAGAAGGAAAGUUCUUCUUACAUUGCCAAGCAUAUACUCUUGUCUACUUACAUGCCACAAGUAAAAUCUAGCAACAAGAACAAGAAAGAUUCUUCUUCUAGUAGUAACAAUAAUCAUCCUAAAUCCAAUAUUGUUGCUUCUAGUAGUUCUCUUGAUUCCACAAAUAAUUCUCUUAGCCAAGUUACACUUGAGCAAGAAAAUAGCUUAUUGAAGGGAAUCAUAGAGGAAAGUGUUGACAAAAGCCUUGCCAAAAGUAAGCAAUUUGAGGAAACUGUACGCAAGUAAGGAAGGCACUAGAAGAAUCAAGGUGUUGGUUUUGAACGAAAGUUCAAUGCCAAUGGAGUUGAGUGGGAAGAAGAUCAAUACCCCAAGACGAAGUUUGUUCCUUAACAAGAGAAUUAUGACCCUAGUUCCUUCAAGGGGACACAAGCUCAAGAUGAUCUUCCACCACAAGACCACAAGCUAAAAGGCAAGGACAAGCUUCAAGAAGAGAUUGAUGCAUUUGAAGAUGCUCUGAAGGCCUUGGUCAAGUGGGUUCCCAGGACUACAUCAAGUUCUACUUCAUCAAGUACAUCUACAACUCCAAGGAUUCCCAUCAAGAUGAUGUGGAUCCCGAAGAAGAAGAACUAGAAAGUUCUUGAGGGUGACUCCCCCAAUAUAUUUCACUCAUACUUACUUUGGCAAGAACAAGUGCAAACAACUUCCACAUCUUGCACUCGUUCAAGGAGUCACAAACCCUCUUGUUGGUAAGACAAGGGACAAGGUAACCUAAUGCUUUCACGGACAUCAUCAUGUGUGUGCUUCACUCUAUGUCUAUAUAUAUCUUUGUUUGUUCCUUGUGGGACUAACCCAUGUAGGUAUUGAAAGUGCAACUCACUCCAAUGGAUUGCCUCAAAUGAUCUACAUCAACAAUGAGCAUCCACAUCUUAGAUAUCUACAUGAAGUCAUCAUCGACAAAACCCAAGGUUAGUUGAUCCCUCUUAAGGGGGGAUGUCACAUCUAGGGGGAGCUUUGCUCUAGGAAUUGUGCUAAAGCAACUCUAAUGGUGUGAACACAACAAUGCUUUAUGUAAAAGUGGUAACCCCACUUGUGCAUAAACAAUGAGUAUGACCUAUGAUAAAAUGUUCUCAUUUGACUUCUAAGUCAAUAUACUCAUAUAUAGAUGACCUAGUCAUCGCCAAUUGCUUGAUAGAUGCUAGAGUGUUUGUGCAUGCUUUGCCACAUAUUUCAUUUGCUAUUUUAUUGUGUGAGCAUGUUGGUUGCAUAGCUUUCUCAUUCAAGGACAUCCAUUUGUUGCUUUGACUGUUUGGAGUUUCUUAUUUUUGCCAAAUGGAUGGACAAUAAUGCCUAAGAACUCCCUCUAGCUAUCUAUGCCUUUCUCUUCUCAAAUUAUAUUCAUGCUACAUCACAAAGUUUGAUCUAUGUCAAAUUCAAACCCUCUGUGUGAGGAGCACUUGGAGUCCCGUUUUGUCACAGACUUAAAACAUCCAAAACCUCUCUGUGUAUUUCGGUCUGACCGACUCCUCCAUUUCAGUCACACCAAUUUCACUCGGUUGAUCAAGUUUCAAUCUCAGUGGAACCAAUUAGAACACUUCGGUCUCACCGAGUUGCAGUAACCGCUUGCGAUUCUGUGUCUCGGUGCCACCAAGUUGUUCCACUCGGUCACACCGACAGUGUCAGGAUAUAUAUACUGACGGGCCAGAUUUUGGAAAUCACUGAUACGUCUCCAACAUAUCUAUAAUUUUUGACUGUUCCAUGCUAUUAUAUUAUCCCUUUUGGAUGUUUAUGGGCUUUAUUUUACACAUUUAUAUCAUUUUUUUGACUAACCUACUAACCGAAGGCCCAGCCCGUAUUGCUGUUUUUUUGCCUAUUUCAGUAUUACAAAGAAAAGGAAUAUCAAACGGAGUCCAAACGGAAUGAAACCUUCAGGAGCGUGAUUUUUGGAACGAACGUGAUCCAGAGGACUUGGAGUGCAAGUCAAGAAGCAGCCGAGGCUCCCACGAGAUAGGAGGGCGCCCCCCUAUAGGGCGCGCCCCCUGUCUCAUGGGCCCCUCGGGCGUCCACCGACGUACUUCUUCCUCCUAUAUAAGCCUAUGUACCCCGAAACAUCCAGGGAGCAUACGAAACACAAUUUCCACCACCGUAACCUUCUGUAUCCACGAGAUCCCAUCUUGGAGCCUUCGCCGGUGUUCUGCCGGAGGGGGAAUCGACCAUGGAGGGCUUCUACAUCAACAACAUAGCCCCUCCGAUGAGUUGUGAGUAGUUUACCUCAGACCUAUAGGCCCAUAGUUAUUAGCUAGAUGGCUUCUUCUCUCUUUUUGGAUCUCAAUACAAUGUUCUGAUCCCCCUCUCUCGUGGAGAUCUAUUCGAUGUUAACUCUUUUUGCGGUGUGUUUGUCGAGAUCCGAUGAAUUGUGGGUUUAUGAUCAAGUUUAUCUAUGAAUAAUAUUUGAAUCUUCUCUUAAUUAUUUUAUGUAUGAUUGAGUUAUCAUUGCAAGUCUCUUCGAAUUAUUAGUUUGCUUUGGCCUACUAGAUUGAUCUUUCUUGCCAUGGGAGAAGUGAUUAGCUUUGGGUUCAAUCUUGCGGUGUCCUUACCUAGUGACAGAAAGGGUUGCAAGGCAUGUAUUGUAUUGUUGCCAUCGAAGAUAACAAGAUGGGGUUUAUAUCAUAUUGCUUGAGUUUAUCCCUCUACAUCAUGUCAUCUUGCUUAAAGCGUUACUCUCUUCUUAUGAACUUAAUACUCUAGACGCAGGCAAGAGUCGGUCGAUGUGUGGAGUAAUAGUAGUAGAUGCAGGAAAGAGUCGGUCUACUUGUCACGGACGUGAUGCCUAUAUACAUAAUCAUGCCUAGAUAAUCUCACAAUUAUUCGCGUUUCUAUCAAUUGCUCGACAGUAAUUUGUUCACCCACUGUAAUACUUAUGCUAUCUUGAGAGAAGCCACUAGUGAAACCUAUGGCCCCCGGGUCUAUCUCUUAUCAUAUUUGCUUCCGAUCUAAUUUUAUUUGCAUCUUUACUUUUUUGCAUCUAUAUUAUAAAAUACCAAAAAUAUAUUUAUCUUAUCUUACUAUCUGUAUUAGAUCUCACUUCCGCAAGUGGCCGUGAAGGGAUUGACAACCCCUUUAUUGCGUUGGUUGCGAGUUCUUUGUUUGUUUGUGUAGGUGUGUGGGACUUUUGAGGAGCCUCCUACUAGAUUGAUACCUUGGUUCUCAAAAAUUGAGGGAAAUACUUACGCUACUUUGCUGCAUCACCCUUUCCUCUUCAAGGAAAACCAACGCAAGCUCAAGUCGUAGCAAGAAGGAUUUCUGGCGCCGUUGCCGGGGAGGUCUUCGCUCAAGUCAAGACAUACCAAGUACCCAUCACAAACUCAUCUCCCUCGCAUUUACAUUAUUUGCCAUUUGCCUCUCGUUUUCCUCUCCCCCACUUCACCCUUGCCGUUUUAUUCGCCCUCUCUUUCCCAAUCUCCUCCUCUCUUCCGCUUGCUUUUUUCUGCUUGCUUGUGUGUUGGAUUACUUGUUGCCAUGGCACAAGAUAAUACCAAAUUGUGUGAUUUCUCGAGUACUAAUAAUAAUGAUUUCCUUAGUACUCCGAUUGAUCCUCUUAAAGAUGUUGAGUCUUGUGAAAUCAAUACUGCUUUGCGGAAUCUUGUUAUGAAAGAUCAAUUCGCCGGCCUUCCUAGUGAAGAUGCCGCUACUCAUCUAAACAACUUUGUUGAUUUGUGGGAUAUGCAAAAGAACAAAUAUACGGAUAACGAUAUUGUUAAAUUGAAGUUAUUUCCAUUUUCACUUAGAGAUUGUGCUAAAGUUUGGUUUUCGUCUUUGCCCAAAAAUAGUAUUGAUUCUUGGAACAAGUGCAAAGAUGCUUUUAUCUCUAAGUAUUUUCCUCCCGCUAAGAUCAUCACUCUUAGGAACGAUAUUAUGAAUUUUAAACAACUUGAUCAUGAGCAUGUUUCCCAAUCUGGGGAAAGAAUGAAAUUGAUGCUUCGCAAUUGCCCUAAUCAUGGUUUGAAUUUAUGGAUGAUCAUACACAUUUUUUAUGCCGGUUUGAACUUUGCUUAUAGAUAUCUCUUAAAUUCGGCCGUGGGAGGCACGUUUAUGGAAAUCACAUUAGGAGAUGCUACAAAACUUCUUGAUAAUAUUAUGGCUAAUUAUUCUCAAUGGAACACCGAAAGAUCUUCCAGGAAAAAAGUGCAUGCUAUAGAAGAAAUCAAUGUUUUGACUGGAAAGAUGGAUGAACUUAUGAAGUUGUUUGCUACUAAAAAUACUCCUCUUGAUCCCAGUGAUAUGCCUUUGUCUUCUUUGAUUGAGAAUAAUAAUGAAUCUAUGGAUGUGAAUUUUGUUGGUAGGAAUAGUUUUGGAAACAAUGCUUAUAGAGGAAACUUUAAUGCUAGACCGUUCCCUAGUAAUUCCUCUAAUAGUUAUGGAAAUUCCUACAAUAAUGCUUAUGGUAAUUUUAGUAAGAUGCCCUCUGAUUUUGAGGAUAGUGUGAAAGAAUUUAUGAUUUCUCAAAAGAAUUUUAAUGCUUUGCUUGAAGAAAAAUUGCUGAAAGUUGAUGGUUUGGCUAGGAACGUUGAUAGACUUUCGCUUGAUGUUGAUUCUCUUAAACUUACAUCUUCUCAUUCCUAAGCAUGAUAUCAAUGAGUCUCUCAAAGCAAUGAGAAUUUCCAUUGAUGAGUGCAAAGAACGAACCGCUAGAUUGCGUGCUAAAAAAGAUAGCUUUAUAAAACCGUGUUCUUCUAGUUUCCAUGAAAACAAUGAUGAAGAUCUUAAAGUUAUUGAUGCAUCUCCUAUUAUAUCUAUGUUUUGCAAUAUUAAUUUUGAUAAUUAUGGGACUCAUGAUGAGUCAAAUUUUCCUAGAAGGCUUCCCAAGAAUUCGGAGUCUUUAGAUCUUGAUGCUAAAUUUGGUAAAAGUGGGAUUGGAGAGGUCGCAACUUUAAAUAGCGUUGAUCCCACUAUCUCGGAUUUCAAGGAAUUUGAUUAUGAUAAUUGUUCUUUAGAAGAUGGUAUUUCCUUGUUGCAAUCCGUUGUUAAUUCUCCUCAUGCUUAUAGUGAAAAUAAAGCUUUUACCAAACAUAUUGUUGAUGUCUUGAUGCAAUCUUAUGAUGAAAAACUUAAUUUGGAAGUUUCUAUACCUGGAAAACUUAAUGAUGAGUGGGAACCUACUACAAAGAUUAGAAUUAAAGAUCAUGAGUGUUUUUCUUUGUGUGAUUUGGGUCUAGUGUUUCCACGAUUCCAAAAACUUUAUGUGAUAUUCUAGGUUUCCAUGAUCUUGAUGAUUGCUCUUUAAAUUUGCACCUUGCGGAUUCCACCAUUAAAAAGCCUAUGGGAAGGAUCAAUGAUGUUCUUAUUGUUGCAAAUAGAAAUUUGGUGCCCGUAGAUUUUAUCAUUCUUGAUAUAGAUUGCAAUCUUUCUUGCCCUAUUAUUCUUGGUAGACCUUUCCUUAGAAUGAUUGGUGCGAUUAUUGAUAUGAAGGAAGGGAAUAUUAGAUUCCAAUUUCCAUUAAAGAAAGGCAUGGAGCAUUUUCCAAGAAAUAAAGUCAAAUUACCUUAUGAAUCUAUCAUGCAUGCUACUUAUGAAUUUAGUGCCAAAGAUGGCACUCGUUAGAUCUAUCUUCGCUUUUAUGCCUAGCUAGGGGCGUUAAACGAUAGCGCUAGUUGGGAGGCAACCCAAUUUUCUUUAUGUUUUUUUGUUUUUGCUCCUGUUUAGUAAUAAAUCUUGCACCUACCUUCUGUUUAGAUGUGUUUUUAUCUUUUAAUUAAUGUUCGUGCCAAGUAGAACCUAUAGGAUAACCUAUGAUGAUAGCUGAUUUGAUUCUGCUGAAAAACAGAAACUUUGCGCACACGAAUAUAAUUUUGUUAAAUCACAGAAACGUGAUUUUGCGUUGAUUCUUUUUGAUGAUGACCAAUAAACAAAUUGUCCAGGAAUUCCUAUUUUGGUUGGAUUGUUAAAGUUCCAUAAGUUUGCUUUAGUUACAGAUUGCUAUAGACUGUUCUGUUUUUUGACAGAUUCUGUUUUUCGUGUGUUGUUUGCUUAUUUUGAUGCAUCUAUGGCUAGUAAAAUAGUUUAUAAACCGUAGAUAAGUUGGAAUAAAGUAGGUUUAACACUAAAAUAAAUAAAUAAUGCGUUAAUUACAGUAACUUAUGUGGUGUUUUUGAUUUCUUUCACUAACGGAGCUUAUAAGAUUUCCUGUUGAGUUUUGUGUUGUGAAGUUUUCAAGUUUUGGGUAAAGCUUUUAUGGACUAUGGAAUAAGGAGUGGCAAGAGCCUAAUCUUGGGGAUGCCCAAGGCACCCCAAGAUAUUCAAGGAUAGCCAAAAGCCUAAGCUUGGGGAUGCCCCGGGAAGGCAUCCCCUCUUUCGUCUUCGUUCAUUGGUAACUUUACUUGGAGGUAUAUUUUUAUUCGCCACAUGAUAUGUGUUUUGCUUCGAGCGUCAUGUAUUAUAUUAGUCUUUGCCUUUCAGUUUACCACAAUAAUCCUUGAUGUACAUAACUUUUGGGAUAAGCCUACUUGAUUAGAAUUUGCUAGAAUACUCUAUGUGCUUCACUUAUAUCUUUUGAGUUUGAUAGUUUUCGCUCUAGUGCUUCACUUAUAUCUUUUAGAGCACGGUGGUGUCUUAAUUUUGAAGAAAUUGCUAGUCUCUUAUGCUUCACUUAUAUAUUUUUGAGAGUCUUUUAGAACAGCAUGGUAUUUGCUAUGGUCACAAAGUUGGUCCUAGAAUGAUGAGCAUCCAAGUUGGGUAUAAUAAAAACUAUCAUAGAAAAGUGAAUUGGAUGCUAUGAUCAAUAUGAUGCUUGAUAAUUGUUUUGAGAUAUGGAGGUAGUGAUAUUAGAGUCAUGCUAGUUGAGGUGAUUACAAAAAAUACUUGUGUUAAGGGUUGUGAUUCCCGUAGCAUGCACGUAUGGUGAACCGCUUUGUGAUGAAGUUGGAGCACAAUUUUAUUUAUUUAUUGUCUUCCUUAUGAGUGGCGGUCGGGGACGAGCGAUGGUAUUUUCCUACCAAUCUAUCCCCCUAGGAGCAUGCGCGUAGUGCUUUGGUUUUUGAUGACUUCUAGAUUUUUGCAACAAGUAUAUGAGUUCUUUUGAUUAAUGUUGAGUCCAUAGAUUAUACGCACCUCACCCUUCCACCAUUGCUAGCCUCUCUUGUGCCAUGCAACUUUCGCCGGUACCAUACACCCACCAUAUACCUUCCUCAAAACAGACACCAUACCUACCUAUUAUGGCAUUUCCAUAGCCACUCCGAGAUAUAUUGCCAUGCAACUUUCCACUGUUCCGUUCAUAUGACACGCAUUACUUUUGUCAUAUUGCUCUUUGCAUGAUCAUGUAGUUGACAUUGUAUUUGUGGCAAGGCCACCCUCAUAAUUUUCAUACAUGUCGCUCUUGAUUCAUUGCAUAUCCCGGUACACCACCGGAGGCAUUCAUAUAGAGUCAUAUCUUGUUCUAGCUUUGAGUUGUAAUUCUUAAGUUGUAAAUCCAUAAAAGUGUGAUUAUCUUCAUUAUUAGAGCAUUGUCCCGGUGAGGAAAGGAUGAUGAAGACUAUGAUUCCCCCACAAGUCGGGAUGAGACUUCGGACUUUACAAAAAAAAGAGAAAAAAAAGAAAGGCCAAAGAAAAAAAAGAGAAAAAAAAUGAGAGAAAAAGAGAGAAGGGACAAUGCUAGUAUCUCUUUUUCCACACUUGUGCUUCAAAGUAGCACCAUGAUCUUCAUGUUAGAGAGUCUCAUAUGUUGUCACUUUCAUAUACUAGUGGGAAUUUUUCAUUAUAGAACUUGGCUUGUAUAUUCCAAUGAUGGGCUUCCUCAAAAUGCCCUAGGUCUUCGUGAGCAAGCAAGUUGGAUGCACACCCACAUAGUUUUUUUUGUUGAGCUUUUAUAUAUUUAUAGCUCUAGUGCAUCCGUUGCAUGGCAAUCCCUACUCACUCACAUCGAUAUCUAUUAACGGGCAUCUCCAUAGCCCGUUGAUACGCCUAGUUGAUGUGAGACUAUCUUCUCCUGUUUUGUCUUCUCCACAACCACCAUUCUAUUCCACAUAUAGUGCUAUAUCCAUGGCUCAUGCUCAUGUAUUGCGUGAAAGUUGAAAGAGUUUGAGAUUACUAAAGUAUGAAACAAUUGCUUGGCUUGUCAUCGGGGUUGUGCAUGAUUAAAUACUUUGUGUGAUGAAGAUAGAGCAACAGCCAGACUAUAUGAUUUUGUAGGGAUAACUUUCUUUGGCCAUGUUAUUUUGAGAAGACAUGAUUACUUUGAUUAGUAUGCUUGAAGUAUCACCAUUUUCAUGUUACUAUGCACUUUUAUUUUGUAUCAUUUGGAUCUGAACAUUCACGCCACAAUAAAGAAAAUUACAUUGAGAAUUAUGCUAGGUAGCAUUCCACAUCAAAAUUUUCCUUUUUAUCAUUUACCUACUCGAGGACGAGCAGGAAUUAAGCUUGGGGAUGCUUGAUACGUCUCCAACGUAUCUAUAAUUUUUUGUUGUUCCAUGCUAUUAUAUUACCCCUUUUGGAUGUUUAUGGGCUUUAUUUUAGACAUUUAUAUCAUUUUUGGGACUAACCAACUAACCGGAGGCCCAGCCCGUAUUGCUGUUUUUUUGCCUAUUUCGGUAUUUCGAAGAAAAUGAAUAUCAAACGGAGUCCAAACGGAAUGAAACCUUCGGGAGCGUGAUUUUUGGAACGAACGUGAUCCAGAGGACUUGGAGUGCAAGUCAAGAAGAGCCGAGGCUCCCACGAGAUAGGAGGGCCCCCCCUAUAGGGCGCGCCCCCUGUCUUGUGGGCCCCUCGGGCGUCCACCGACGUACUUCUUCCUCCUAUAUAAGCAUGCGUACCCCGAAAACAUCCAGGGAGCAGACGAAACACAAUUUCCACCACCGUAACCUUCUGUAUUCGCGAGGUCCCAUCUUGGAGCCUUCGCCGGCGUUCUGCCGGAGGGGGAAUCGACCAUGGAGGGCUUCCACGUCAACACCAUAGCCCCUCCGAUGAGUUGUGAGUAGUUUACCUCAGACCUACAGGUCCAUAGUUAUUAGCUAGAUGGCUUCUUCUCUCUUUUUGGAUCUCAAUACAAUGUUCUCCCCCUCUCUUGUGGAGAUCUAUUCGAUGUAAACUCUUUUUGCGGUGUGUUUGUCGAGAUCCGAUGAAUUGUGGGUUUAUGAUCAAGUUUAUCUAUGAAUAAUAUUUGAAUCUUCUCUGAAUUCUUUUAUGUAUGAUUGAGUUAUCUUUGCAAGUCUCUUCGAAUUAUCAGUUUGGUUUGGCCUACUAGAUUGAUCUUUCUUGCCAUGGGAGAAGUGCUUAGCUUUGGGUUCAAUCUUGUGGUGUCCUUACCCAGUGAUAGAAAGGGUUGCAAAGCACGUAUUGUAUUGUUGCCAUCGAGGAUAACAAGAUGGGGUUUAUAUCAUAUUGCUUGAGUUUAUCCCUCUACAUCAUGUCAUCUUGCUUAAAGUGUUACUCUGUUCUUAUGAACUUAAUACUCUAGAUGCAGGCAGGAGUCGGUCGAUGUGUUGAGUAAUAGUAGUAGAUGCAGGCAGGAGUCGGUCUACUUGUCACGGACGUGAUGCCUAUAUACAUGAUCAUGCCUAGAUAAUCUCAUAAUUAUUCGCUUUUCUAUCAAUUGCUCGACAGUAAUUUGUUCACCCACCGUAAUAAUUAUACUAUCUUGAGAGAAGCCACUAGUGAAACCUAUGGCCCCCGGGUCUAUCUCUUAUCAUAUUUGCUUCCAAUCUACUUUUAUUUGCAUCUUUACUUUUUUGCAUCUAUAUUAUAAAAUACCAAAAAUAUAUUUACCUUAUCUUACUAUCUGUAUUAGAUCUCACUUUCGCAAGUGGCCAUGAAGGGAUUGACAACCCCUUUAUUGGGUUGGUUGCGAGUUCUUUGUUUGUUUGUGUAGGUGCGUGGGACUUUUGAGGAGCCUCCUACUAGAUUGAUACCUUGGUUCUCAAAAACUGAGGGAAAUACUUACGCUACUUUGCUGCUUCACCCUUUCCUCUUCAAGGAAAACCAACGCAAGCUCAAUACUUAGCAAUCACGUCAAAACCUCUCCGCCCGCGCGUGUCCUGAUCUGCCUCUCGGGUUCCGGAUCAUCACCUUGUCGCCAGUGACCACCCGCCGCUGGUCUCCUCUGCCGUCAACGGACUUCAAUGCCGCUCUUGCCGCUGUAGCAAACUCACCGCCGAACUAGGGUAUGAGUUUGACCCCUUGUGCAUUCUUUUUACCUCCGAUUCUAAGCACAAGGUCAAUGCCAUGUUCUUUACAACGUAUGAGAUCGAUCCAUUCAUAGAGAACUUCCAUUAGACUAGAUUUGAAUCAAAAAUUUAGGGUUAGGUUUCCGCCGGACUCAUCUCGGACCGACCGAGUUGUAGGAAUUGGUUCCACCGAUUUGGCUUAAGCCAAAGCACAAGUGAUUUUCGGUCUGACCAAAAGUUGCAAAUCGGUGUGCCCGAUACCAGGACUUAAGCCAAAGCACAAGCGAACUCACCGACGAACUAGGGUAUGAGUUUGACCCCUAGCAAACUCCGAGUCACCAAACUAUGUCUCGGUCUGACUGAUUCCACAUGUUUAGACUCCAAAGUUGCUUCGAUGUCACCGAGUUUUACAAGUCGGUAGCUCCGAAAUGCUUCCUGUAGAAAACUAAAACUAAGUUUUUGACUCUUUCUUUUUGCAAAACCUCUGCACUUUGUUAUGCUCGUCUACUCUACCUCAUCUAUAUCCAUUCACAGGGUCUGCUUUGAGUUUGCUUUUCCAGAAUGUCUGACAAGAGUGAUAGCCAGAACAAAUCAGAAGAGCAAGUGAACAAGAGUGAGGGAACUAGUCCCUCUAGCAGCUCUGAUGACGGUAGCAGGAGCACUCCAAGCAAUUUGCCCAAGGCAUCUACAAGGACAAUGAAGAAGAGAACCUCAGACUCAGAGGAUGAGGACUAUGUGGCUAUUGAGGAGGAAGUAAGCUCCAAGAAGAAAGUGCUGAAAAAGGAAUAUGGAACUGAUGCUGCAACAAAACCUGGUAUGCACAAGAAGGCACCUGCCAAGAGAGCUCCCAUGUCAAAGGCCAGAACCUCCACUCAGGAAACUAUGGUCUUCACACUUGAACCAAGAGCAGGUGAAGAAGGGAAGAAGAGGGUCAGAAAAACUACAACUAGAGUGAUUGAAAAUCCAUCUAUGAGAAAGGAUUCUGCAAGUGAGGAGGAAGAGGAAGAAGAGGUUGCUGCUCAAGCACCUCCUACUAAGGCAUAGAAGUUGAUGGGGGAUGCCAUCAAGUUUGGGGUAGCUCCUUCGAAGCCCAAGACAGCCCCCAAAGCUCCAGCACAAACUCCGGGAAGAAGCACAGGAGAGAAAGGGCAAAGCUACCACAUAGGUGUUCCACAGAGUGCCUAGGGCACAGAAGUCUAUUGCAGUGCUAGUAACAAACACUAGAGCUACAACUUCAGCACCUGCAGCCACAGCUCCCAGAGCUCCUGUUGCCCGUCAAGUGGUAACCCCUCCAACUCCAACAUCAUCUACAAAUGCAUUCAUCCUUGGAGUCAUCUCAAUACCUCCUUCCGAAGAUCAAGCCUAGAGAGACGCAUAGCACUAUGCCUUUUAUAUCUUUUUGGUAACUUGUUGCCAAAGGGGGAGAAAGUGUAUAGAUCAUAGGCUUUGGAGAGAGAGAGAUUUGUCUCUUUUUGCUACUUAUUAGCUUUGUUUGCUUUGCUUGCUUGUGAGAUACAUUAUGUAUGUGUGUCUGAGAGAUACUUUGUAUGAUCAUGUGUUUGAUCAUUUCACACUUUAUGCUUAUGCUUGAAUGAUGAAAUUAUCUACCUCUUGUAUGAUCAUUCACUUUGCCUUGGUGAUGAGUGCCUGUUCUUAUUUAUUAUCAUUUUGAGCGCUCCACCUAGAUGUAUGUGACAUGGAAGAGUAACCCAUGAUCCUAACAGAUUGUGCAUUUGCUGUCCAAAGCAAAUUUUUAAACAAUUUAGGGGGAGCUCUUGCUUACCACAUACUUCUCAAAGCGACAAUGCACUUCAUUCUUAUUAUCAUUUGUUGAAGCUUUGAUCUAUAUGUUGUCAUCAAUUACCAAAAAGGGGGAGAUUGAAAGUGCAACUAAUCCCUUGGUGGUUUUGGUAAUUCUUAACAACAUAUAGUUCAUUGAACUAAUACUAUUUCAAGAUGAUCAUUUCAGAACGUUCAAUGAUUGGCAUGGCAUGGACUAGAGAUGUGGACCCCUCAAAAUGCAAAGGACAUAUAUUGGCAACAAGCUCAAGACUCUAAAUUUUCUAUUUUAGUGAUCCAAGAUCACAUUGAGUCCAUAGGGAAGCCAGUACAAUUAAAAGGGGAUGAGGUGUUGCUUAAUAGGUUACUUGCUCAAAAUGCUUAGUGAUAUGCUCCAAAAUCCUCAACCACUUUCUUAUUUCCGCAUAUGUCCAAAACCUAAAGUCAAAUUCGGCCCCACAGAUUUGAUCUAUCCGGCGCCACCGAGUUUCACUUGACAUAGCCAUUGCCACAAACCCUAGUUACUUCGGUCUCACCUAUAGGGAUCUUAGAUUCACCGAGAUGGGAUUGCAAACUCUCUGUUUCCUUUUUUUAACAUUUUGGUCUCACCAAAAUGAGCAAAUCGGUCCCACCGAAUCUACAUUGCAAACUCCCUGUUACCUUUUCAUAACAAUUUCGUCCCACCAAAGUGAGCAAAUCAGUCCCGCCGAGUUUGCCUGACCAACCCUUUGUGUACCUAUUGCUGAAAUUGGUCCAACCGAGUUUAUGCGAUUGAUCACACCGAGAUUACAUUAUGCCCUAACCCUAGCAUAUAAGUCUCACCAAGAUAACUAUAUCGGCCCCACUGGUAAUCAUAGCAUUCACAUUUUUACCUGGAUUGGUCUGACUGAGUUUGCUGAUUCAGUCCCACCGAGUUUGGGAAUCUCUGUGUAACGGUUAGAUUUUGUGUGGGGGCUAUAUAUACCCCUCCACCCACUCUUCAUUUGUGGAGAGAGCCAUCAGAACGUACCUACACUUCCACUACUCAUUUUCUGAGAGAACCACCUACUGAUGUGUUGAGACUAAGAUAUUCCAAUCCUACCAUAUGAAUCUUGAUCUCUAGCCUUCCCCAAGUUGCUUUCCACUCAAAUCACAUUUCCACCAUAGCCAAAUAUGUGAUAGAGAGUUGAGUGUUGGGGAGACUAUCAUUUGAAGCACAAGAGCAAGGAGUUCAUCAACAACACACCAUCUAUUACGUUUUGGAGAGUGGUGUCUCCUAGAUUGGUUAGGUGUCACUUGGGAGCUUCCGUCAAGAUUGUGUAGUUAAACCAAGGAGUUUGUAAGGGCAAGGAGAUCGCCUACUUCGUGAAGAUCUAGCAUAGUGAGGCAAGUCCUUUGUGGGAGAUGGCCAUGAUGGGAUAGACAAGGUUGCUUCUUUAUGGACCCUUCGUGGACUCACGCAACCGCUACCCUCCAUGGGUUGAAGUCUCCAUCAAUGUGGAUGUACAAUAGCACCACCUAUCGGAACCACGCCAAAAAUCUCCGUGUCAACAUUGCGUUUGCUCCCUCCAAUCUCCCUCCAUUUACUUUGUUGCAAGUUGCAUGCUUUACUUUCCGCUGCCCAUAUACUCUUUGCAUGCUUGCUUGAAUUGUAUUGAGAUUGCUUCACUUGUGCUAAGUUGCUAAAGUCUGCCAAGAACUAAAAUUAGGAAAAGGUUAAGUUUUUAUUUGGUCAAGUAGUCUAAUCACCCCCCUCUAGACAUACUUUCGAUCCUACAGUAACAAUCACUGGAAGUUGUAAGGAAAGAGUAUUUUAUCUUUUUUUUGAUUUUUAAGAAAUGAUUGUAGCAAGUUGUCCUCGUUCUCUUUGACAUUGUGUUUGACCGUCCUUUCCUGUAUGAUAUUUGGAUUAAUGAACCCAAUUUCAUAGAUAUCUGAUUUCCUGCAUUCGAGGAUCUUCAACCUGUAUAGUAUAGUGUGGAUAAUUAUAUAUACAUGCAAUGAAACAGCCGAGCUAUAUAGAGAGAGACUUAAUUACAGAAGUAGUACUUACAGACAGUAGCAAGUCAUGAGUGUUUUGUCGAGGGCCUUUUGAUUGUAUAACUGGAAUAACUCGUCAAAUUUAAUAUUCAAAAUGUCCAUUUCAAUGAGGUCGUGCUCCUCUUUAAUUCUCAUCGUCCAAGUAUGCCUCCCAGACUGCCUACAUCAUUGCAUGUACCAAUCAUGGAGUCUUCGCAUCAUCGUUGUUAGACGAGGAUGAUCAGGUUUUCCGUCAAUUAAAUAAAGUUACUAGAAAAUAUCAUUACCAUCUACCUUUUAUUGAUCAAAUGCAAGAAAGAUUAUCCAAACAUACACAUUUUUGCUAUCUAGACAGUCUGGUUUCUCUCAAAUACAUGUGUUAAAAGAGGAUCAGGAAAAGACCACUUUUACUUGUCCUUCCGGUACCUUUGCUUAUAGACAUAUGCCUUUUGGUUUAUGCAAUGCACCUGCUACCUUUCAAAGAUGUAUGACUGCCAUAUUCUCUGACUUUUGCGAAAAGAUUUUUGAGGUUUUCAAGGAUGAUUUCUCCGUGUAUGGAACUUCUUUUGAUCAUUUCUUAAGCAACCUUGAUCGAGUCUUGCAGAGAUGUGAAGAAACUAAUCUUGUCUUGAAUUGGGAGAAGUGCCACUUUAUGGUUAAUGAAGGUAUUGUCCUAGGGCAUAAAAUUUCUGAAAGAGGUAUUGAAGUUGAUAAAGCUAAAGUUCAUGCUCUUGAAAAGAUGUCUUGUCCCAAGGACAUCAAAGGUAUAAUAAGUUUCCUUGGUCAUGUCGGUUUUUAUAGGAGGUUCAUUAAAGACUUCUCAAAAAUUUCUAGGCCUAUGACAAAUCUCUUCCAAAAAGAUGUUCCUUUUGUCUUUGAUGAUGAUUGUGUAGAAGCAUUUAAAAUACUUAAGAAAGCGUUGAUUUCUGUACCUAUUGUUCAGCCUCCUGAUUGGAAUUUACCCUUCGAAAUCAUGUGUCAUGCUAGCGAUUAUGCUGUCGGUGAUGUUCUAGGACAAAGAGUUGAUAAGUAAUUAAAUGUUAUCCAAUAUGCUAGUAAAACUCUAGACAGUGCCUAGAGAAAUUAUGCUACUACUGAAAAAUAAUUUUGAGCACUUGUAUUUGUUCGUGAUAAGUUUAGUCCUUAUAUUGUUGAUUCCAAAGUAACUAUUCACACUGAUCAUGCUGCUAUUAAAUACCUUAUGGAAAAUAAAGAUGCUAAACCUAGACUUAUUAGAUGGGUUCUCUUUCUAAAAGAAUUUGAUUUGCAUAUUAUUGAUAGAAAGGGAGCUGAGAACCCCGUUGCAGACAACUUGUCUAGGUUAGAAAAUGUUUUUGAUGACCCACUACCUAUUGAUGAUAGCUUUCCUAAUGAAUAAUUUGCUGUCAUAAAUGAUUCUCGUACUGCUCCAUGGUAUGUUGAUUAUGCUAAUUAUAUUGUUGCUAAAUUUAUACCACCUAGUUUCACUACCAGCAAAAUAAAAAGUUUUUCUAUGAUUUAAGACAUUACUUUUGGGAUGACCCAUACCUUUAUAAAGAAGGAGUAGAUGGUGUUAUUAGACAUUGUGUACCUGAGCAUGAACUGGAACAGAUUCUACGCAAGUGUCACUCUGAGGCACAUGGAGGACACCACGCUGGAGAUAGAGCUGCACACAAGGUAUUGCAAUCCGGCUUUUAUUGGCCAACUCUUUUCAAAGAUGCCCGUAAGUUUGUCUUGUCUUGUGAUGAAUGUCAAAGAAUUGGUAAAUAGACGUCAAGAAAUGCCUAUGAAUUAUUUGUUGGGUAACCUUGCAGAAAAUAAAAUUUUUCCUACGGUUUCACCAAGAUCCAUCUAUGAGUUCAUCUAAGCAAUGAGUGAUAGGAGUGCAUCUACAUACCUUUGUAGAUCGCGAGCGGAAGCAUUCAAGAGAACGGUGAUGAUGGAGUCGUACUCGCCGUGUUCCAAAUCACCGAUGACCAAGUGCCGAACGGACAGCACCUCCGCAUUCAACACACGUACGGAGCGGAUAACGUCUCCCGCACCUUGAUCCAGCAAGGGGGAAGGAGAGGUUGAGGAAGAAGGCUCCAGCAGUAGCACGACGGCGUGGUGGUGGUGGAGAGGCAGUACUCCGACAGGGCUUCGCCAAGCACUUAACGGAGGAGGAGAGGUGUUGGGGAGGGGAGGGGCUGCGCCUUGGAUGUGGUGUGCAGCCCUCCCCUCGCCCCUCUAUUUAUAGGGGAAGGGGGAACGGGGCCGGCCCCCUCUAGAUGAGAUCUAGAGGGGGGCGGCGGCCAAGGGAGGGGGCUUGCCCCCCAAGCAAGGGGGGCGCCCCCACUAGGGUUUCCCCCCCAACCCUAGGCGCAUGGGCCCAAAGGGGGGUGCCCAGCCCUCCAAGGGCUGGUUCCCUGCCCCUUACGGCCCAUGAGGCCCUCCGAGAGAGGUGGCCCCUCCCGGUGGACCCCCGGAACCCCUCCGGUGGCCCCGGUACAAUACCGAUAUGCCGCCGAAACCUUCCGGUGACCGUAUGACAACUUCCCAUAUAUAAAUCUUCACCUCCGGACCAUUUCGGGACUCCUCGUGACGUCCAGGAUCUCAUCCGGGACUCCGAACAACAUUCGGUAAUCACAUAGAAGUCCUCCUAAUAACCCUAGCAUCACCGAACCGUAAGUGUGUAGACCCUACGGGUUCGGGAGACACGCAGACAUGACUGAGAGGGCUCUCCGGUCAAUAACCAACAGCGGGAUCUGGAUACCAAUGUUGGCUCCCACAUGCUCCUCGAUGAUCUCAUCGGAUGAACCACGAUGUCGAGGAUUCAAUCAACUCCGUAUACAAUUCCCUUUGUCAAACGGUACGUUACUUGCCCGAGACUCGAUGGUCGGUAUCCCAAUACCUCGUACAGUCUCGUUACCGGCAAGUCACUUUACUCGUACCGUAAUGCAUGAUCCCGUGACCAUACACUUGGUCACUUUGAGCUCAUUAUGAUGAUGCAUUACCGAGUGGGCCCAGAGAUACCUCUCCGUCAUACGGAGUGACAAAUCCCAGUCUCGAUCCGUGUCAACCCAACAGACACUUUCGGAGAUACUUGUAGUGCACCUUUAUAGUCACCCAGUUACGUUGUGACGUUUGGUACACCCGAAGAACUCCUACGGUAUCCGGGAGUUACACGAUCUCAUGGUCUAAGGAAAAGAUACUUGACAUUGGAAAAGCUCUAGCAAAACGAACUACACGGUCUUGUGCUAUGCUUAGGAUUGGGUCUUGUCCAUCACAUCAUUCUCCUAAUGAUGUGAUCCCGUUAUCACCGACAUCUAAUGUCCAUAGUCAGGAAACCAUGACUAUCUGUUGAUCAACGAGCUAGUCAACUAGAGGCUUACUAGGGACAUAUUAUGGUCUAUGUAUUCACACGUGUAUUACAAUUUCCGGAUAAUACAAUUAUAGCAUGAAUAAAGACAAUUAUCCUGAACAAGGAAAUAUAAUAAUAAUCCUUUUAUUAUUGCCUCUAGGGCAUAUUUCCAACAUUAUUCACUUGUUAUUGAACCAUUUGAUGUUUGGGGCUUUUAUUAUAUGGGACCGUUUCCUUCCUCUAAUCGGUACACACAUUUUUUAGUUGUUGUUGAUUACGUUACUAAGUGGGUAGAAGCUAUUCCAACUAGUAGUGCUGAUCAUGACACUUCUAUUAAGAUGCUUAAAGAAGUUAUUUUUCCGAGGUUUAGAGUCCCUAGAUACUUAAUGACUGAUGGUGGUUCACAUUUUAUUCAUGGUGCUUUUCGUAAAAUGCUUGCUAAGUAUGAUGCUAAUCAUAGAAUUGCAUCUCCAUACCAUCCACGGUCUAGUGGUCAAGUAGAAUUGAGUAAUGGAGAGAUUAAAUUAAUUUUGCAAAAGACUGUUAAUAGAUCUAGAAAGAAUUGGUCCAAGAAACUUGAUGAUGCAUUAUGGGCCUAUAGAACUGCAUAUAAGAAUCCUAUGGGUAUGUCUCCGUAUAAAAUGGUUUAUGGAAAAGCAUGUCACUUACCUCUCGAACUAGAACAUAAGGCAUAUUGGGCCAUUAAAGAGCUCAAUUAUGAUUUCAAACUUGCCGGUGAAAAGAGGCUAUUUGACAUUAGCUCACUUGAUGAAUGGAGAACCGAGGCCUAUGAGAAUCCCAAAUUGUUUAAAGAAAAAGUUAAAAGAUAGCAUGACAAAGGGAUACAAAAGCGUGAGUUUAAUGUAGGUGAUUAUGUUUUGCUAUACAACUCUCGUUUAAGAUUUUUUGCAGGAAAACUACUAUCUAAAUGGGAAGGUCCUUACGUUAUCGAGGAGGUCUACCAUUCCGGUGCCAUAAAAAUCAACAACUUCGAAGGCACAAAUCCGAAGGUGGUGAACGGUCAAAGAAUCAAACAUUAUAUCUCAGGUAAUCCCAUAAAUGUUGAACCAAUCUUAUUGACAUUGUAACCUCGGAGGAGUUAUAAGGGACACUUUCCAGAACGUUUCAGACUCCUAAAAGAAAUAGGUAUGUGGUAUGGUAAGUAAACCGACUCCAAAACAGUUCUAAUAGCAUUUUUUCUCCGUUUUGGAAUAUUUUAUAAAAUAGGAAAAUAAGUAGUAGUCCGAAAAGGACACGAAGCGUCCACGAGGGUGGAGGGCGCACCCUACACCCCUGAGCAUGCCCCCUGCCUCGUGGGCACAUCGUGUGCCCUCCGGACUGUUUUCUUGCACGAUACUUCUUUUGGUCGGUAAAAAUUCAUUAUAUAAUCUCCCGAAGGUUUUGACCACUGGACCACGACGAAAUCCUCUGUUUUUGUUUUGAGUUGUUUUUGCGGCAGAUCUAGAGCAAGAUGUCUUCUGAAGAGUCGGUCGGGGAGAGUCGGGUAUCUUACCCGACACCGUGGCCAAGAGCAAACAGCGAUGUUGAUCACUUUGGGCCAUCAACGGAGGAAGAGAUGGAGGCCAACUUAAAAAGGGUAGAUGCUAUGGAGAUGGAGGAGUUAUAAGGGACACUUUCCAGAACAAUUCAGACUCCGAAAAGGAAUAGGUAUGUGGUACGGUAAGUAAACCGCCUCCAAAACAGUUCUAAUAGCAAUUUUUCUCCAUUUUGGAAUAUUUAAGAACAUAGGAAAAUAAGAAGUAGUCCGAAAUGGACAUGAGGCAUCCACGAGGGUGGAGGGCUCUCUACCCCCUGGGCGCGCGCCCCUGCCUCGUGGGCACCUCGUGUGCCCUCCGGACUCCGUUUUCUUGCACGAUACUUCUUUUGGUCGGUAAAAAUUCAUUAUAUAAUCUCCCGAAGGUUUUGACCACCAGACCACGACGAAAUCCUCUGUUUUUGUUUUGAGUUGUUUUUGCAGCAGAUCUAGAGCAAGAUGUCUUCUCAAGAAUCAGUCGGGAAGAGUCGAGUAUCUCACCCGACACUGUGGCCAACAGCAAACAGCGAUGUUGAUCACUUUGGGCCAUCAACAGAGGAAUAGAUGGAGGCCGACUUAAAAAGGAUAGAUGCCAUGGAGGAGGAUUGCUACCUCUUGAGCACUGCGUUCAUUUUCCUUGAAGAGGAAAGGGUGAUGCAGCAAAGUAGCGUACGUAUUUUCCUCAGUUUUUGAGAACCAAGGUAUCAAUCCAGUAGGAGGCUCCUCAAAAGUCCCACGCACCUACACAAACAAAUAAGAACCUCGCAACCAAAGCAAUAAGGGGGUUGUCAAUCCCUUCACUUUAACUUGCAAAAGUGAGAUCUGAUAGAGAUAAUAAGAUAAGAUAAAUAUUUUUGGUAUUUUUAUGAUAUAGAUUGGAAAAUAAAAGAUGCUAAUAAAAGUAGAUGGAAAACUUAUAUGAUAAAAGAUAGACCCGGGGGGCAUAGGUUUCACUAGUGGCUUCUCUCAAGAUAGCAUAAGUAUUACGGUGGGUGAACAAAUUACUAUCGAGCAAUUGACAGGAAAGUGCAUAGUUAUGAGAUUAUCUAGGCAUGAUCAUGUAUAUAGGCAUCACGUCUGUGAUAAGUAGAUCGACUUCUGCCUGCAUCUACUACUAUUACUCCACACAUCGACCGACCCCUUCCUGCAUCUAGAGUAUUAAGUUCAAGAAGAACAGAGUAACACAUUAAGAAAGAUGACAUGAUGUAGAGGGAUAAACUCAUGCAAUAUGAUGUAAACCCCAUAUUUGUAUCCUUGAUGGCAACAAUACAAUACGUGCCUUGCUGCCCCUGCUGUCACUGGGAAAGGACACCUCAAGAUUGAACCCAAAGCUAAGCACUUCUCCCAUUGCAAGAAAGAUCAAUCUAGUAGGCCAAACCAAACUGAUAAUUCAAAGAGACUUGCAAAGAUAAAAAAUCAUACAUAAAAGAAUUCAGAGAAGAUUAAAUUAUUUCUCAUAGAUAAACUUGAUCAUAAACCCACAAUUCAUCGGAUCUUGACAAACACACCGCAAAAAGAAUUACAUCAAAUAGAUCUGCAAGAAGAUCGAGGAGAACUUGGUAUUGAGAUUCAAAGAGAGAGAAGAAGCCAUCUAUCUAAUAACUAUGGAGCCGAAGGUCUGUGGUAAACUACUCACAACUCAUUAGAGAGGCCUUGGAGUUGAUGUAGAGGCCCUCCAUGGUCGAUUCCCCCUCCGGUGGAGCGCCGACGAAGGCUCCAAGAUGGGAUCUCGCGGAUACAGAAGGUUGCGGUGGUGGAAUUAGGUUUUAGUGGUGCUCCUCGAUGUUUUCAGGGUACGGGAGUAUAUAUAGGCGAAGGAAGUAUGUCGGUGGAGCAACGAGGGGCCCACGAGGGUGGGAGCACGCCCACCCCCAGGGGCCGCGCCGGGCACCCUCGUGGCCGCCUUGUUUGUUACUUAACACCCACUCCAAGUCUCAUGGUUUAAAUUUGUUCCAAAAAGAUCUCUCCCGAAGGUUUCACCCCGUUUGGACUCCGUUUGAUAUUCCUUUUCUUCGAAACACUCAAAUAGGCAAAAAAACAGCAAUUCGGGCUGGGCCUUCGGUUAGUAGGUUAGUCCCAAAAAUGAUAUAAAAGUGUAAAGUAAAGCCCAUAAACAUCCAAAAUAGGUGAUAUAAUAGCAUGGAACAAUCAAAAAUUAUAGAUACAUUGGAGACGUAUCAAGCAUCCCGAAGCUUAAUUCAUGCUCGUCCUCGAGUAGGUAAAUGAUAAAAAAAGAACUUUUGAUGUGGAAUGCUACCUAGCAUAUUUCUCAAUGUAAUUUUCUUUAUUGCGGCAUGAAUGUUCAGAUCCAAAUGAUUCAAAAUAAAAGUUCAUAUUGACAUGAUAAACAAUAAUACCUCAAGCAUACUAACAAAGCAAUCAUGUCUUCUCAAAAUAGCUUGGCUAAAGAAAGUUAUCCCUACAAAAUCAUAUAUUCUGGCUAUGCUCUAUCUUCAUCACAUAAAGUAUUUAAUCAUGCACAACCCCGAUGACAAUCCAAGCAAUUGUUUCAUACUUUAGUAUUCUCAAACUUUUUCAACUUUCACGCAAUACAUGAGUGUGAGCCAUGGACAUAGCACUAUAUGUGGAAUAGAAUGGUGGUUCUGGAGAAGACAAAAAGGGAGAAGAUAGUCUCCCAUCAACUAGGUGUAUCAACGGGCUAUGGAGAUGCCCAUUAAUAGAAAUCAAUGUGAGUGAGUAGGGAUUCCCAUGCAACGGAUGCACUAGAGCUACAAAUGUAUGAAAACUCAACAAAAGAAACUAAGUGGGUGUGCAUCCAACUUGCUAGCUCACGAAGACCUAGGGCAUUUUGAGGAAGCUCAUCAUUGGAAUAUACAAGCCAAGUUCUAUAAUGAAAAAUUCCCACUAGUAUAUGAAAGUGACAACAUAGGAGACUCUCUAUCAUGAAGAUCAUGGUGCUACUUUGAAGCACAAGUGUGGUAAAAAUGAUAGUAGAAUUGUCCCUUCUCUCUUUUUCUCUCAUUUUUUUAUUUGGACUUUCUCUUUUUUUAUUUGGCCUUUCUCUUUUUUUUGUAAAAUCCGAAGUCUCAUCCCGACUUGUGGGGGAAUCAUAGUCUCCAUCAUCCUUACCUCACUUGGGACAAUGCUCUAAUAAUGAAGAUCAUCACACUUUUAUUUACUUACAACUCAAGAUUACAACUCGAUACUUAGAACAAAAUAUGACUCUAUAUGAAUGCCUCCGGCGGUUUACCGGUAUAUGCAAUGAAUCAAGAGUGACAUGUAUGGAAUUAUGAAGGUGGCUUUACCACAAAUACGAUGGCAACUACAUGAUCAUCCAAGAGCAAUAUGACAAUGAUAAUGCAUGUCAUAAUAAAUGGAACGGUGGAAAGUUGCAUGACAAUAUAUCUCGGAAUGGCUAUGGAAAUGCCAUAAUAGGUAGGUAUGGUGGUUGUUUUGAGGAAGGUAUAUGGUGGGUUUAUGGUACCGGCGAAAGUUGCGCGGCACAAGAGAGGCUAGCAAUGGUGGAAGGGUGAGAGUGCGUAUAAUCCAUGGACUCAACAUUAGUCAUAAAGAACUCAUAUACUUAUUGCAAAAAUCUACAAGCCAUUGAAAACAAAGUACUACGUGCAUGCUCCUAGGGGGAUAGAUUGGUAGGAAAAGAGCAUCGCUCGUCCCCGACCGCCACUCAUAAGGAAGACAAUCAAUAAAUAAAUUAUGCUCCAACUUCAUCACAAAGCGGUACACCAUACGUGCAUGCUACGGGAAUCACAAACUUCAACACAAGUAUUCUUUAAAUUCACAAUUAACCCACUAGCAUAACUCUAAUAUCACCAUCCUCAUAUCUCAAAACAAUUAUCAAGCAUCAAAUUGAUCAUAGCAUCCAAUUCACUUUCUAUGAUAGUUUUUAUUAUACCCAACUUGGAUGCCCAUCAUUCUAGGACCAAUUUUAUAACCAUAGCAAAUACCAUGCUGUUCUAAAAGACUCUCAAAAUAAUAUAAGUGAAGCAUGAGAGAUAAACAAUUUCUACAAAAUUAAGCCACCACCGUUCUCUAAAAGAUAUAAGUGAAGCACUAGAGCAAAAAUUAUCUAGCUCAAAAGAUAUAAGUGAAGCACAUAGAGUAUUCUAAUAAAUUCCAAAUAAAGUGGGUCUCUCCCAAAAGGUGUGUACAGAAAGGAUGAUUGUGGUGAUCUAAAAAGCAAAGACUCAUAUCAUACAAGACGCUCCAAGCAAAACACAUAUCAUGUGGCGAAUAAAAAUAUAGCUCCAAGUAAAGUUACUGAUAAACGAAGACGAAAGAGGAGAUGCCUUCCGGGGCAUCCCCAAGCUUAGGCUUUUGGUUAUCCUUGAAUAUCUUGAUGUGCCAUGCGCAUCCCCAAGCUUAGGCUCUUGCCACUCCUUAUUCCAUUCAAAUCUUUACCCAAAACUUGAAAACUUCACAACACAAACCUCAACAGGAAAUCUCAUAAGCUCCAUUAGUGCAAGAAAGAAAAACCACCACAUAAGGUACUGUAAUGAAUGUCGUGGUUCUAAGUCUGACAGUAGAAUAGGGGGGUAGGAAGGGAGAGGCAAGAUCCUAGCUAUGGAGUAGUUGUGUACACAAGGUGUUUACGAGUUCAGGCCCUUCUCGGAGGAAGUAACAGCCCUACGUCUCGGAGCCCGGAGGUGGUCGACUGGAUUAUAUGCGUAUGAAUUACAGGAGGGGGGUGGCUUAUAUAGAGUUCGCCAGACACCUCCGGCCCUCAGUUAUGUAGGGUUUAAAGUACAUUAAGGUCUGGCGUUACUGGUAACGCCAUACAUAAAGUGCUAUCAUGACCAUAAAGACUACUUAAUGACAGACCGUUUGUGUGCAGCGUGACUCUAGAUCUCCUGUCGGUCGAGUGAGUGGCUUCAUGGUCGAGUGUCUUCGAGUACGUCGAGUGAAAUCCUUUCAGAUCGACUGAAAGGUAGUUUCUUCUAGAGAUGUCCUUGGGGAGGGUACCUUGGAUAGGUCCAUGACCCUACCCUAGGUACAUGGCUUCAUCAUUAGCCCUCGAAUGGAUCGAGGUUCGAGUGAGGAAGGAGUUGAGAAUUCUUCUGACCCAUCUUUUGUGCUAUGAGUAUGUCUUGUCUGGAUCAAUGACCUUAGGUGACGGCACCAACGUCUUUUUCAGUCACCUUGAUCCAUUCUUUGUAUUGGUCGAGUGACUUUUCUAUACUUGGAGAUCUCCGAGCGACGGAUCAGAGGAAAUCUCCAGUCUGACAAGUUGCUCUGCUGUUUGCGGAUUUAGCGGGAUCUGAAUUUCGGGAAGCGCGCGAGGCGGAGGAAGCCGCAGUACUCGGAUGGGAUAAGGUAGGAACGCCUCGAUUUUUGCGCCACCUUUUUCGCCACGUAUCACACGCACGACUGUUGCAGGAUUUGACAGGAUCUCCUGGGCCUACCAGUCAGUCAGUCGGAAGCGACCCCAUAUAAAGCGCCGGACGGGGGUUUCGAACAGUGCGCCGUCAUUUGCUUCUUCCUCUUCCUCAGAUUCAUCUGCCGCAUUCGCUUCUAUCCCAGCGCUAUUGCCCUGUGCAUGCUUCGCCGGCGAUGAUGGUGAAGGAGAAGACAACGGCUUUGGAGCGGGCGAAGAAGGCGACGGCGAAGGCGAAGGGAAGAGCGACCAGUCGGGGCGGACCCUCGUCGCGGGCCGGUCUGUCGCAGGGCUGGAUCCAGGGCGACUGGAUCUGCUCGACCAUCCGCCAAAAGGAUUUGGACGACCUGGCCGAUGAGGGACUGAUUCCACAUGGAUCAGCGAGGCUCCCGAGGAAGGAGUGGCAUCCGCAGCCUCGGGAGGGUGAGUGUGUCCUCUUAGCCACUCAUGUUGACCGCUGGUUUUCUUUGCCGCCCCACCCUUUCUUUUGGGGAUUUCUGAACUUUUUUGGGGCACAACUCCACCACUUCACACCCAACUCCAUCGUGUAUCUCGCUGCUUUCGUGUCCUUGUGUGAGAAUUUCUUGGGUUGCCGGCCGCAUUGGGGCCUUUUCAAACACAUCUUCACCUGUCGCUCUCAGACGGUGAAAAAGGCCAAUCCGAGUAACGAGAGAACCCAAGUGAUUCAGAUGUGUGGGGGUCUCGGGGUCCAAAUGAGGGGUAAAAGUGCUUUUCCAGCCAUGGUCCUUCCUGAGUCAGUUCGAGGGUGGUAGUCGACCUGGUUCUAUUGCCAAGACCAGCCGACGCCAGGGCAGUCGACUGGACUCCCUCCUUUCUCCAUGGAUCGAGUGAGCAAGCUGUCCUCUCUGAAGGUGGUCCCGGAGGAGAAGACUCAGGUUAAGGUGCUGGUGGAGCGCGUAGUCCAACUUAUCCGUGAUGGGGUGACUGGCAUGGACCUUCUGGAGGUUUUCCUUCAAUGGCGCAUCCAGCCGCUCCAAUAUAGAGACCAUCCGAUGUGGAUGUACUCUGGCACUGAAGACACCACUUGGGUCCACCCGGAGGAGGUCGAGGAUGCCACACUGGAGAGGUGGAUGACUGCCAUAACAGGGAACAAGGACAACCCCCGAGGAGCCAGGAGGAUCCCUCCACUCGACCAAUCGUACCAGCCAGACAAGGUCCAAUUCUGUACCUCCGACUCUGACCCUGCUUCAUGUCUUGUUUCAUUAGAAUUCGGUCGACUGAUUCUUGUCUUGUUUGUUGUCUUCCAGGUCGCUACCGAAAUGUACUAGAUGCCCAAUGGGGCGCAAGAACAGGUCGAGGAGGAGGAGGGGAGCGGAGGUGAAAGUCAGGAGGAGUGGCAAUCUGACGGCGAGGAGGAUGAAGAAGAUGACGGUUCUGGUGAAGAGGAGGAGGAAGUCGACCCUCCCCAUACUGAAAGGCGAUCCAAGCUCACCCAUGACCCCGCAGUCGAGCGUGGCAAAGCAACUGCGCCCGUUGGGCAGUCGACGAAACGUCAUCGGACGACUUCUCCGGCACCGACUGAGAAAGCGUCGAAGCAACCUCGAUCAACGUCAUCAAAGCCGACGAAGGCCCUGCCGAAGAUGAGGAUGGUGAUUCCCACUAUUUCCGGGUAAUAGCAGAACUUGUGUUUUCUUGUUUGGCAUGGAUAAACUCUUAGUCGAUUCGUUGGCUAACCGACUGAUUUCUGGAAUAUGCAGUGCUGCUACCUCCGAGACCUUAGCCAGGAACGAGGAUCAAUAAAUGGAAGAUGCUGCCACCUCGAACCUUGGUAUGAUCUCUGUAGUUUUGUUUUUGGUCGAUUAGAUCUUCAUCUUUAACUUUGAAUCUUUCUUGUAGCCCCACCUCAUGUCAUUGAUCUCCUUGAUGAUGACGAUGAGGAGCCACUGAGGCAGAGGAGGAACAAGAAGGCGCCUGCUGGCAAGAGUGCCCAGGUUGUACUAGAACCUAAGACGCUGGUUCCGGAGGGAGGCAACGUCACUCGGGCUACCAUGUCUUUUGCUGUGCCGCUGACGAGUGCUCGCCCUUCGUCGUCGAGUGCUGAUCCGCCUUCCCUUUUCGCCACACACCACGUCCCAGAGGAUCAAGCAGGCGCUACUAAGGAAGCUAUACGCCAAGCAGGGGUCAUGAUGGAGAAGGUGAAGGCGAUCUGAGAUGCCAAUCAAGCAGCUUAUGAUGCAAGCUCAGCUCUUCAGAGCAAUAUCCAGGUUAGUUGAUCACCGCUUGUUCUGUUAGGAUAUGGUACCUAAAAAAUCUUCUUUCUGAAGGUCUUAGUAUCUGUACACCCACUGGGUGCGUCGAUUGAAUUUUUGGAUUGGUGGGGGCACGCUGAGUGCACCCACUGGGUGUAGUCCCCGAGACUGUGGUGGACUGCUGGCAGUCGACUAUAGUCUUUAUACUUUGAACUUCUUCACUUUACUUUUUCCACUCGGUAUGGUCGAAUGGAAUCAUGGAACCAGUGGGGGCAUGCUGAGUGCACCCAUUGGGUGUAGUCCCCGAGACCAUGGUCGACUGCUGGCAGUCGACUAUGGUCUGAAGAACAUUUUUUUGACGACACCAUGGCUGACUGCUGGCAGUUAGCUAUGGUUUAGGAUCAUAACUUUCUUUCUCUAUCGGUCGACUGAUCGAUCCGAGUCGGUAGAACCAGUAGGGGCACGCUGAGUGCACCCACUGGGUGUAGUCCCCGAGACUACUGUUGAAUAUUUUCAUUCGGCUGUAGUCUUAGAAAUGCUACGAUUUUUUCUCUUAGUCACUCGGAAGUGACCUAUUUUUGAUGUCUGUCGACUGACUUUUCGCAGAAAUCUUGCGAGCUUGUGGCUCGUUAUACUGAGUUGGAGAACAAACAUAUCUAGCUCGAACUUGACUUGAAGCUUGUCCAGGAGAACUUCACGAAGGCGAAGGAGGAAGCAAAAGGUAUGUUUGGUGAGAAUCUUGACAACUGGCCUUACUUUUUUUGUCCAUUCUUGAUUCUGAACUCGUUGUUACUUUGUAGAAAAACUGAGGGAGGCUCUGAAGAAGAAGGAUCUUGACCUUGCCGAGGCGCAGAAAACGGCUUCAGACAAGACCAAGCUCGCGGAAGAAAAGUUGACUUCAGUCGGUAAACUUGAAGAGGAAAACGCCAAUCUGAAAGCUGCUCUUGACGCGGCCAGCAAGGAGGCCAGCCGACUGAAGAUUGACAAGAUUUCUCUAAGCGGCAAGGCUAGCAAACUGGCGGGAAAGAAGAAUGAUCUAGAGGCUUAUCUGGGGGGGGCUCGCCAAGAAGUUAUUCCUCAUGCUUGAAGGUAAUCCCUUAUAUCCGACUGGCUUGUAAUUAUUGACUUACCAUAGAACUGCUGGCUUAUCUUUGGGUUGUGUUUAUAGAAUUCUACCAAAACUUUGAGGAAGAGACUAGUCGAGUGGAGACAGGCCUGGAUCCCAUCAACUCUCCUGUGAAGGACAAAACUGCCAUGAAUGUGCUCCGACUGGAGUCUCGUGUUGCUGGUGUGGUGGACUAUCUUUCUCGACUGAAGGUUGCAACGUCGCACAUCGACACAACACUCUGGCUGGGGGAAACGCUUCAGAAUGACCUCGAGUCUCUAAUGACUCGACUGAACGAAGUUUCAGGUCGAGUGCAAGAAUGGAAGAAGUCUUCUGCCAGGUGUGGUGCUGAUGUUGCUCUGUCUCUGGUCCGUGUUCACUGCAAGGAUGCGCGAGAGGACAAGCUGGCGUCCCUCAAGGUGGCCAAUACCAAGAAGCAUGACUUCCGAUCUUUCAUGGAGACCUUCAUUGUUGCUGCCACUCGGAUUGCAGAUGGAAUCGACCUGGACGAGUUUGUUGCGCCUUCCAGUCCCCCGCCUGAGGAGUGAGAAGAAAAACUUUUAUGCCCUGCCUUAAAUUUGCCUCGGAAUGCCGAGUGGUUUUGUAACCGGUUAAACUUUGUCACGCUUGAUGCCUGAGCACUUCCGAAUCCGUAGGACGCUAACUGAACUUGGUUUUGCCGUUGAAUAUGUUUGCAUUUGCCUUUGAGUGAAUAUUGCUCUUCACUCAGAAUAUAUUUUAGUGCCUGUGACGUACUUUUGCAGGUUGAAGUACAGAUUGCAGUCGACCUGCAUCCUUGCGGGUCGGGACAAACGCAUAUUGUAUUUGUGGCGGAGCUCUGAAGGAGAAGGUAACAGUCGACCAGCGCUUCAUCGUCCUUGUGAAUCGGAAUGGAUUCCAUACUUAGGCGAGUACUAGACUGCAGCUAAGCCCCCGAGUGGGAGGUUUGCUCUCCACUCGGAAGGAUUUUUCAAACUUAGGUGAGUACUGGACUGCAGCUAAGCCCCCGAGUGGGAGGUUUGCUCUCCACUCGGAAGGAUUUUUCAAACUUAGGCGAGUACUGUACUGCAGCUAAGCCCCCAAGUUGGAGGUUUGCUCUCCACUCGGAAGGAUUUUUCAAACUUAGGCGAGUACUGAACUGCAGCUAAGCCCCCAAGUGGGAGGUUUGCUCUCCACUCGGNNNNNNNNNNNNNNNNNNNNNNNNNNNNNNNNNNNNNNNNNNNNNNNNNNNNNNNNNNNNNNNNNNNNNNNNNNNNUAAGCCCCCGAGUGGGAGGUUUGCUCUCCACUCGGAAGGAUUUUUCAAACUUAGGCGAGUACUGUACUGCAGCUAAGCCCCCAAGUUGGAGGUUUGCUCUCCACUCGGAAGGAUUUUUCAAACUUAGGCGAGUACUGAACUGCAGCUAAGCCCCCGAGUGGGAGGUUUGCUCUCCACUCGGUAGGAUUUUUCAAACUUAGGCGAGUACUGGACUGCAGCUAAGCCCCCGAGUGGGAGGUUUGCUCUCCACUCGGUAGGAUUUUUGUGGUGCAGCUUCGAAGGGAAAGGUAGCAGUCGGCCUGCACCUAGUCGUCCUUACAAAGCGUGCGUUGUAUUUGUGGCGUAGCUCAGAAGGAGAAGGCAUCAGUCGACCUGCACCUCGUCAUUCUUGCAGAGAGCACAUUGUAUUUAAUACUUAGGCGAGUACUUGGACUGCAGCUAAGCCUCCAAGUGUGAAGCUGGCUCAUCACUCGGUAGGAUUUUAAACACUUAGGCGAGUACUUGGACUGCAGCUAAGCCUCCGAGUGCGAGGCUGGCUCACCAGUCGGUAGGAUUCUAAACACUUAGGCGAGUACUUGGACUGCAGCUAAGCCUCCGAGUGGGAGGCUGGCUCACCACUCGGUAGGAUUUUAAACACUUAGGCAAGUACUCGGACUGCGGCUAAGCCUCCGAGUGGGACGCUGGCUCACCACUCGGUAGGAUUUUCAUGUACUUAGGCAAAACGGAUUCGCAGCUAAGCCCCCGAGUGAGAGGCUAGGUCACCACUCGGCAGGAUUUUUUGUUUUUUACAAACUUAGGCGAAACAGAUUCGCAGCUAAGCCACCCACUGGGGGAUUACUCAUGUACACAAAAGUAACCACAAUCACUGGGAAAAUUAUAACACUCUUGUCUUUGAUUAAUAAACUACAGAAGUACUUUUAUUACAUUUCAUAUGAGUGAAUACUUAAGUAUAAAAAGGGCAGAGCAGCUCCGCGUUCCAAGCCCGUGGCUCAUCGAUCUGGCGAUCGACAUUGUAAAGGCGGUACGCUCCAUUGUGGAGGACUUUGGUGACGAUGAAGGGACCUUCCCAAGUAGGAGCCAGCUUGUGUAGUUUUUCGGUGAUCCACUCGGAGAACCAAAUCUCCUUCUUGGAAGGCCUGACUCUUCACGUUUCUAGCAUGGAAUCAACGCAAGUCCUGCUGAUAGAUAGUCGAUCGGAUCAUGGCCAUCUCUCUUUCCUUUUCUAGAAGGUCGACUGCAUCUUGUCGAGCUUGCUCUGCUUCAUCUUCAGUGUACAGUUCGACCUGGGGCGCAUUGUGAAGCAGGUCACUUGGCAGGACUACUUCAGCUCCAUAGACCAGGAAGAACGGAGUUCUCCCAUUCGACUGAUUAGGAGUGGUCCUUAAUCCCCAAAGAACUGACGGAAGUUUGUCGACCCAUGCGUCUGCUGCGUGUUUGAGAUCGCGCAUCGGUCGGGGUUUCACUCCUUUGAGAAUUAAACCAUUCGCUCGUUCUGCUUGUCCAUUCGACUGGGGGUGAGCGACUGAAGCAUAAUCGACUUGUGUGCCUUGAGAUGCGCAAAAGGCUCUGAAUUCGUCGGAAUCAAAGUUUGACCCAUUAUCCGUGAUGAUGCUGUGCGGAACUCCAUAUCUGAAUACUAACUCUCUGAUGAAGCUGAUAGCAGUGCCAGCAUCCAGAUUCUUGAUAGGCUUAGCUUCAAUCCAUUUGGUAAACUUGUCGACUGCUACUAGCAAGUGAGUGAAGCCGCUCCUGCCAGUUCUCAGUGGUCCAACCAUAUCUAACCCCCAAACAGCGAAGGGCCAGACGAUUGGAAUGGUCUUCAGGGCUGAGGCGGGUUUAUGCGAUUGAUUGGAAUAAAACUGACAUCCUUCACACUUAUCGACUAUCUCCUUUGCCAUUUCAUUUGCUCUCGGACAGUAAAAUCCCGCUCGGUAUGCUUUAGCCACAAUGGUCCGAGAGGACGCAUGAUGACCACGGGUCCCCGAGUGGAUAUCAUCAAGGAUUACCCGACCUUCUUCUGGCGUUAUACAUUUCUGGCUGACUCCAGUCGAGCUCUCUCUAUACAACUAUCCCUUUAUCACGGUAAAGGCCUUGGAUCGACGGACGAUCUGUCGAGCCUCUUCCUCAUUCUCUAGGAGCUCUUUCCUUAGGAUAUACGCGAUGUACGACUCUGUCCAGUUGGGAGUGAUGACCAAAACUUCCAUAAUUAGGUCGACCACAGCAGGAACUUCAACCUCAGUCGGACCUGCGACACUUUUUGGAUGUGGAGCUUCUUCGGUGAAAGGAUCCUCUUGAACUGAUCGAGUAUGGAUGUGUUCCAAAAACACAUUACUGGGAAUGGCUUCCCUCUUGGAACCUAUCUUCGCCAAGUCAUCAGCCACUUCAUUUUUCAGUCGGGGUAUAUGAUGAAGCUCUAACCCCUCGAAUUUCUUCUCCAGCUUUAUCACCGCAUUGCAGUAACCAGUCAUGGCUGGACUUCUGACGUCCCACUCCUUCAUCACCUGAUUGACCACCAAAUCUGAGUCGCCGUAGACCAUAAGGCGACGGACGCCGAGUGAAAUGGCCAUACGCAACCCAUACAAAAGUGCUUCGUACUCUGCUUCAUUGUUGGAGGAAUCGAAGUGGAUCUGGAGCACAUAUCUGAGCUUAUCUCCUCGGGGGGAAACCAAUACUACCCCAGCACCGGAACCAUUCAGCAUCUUAGAACCAUCAAAGAACAUGGUUCAGUGCUCCGAGUGAACUUGAGUCGGUAGUUGUUGUUCAAUCCACUCGGCAAUGAAAUCUGCUACAGCUUGGGACUUGAUGGCUUUCUCUGCCUCAAACUUGAUAUCAAGGGGAAGGAGUUCAAUCGCCCAUUUCUCCACUCGACCAGUUGCAUCUCUGUUGUGCAGAAUCUCUGACAAUGGGGCGUCGCUGACGACUGUAAUGGACUGGUCAUAGAAGUAAUGAGCAACCUUCUUCGCGAUCAUAUAAAUCCCAUAUACAAGCUUCUGAUAAUGCGGGUAUCUUUGCUUUGAUGGGGUCAAGACUUCAGAAAGAUACAAGCUUCUUCCCGCUCGACCGUAAGUACUGUACUGACGACUUGUCCUGUGGCUGCAAUGUAAAGCAGCAAAGGCUCUUCACUGAUUGGGGCAGCAAGCACCGGCUGGGUGGAGAGCAGGGCUUUCAGCUCUGCGAACGCUGCAUCAGCUUUGGGAGUCCACUCGAACUUGUCUGACUUCUUCAUCAGUCGGUAAAGAGGCAAUGCCUUUUCACCAAGGCGAGAGAUGAACCGACUUAAAGCGGCCAAGCAUCCAGUAAGCCUCUGGACAUCGUGCACACGCACAGGGCGUUUCAUUCGGAGUAUAGUGCCAACUUUUUCUGGGUUGGCGUCGAUUCCUCGUUCGGAAACGAGAAAACCGAGUAACUUUCCACCAGGAACUCUGAAUGUGCACUUUGAUGGAUUAAGCUUGAUAUCAUACCUCCUGAGGUUGGCAAAUGUUUCAGCAAGGUCAGUCAACAGGUCGGAACCCUUCCGUGAUUUGACCACAAUAUCAUCCAUGUAUGCUUCUACAUUCCGACUGAUUUGAGUGAGUAAACACUUCUGAAUCAUCCUGAUGAACGUGGCUCCGGCAUUCUUGAGGCCGAAUGGCAUGGUGAAAUAAUAGAAGCACAAGAAUGGAGUGAUGAAAGCUGUUUUAAUCUCGUCGGGUCCAUACAUACGGAUCUGAUGGUAACCGGAAUAGGCGUCUAAAAAGACAGGUGCUCACAUCCCGCAGUUGAGUCUGACUAUUUGGUCGAUGUGGGGGAGAGGAAAAUGAUCUUUCGGCCAGGCCCGAUUGAUAUGUUUGAAAUCAAUGCAUAUACGAAGUGACUUGUCCUUCUCAGGGACCAUGACAACAUUGGCGAGCCACUCGGAGUGGUAAAUCUCUCGGAUAAACUCCGCUGCUAAAAGCCGAGCCACCUCCUCGCCAAUGGCCUUUCUCUUCUGGACGGCGGGCCGUCGAAGAUGUUCCUUGACAGAUUUUACUUUUGAGUCGACUCUCAGGCGAUGCUCAGCCAGCCCCCUGGGAACACCCGGCAUGUCAGCAGGCUUCCAUGCGAAGAUGUCCCAGUUCUCAUGGAGGAACUCGAUGAGCGCUUCUUCCUAUUUGGAGUCGAGUGUUGUGGAGAUAUGAGUCGGAGCAGCACUGGGAUUGGUCGGGUGGAUGUGAACGGGCUUCGUCUCACCGGACGACUGAAAUGCUGACUCUGUAGUAGGCUUCUUGUCUCGCAACAGAUCACUCGGAUCUGCAGUUUUCUGGUAUUCCUGCAGCUCUACCACUGCCAUCUGAGCAUCGGCGAUCUUUGAGCCCUUCUGAAAGCACUCUUCCGCCUUCUUCCGAUUGCCAGUAAUAGUGAUCACACCUUUGGGACCAGGCAUCUUCAUUUUGAGAUACACAUAGCAUGGUCGAGCCAUGAAACGCGCACAAGCUGGCCUGCCCAAAAUAGCGUGAUAAGCACUCUGGAAAUCCACAACUUCAAACGUCAACUUUUCCUUUCGGAAAUUCUAGUAAUCACCGAAAACCACAUCAAGAGCAAUUUGACCGAGUGACUCAGCCUUCUUCCCAGGAAUGACUCCAUGGAAACUCAUGUUACUGGUACUGAGUCUGGACAUCGGAAUGCCCAUCCCUUUCAGUGUUUCUGCAUACAAUAUAUUUAGGCCACUGCCAUCGUCCAUCAGAACUUUAGUCAAUCGAGUGCCUUUGACGACUGGGUCGACCACCAAAGCUUGCCUCCGAGGGGUGGCUAUGUGUUUUGGAUGAUCAGACUGGUGGAAUGUGAUCGCAGUCUGAGACCAUUUCAGCUAACUGGGUGUCACCGGAGCAACCAUAUUCACCUCACGGUUGAUAACUUUCAAUCGACUUUUGCUUUCAACAUCAGCAAAAAUCAUCAGGGUGAAAUUGACAUGAGGAUAUCCUUCAUCACUGUCCUCUUUGUCAUCAACUUUGUCCGACUCCUUUUCCUUAUCCUUGGUCUGUUUCCCCUGAAAUUGCUAGAUCAAGAGCCGACAUUGCCGAGUGGUAUGUUUCGGGUAAAUGAAGUUACCCUCCUCAUCUUUCUUCGUGUGAAUGUGGCAUGGCAAAUCCAUCACGUCAUUUCUUUCCUUGUCCUUCACCUUCUUAGGGUUCCAAGAUCCUUUGGGCUUUCCUUUGAACUUUCCUUGAGUCACGGCUAAGGCUUCUCCAGGAGCAGCUGGCUCGGCUUUCCUCUUCUACUUCCGACUGGAGUUCCCUCCCCCGGUUUCAUGAGCGGUUGGCUUGUACUUGCCACUCCGGAGCCGGUCUUCUUCUUCAUCAUUGGCAUACUUGGUGGCAAUCUCCAUCAUCCGACUCAGGGUCAUCUCUCCGGUCCGACCGAAUUUCAAACUUAGCUCUCUGUUCUUAACACCCUCCUUGAAGGCACAGACUGCCUGGUGAUCAGAUACAUUUUCCAUCGUGUGAUGCAACGUGAUCCACCUCUGGAUGUAAUCCCUCAGAGUCUCAUUCGACUUUUGCACACAAACCUGCAGCUCUGUCAACCCUGCUGGUCGCUUGCAAGUUCCUUCAAAUGUUCUGACAAACACUCGGGUAAGAUCUUCCCAAGUGUAAAUGUUGCUAGGUGCCAACUGAUUCAACCAUGCUCUGGCCGAGCCCUCCAACAUAAGAGGUAGGUGCUUCAUGGCCACCUCAUCAUUGCCGCCGCCAAUCUGAACAGCCACUCGGUAAUCCUCAAGCCAAGUAUCGGGCUUAGAAUCGCCGGUGAACUUACUGACUCCAGUCGCCAACCUGAAGUUGGGAGGAAUCACCGCGGCCCUGAUGGCUCUGCUAAAACACUCUGGUCCUGAGAUGUGAACUCUGCUGCUGGUGGGCGCAUCCCUGUCAUGGCCUUCUCGGUGAGCUCUGUUCCGAUCGACCAAACCUUGAACGAUAAUGGAUCUCGCAUCAAAGCCUGGUUCCCUGGGGUCGACUGGAACCCGUCGUCCAACACUGUGCUGGCGUCUGUCAACUUGCUGUCGAGGGGCAUACGACCCACCCUUGGUGGAGGAGUGGGCACUCGACGCCUAUCAUCGCGAUCGAAUCGGUCAUCAUACUGAUCACGCCGACCUCCACGUCCCUCAUGCCUCGGGGGCGAUCUCGGGCUAUGGGCCAACUGGACUGUAUUCACAGUGACGGAUCUGUUGUGAAUCCUGUUUCGCGACUGCGAUACAGCGGAAUUUUGAUCUCCUGCUGCCCGGAGUAAAUCUCUGAUCUGCAUCAAGCCUCUGCCAGCCUCCGACUGAGAGGGCUGAAUCGAUUCUGCUAUACGGGUUGCAGCUGCUAGAUUCUGAAUCGGAGUUCGAUAUACCUGAGUUGGUGGUGGAAAGAGUUGAUGUCGACUGGAGUCUGGAACCCGUUGACGUGCACGCUCGUCGAGUGCUCGCUGGAGGUUCUCCAGUCGAGUGCCCUCAGCCAGAUUGACCAAACGCGCAUCCUCUAAGGCGCGAGCCUCGGGGGUUUCUCCAACGAUAGGAGUAUGCAGCGCAUCCAUGUUACGGCGGCGAAGAUCUUCCCUUUGCAGCGAAGUUAGUGGCUCGGGUUGAUCCUCCUCGUGGACCUGCACUGGGUCGCCUCCACCGUCGCCUCCGUCGGCGCGGGGGAAGCCGGGAGGACUACGCAGCCCAUUGACCGUCAAGACCUCCGCCGCUAGAUCACUGCUGUCGCACUCGGAUGCCGUCUCUACGGAGCCAGUCGACAGGUCGAACAGGCCGUAGAGAGAUUCAUCGGGCCUGAGCACCGCGACUUGGGGGGUGGCCGACUGGCGGGCCACCGCGUGCCUCACCCACCGCUGAAGCCUCGACCGACCGGAACGCUUGCGCUGGCGGGAGACAGGGAGAGAGGACGACGCAGGGGUCGACCGAUAUGGGGCCGACGGUUGCCGCAGGAGGACGCCGAGGACACACGCGCGAAAGUGCGUUGCCCCGCGGACGGGGAGCGCAUCAAUGUCGAGUGGAGCCUCCUGAAGCCAAGCGGAGUCGUCGCCGAUGAACGUGAGCGCCCCGAGACAGAUCUCGUGAGGGCACCAACUGUCGUGGUUCUAAGUCUGACAGUAGAAUAAGGGGGUAGGAAUGGAGAGGCAAGAUCCUAGCUAUGGAGUAGUUGUGUACACAAGGUGUUUAUGAGUUCAGGCCCUUCUCGGAGGAAGUAACAGCCCUACAUCUCGAAGCCCGGAGGCGGUCGACUGGAUUAUAUGCGUAUGAAUUACAAGGGUGCGAACCCUUUACACUGAGGAGGGGGGUGGCUUAUAUAGAGUUCGCCAGACACCUCCGGCCCUUAGUUAUGUAGGGUUUAAAGUACAUUAAGGUCUGGUGUUACUGGUAACGCCAUACAUAAAGUGCUAUCAUGACCAGAAAGACUACUUAAUGACAGACCGUUUGUGUGCAGAGUGACUCUAGAUCUCCUGUCGGUCGAGUGAGUGGCUUCAUGGUCAAGUGUCUUCGAGUACGUCGAGUGAAAUCGUUCCAGGUCGACUGAAAGGUACUCCCUCCGUUCCAAAAUAUAUGACUCAAUUUUGUACUAACUUUAAUACAACAUUGGGUCAUCUAUUUUGGAACGGAGGGAGUAGUUUCUUCUAGAGAUGUCCUUGGGGAGGGUACCUUGGAUAGGUCCAUGAACCUACCCUAGGUACAUGGCUUCAUCAAUGAACUCAUUCUUUAUUUAUAUUGGUGUUAAACCUACUAUAUUCCAACUUAUCUAUGGUUCAUACCCCCCAAUACUAGCCAUAGAUGCAUCAAAAUAAGCAAACAACACACGAAAAACAGAAUCUGUCAAAAACAGAACAGUCUGUAGCAAUCUGUAACUUUCGAAUACUUAUGGAACACUAACAAUCCUACCAAAAUACGAAGUCCUGGGAAAUUUGUCUAUAUAUCCACAGAAAAAAUAAUCAAUGCAAAAGCACGUUUCUGUGAUUUAUUAAAAUUAUUCUCGUGCGCGCAAAAGUUUCUGUUUUUCAGCAGAAUCAAAUUAACUAUCACCGUAGGUUAUCCUAUAGGUUCUACUUGGCACAAACACUAAUUAAAACAUGAAAAAACAUCUAAACCGAAGCUAGAUGAAAUAUUUAUUACUAAAAAGAAGCAAAAAGUAAGAAACAAAAACAAAAUUGGGUUGCCUCCCAACUAGCGCUAUCGUUUAACGCCCCUAGCUAGGCAUAAAAGCGAGAAUAGAUCUACGUAGUGUCAUCUUUGGCAUUCAAUUCAUAAGUAGCUCGCAUGAUAUAUUCAUAAGGUAAUUUAAAUUUCUUUCUUGGAAAGUGUUCCAUGCCUUUCCUUAGUGGAAAUUGGAAUCUAAUAUUUCCUUCCUUCAUAUCAAUAAUUGCACCAAUCGUUCUAAGGAAAGGUCUACCAAGAAUAAUGGGACAUGAAAGAUUGCAAUCUAUAUCAAAAACGAUAAAAAUCCACGGGCACAUAAUUCCUAUUUACAACAAUAAGAACAUCAUUGGUCCUUCCCAUAGGUUUAUUAAUGGUGGAAUCCGCAAGGUGCAUGUUUAAAGAACAAUCAUCAAAAUCAUGGAAACCUAGAAUAUCACAUAAAGUUUUCGGAAUCGUGGAAACACUAGCACCCAAAUCACACAAAGCAUAGCACUCAUGAUCUUUAAUUUUAACCUUUAUAGUAGGUUCCCACUUAUCAUAAAGUUUUCUAGGUAUAGAAACUUCCAACUCAAGUUUUUCCUCAUAAGAUUGCAUCAAGGCAUCAACAAUAUGUUUGGUAAAAGCUUUAUUUUGACUAUAAGCAUGAGGAGAAUUCAACACGGAUUGCAACAAGGAAAUACAAUAUGUUAAAGAACAAUUAUCAUAAUUAAAUUCCUUGAAAUCCAUAAUAGUGGGUUCAAUGCUAUGUAAAGUCUUGACCUCUCCAAUCCCACUUUUACCAAAUUUAGCAUCAAGAUCUAAAAACUCCGAAUUAUUGGGACGCCUUUUAACUAAAGUUGACUCAUCUCCAGUCCCAUCAUUAUCAAGAUUCAUAUUGCAAAACAAGGAUUUAAUAGGGGACACAUCAAUAACUUUUAUAUCUUCAUCGGUAUUUUCAUGGAAACUAGAAGAACACGCUUUUACAAAGCAAUCUUUCUUAGCAUGCAACCUAGCGGUUCUUUCUUUGCGCUCAUCAAUGGAAAUUCUCAUGGCUUUGAGAGACUCAUUGAUAUCAUGCUUAGGUGGAAUGUAUCUAAGUUUCAAAGAAUCAACAUCAAGCGAAAGUCUAUCAACAUUCCUAGCCAAUUCAUCAACCUUAAGCAAUUUUUCUUCAAGCAAAGCAUUAAAAUUCUUUUGAGAGAUCAUAAAUUCUUUAACGCUAUUAUCAAAAUCAGAGGGCAUCUUAUUAAAUUUUACAUAAGAGUUGUUGUAGGAAAUGCCAUAAUUAUUAGAGGAAUUACUAGGAAAAGUCUAGGAUUAAAGUUUCCUCUAUAUGCGUUGUCACCAAAAUUAUUCCUACCAACAAAAUUCACAUCCAUAGAUUCAUUAUUAUUCUCAAUCAAAGUAGACAAAGGCAUAACAUUAGGAUCAAUAGGAGUACUCUUAGUAGCAAACAAUUUUUCAUAAGUUCAUCCAUCUUUCCACUCAAAACAUUAAUUUCUUCUAUAGCAUGCACUUUUUUACUAGUAGAUCUUUCCAUGUGCCAUUGAGAAUAAUUAGCCAGAAUGUUAUCAAGGAGUUUAGUAGACUCUCCUAAGGUGAUUUCCAUAAAAGCUCCUCCCGUGGCCGAAUCUAAAAGAUUCCUAGAAGCAAAAUUCAAUCCGGCAUAAAAAUUUUGUAUCAUCAUCCAUAAGUUCAAACCAUGAGUAGGGCAAUUACGAAUCAUUAAUUUCAUUCUUUCCCAAGAUUGGGCAACAUGCUCAUGAUCAAGUUGUUUAAAAUUCAUAAUAUCGUUCCGAAGAGAGAUGAUCUUAGUGGGAGGAAAAUACUUAGAGAUAAAAGCAUCUUUGCACUUAUUCCAUUAAUCAAUACUAUUCUUAGGCAAAGACGAAAACCAAGUUUUAGCACGAUCUCUAAUUGAAAACGGAAAUAACUUCAAUUUAACAAUAUCAUUAUCCGUAUCUUUCUUCUUUUGCAUAUCACACAAAUCAACAAAGUUGUUUAGAUGAGUAGCGGCAUCUUCACUAGGAAGGCCAGAGAAUUGAUCUUUCAUAACAAGAUUCAAAAAAGCAGCAUUGAUUUCACAAGAUUCAACAUCAUUAAGAGGAGCAAUCGGAGUGCUAAGGAAAUCAUUAUUAUUGGUAUUGGAAAAGUCAAACAAUUUGGUAUUAUCUUGCGCCAUCGUGACAAACAAUCCAACACACAAGCACACAAAAAGGCAAGCGAGAGAGAGAAGAUUGGGAAAGAGAGGGCGAAUAAAACGGCAAGGGUGAAGUGGGAGAGAGGAAAAGGAGAGGCAAAUGGCAAAUAAUGUAAUGCGAGGGAGAUGAGUUUGUGAUGGGUACUUGGUAUGUCUUGACUUGACCGAAGACCUCCCCGGCAACGGCGCCAGAAAUCCUUUUUGCUACCUCUUGAGCAUUGCGUUGGUUUUCCUUGAAGAGGAAAGGGUGAUGAAGCAAAGUAGCUUAAGUAUUUCCUUCAGUUUUUGAGAACCAAGGUAUCUAUCCAGUUGGAGGCUCCUCAAAGUCCCACGCACCUACACAAACAAACAAGAACCUCGCAACCAACACAGUAAAGGGGUUGUCAAUCCCUUCACGGUAACUUGCGAAAGUGAGAUCUGAUAGAGAUAAUAAGAUAAGAUAAAUAUUUUUGGUAUUUUUAUGAUAUAGAUUGGAAAAUAAAAGAUGCAAAUAAAAGUAGAUGGAAAACUUAUAUGAUAAAAGAUAGACCCGGGGUCCAUAGGUUUCACUAGUGGCUUCUCUCAAGAUGGCAUAAGUAUUACGGUGGGUGAACAAAUUACUGUCGAGCAAUUGAUAAAAAAGUGCAUAGUUAUGAGACUAUCUAGGCAUGAUCAUGUAUAUAGGCAUCACGUCCGUGACAAGUAGAUCGACUCCUGCCUGCAUCUACUACUAUUACUGCACACAUCGACCGACUCCUGACUGCAUCUAGGGUAUUAAGUUCAAGAAGAAGAGAGUAACACAUUAAGAAAGAUGACAUGAUGGAGAGGGAUAAACUCAUGCAAUAUGAUAUAAACCCCAUCUUUUUAUCCUCGAUGGCAACAAUACAAUACAUGCCUUGCUGCCCCUGCUGUCGCUGGGAAAGGACACCGCAAGAUUGAACCCAAAGCUAAGCACUUCUCCCAUUGCAAGAAAGGUUAAUCUAGUAGGCCAAACCAAACUGAUAAUUCGAAGAGACUUACAAAGAUAACAAAUCAUACAUAAAAGAAUUCAGAGAAGAUUCAAUUACUUCUCAUAGAUAAACUUGAUCAUAAACCCACAAUUCAUCGGAUCUCGACAAACACACCGCAAAAAGAGUUACAUCGAAUAGAUCUCCAAGAAGAUCGAGGAGAACUUGGUAUUGAGAUUCAAAGAGAGAAAAGAAGCCAUCUAGCUAAUAACUAUGGACCCAAAGGUCUAUGGUAAACUACUCACAACUCAUCGGAGAGGCCUGGGAGAUGAUGUAGAGGCCCUCCAUGGUCGAUUCCCCCUCCGGCAGAGCGCCGGCGAAGGCUCCAAGAUGGGAUCUCGAGGAUACAGAAGGUUGCGGCAGCGGAAUUAGGUUUUCGUGGUGCUCCUCGAUGUUUUCAGGGUACGUGAGUAUAUAUAGGCGAAGGAAGUACGUCGGUGGAGCAAUGAGGGGCCCACGAGGGUGGGGGCAUGCCGGGUACCCUCGCGGCCGCCUCGUUUGUUGCUUGACGUCCACUCCAAGUCUCCUGGUUUGCAUUUGUUCCAAAAAGAUCGCUCCUGAAGGUUUCAUCCCGUUUGGACUCUGUUUGAUAUUCCUUUUCUUCAAAACACUGAAAUAGGCAAAAAAAACAGCAAUUCGGGCUGGGCCUCCGGUUAGUAGGUUAGUCCAAAAAAUGAUAUAAAAGUGUAAAGUAAAGCCCAUAAACAUCCAAAACGGGUAAUAUAAUAGCAUGGAACAAUCAAAAAUUAUUGAUACGUUGGAGACGUAUCAAGGAUCAAGAAGUCACCUCUCGUCUCCAAGCCAGAUUUAUGAUGGAGGAACUCCAGAGCUCAGCAAUUCCAAAUUUGGUCAUCCCUCCCAAUGCUAGAUUUAUUUCUUAUGAAAAAAAUGAAAAGGAGUGUUACUUUUUCUCCCGCAGCUAUGCAACAUCCAUGGGUGAAAGAAGCCUUAACCGUCGCGGGUAAACUCCAUAAGGAAACAAUGGAUCUUAAGCAGCAAGUCAAUAAGCUCGAGGAGGAGAACCGUAUCCUGGGCAUCAUCCCCAAAAUUAUCACAUCACCACCUCCGAAGAAAGAGACAUAAACACAUGAGUAUGGGCACUCCCCUUGGCAACUACCAAGCUUAGGGGAGGUGCCCCGGUAUCGUAUCACCAUCACACUUCUAUCUCUACCGUUUUUCUUAGUUCGAUCCUUUUGGUUAUAUCUUGAUCUAGUAGAAUAAAGUUUUAGUAUGAUCUAGCUUUGAGUUUUUGUGUUGAUCCCUAUCUAUGUAAUCGAGUCUGUGAGCUAUAUAUAAUAAAGAUUAGUUUUGAGUCGAGGGCUUUGCUAUCUUGCUAUGAUCUUGAGGGAAUAAAAGAAUAAAAAGAAACAAAAAAGAUCAUAUUGAUCUUAUGGAGAGUAAUGACUUCACAUAUAAAGAGUAUGAUGAAUAAAAGUUGUUGAGAGUUGACAAUCAUAGUUUUGGUUGUUGUCGCAAUUACUAGGAAGUAAUAAAGAAAGAGAGAUUUUAACAUAUAAAUAUACUAUCUUAGACAUAUUUUAUGAUUGUGCGCACUCAUUAAAAUAUGACAUGCUAAAAAGUUGAUGUUGGACAAGGAAGACAACGUAAUGGGUUAUGUUUUCUUACAUCCGAAAUAAAGUAUAUUGUCAUGGAUCAUCGAACAUGUUGAGCUUGUCUUUCCCCCUCAUGCUAGCCAAAUCAUUUGCACCAAGUAGAGAUACUACUUGUGCUUCCAAACAUCCUUAAACCCAGUUUUGUCAUGAGAGUCCACCAUAUAUGCCUAUGGAUUGAGAAAGAUCCUUCAAGUAAGUUGUCAUUGUUGCAAGCAAAAAAAAUUGCUCUCUAAAUAUGUAUGAUCUAUUAGUGUGGAGAAAAUAAGCUUUAUACGAGCUUGUGAUAUGGAAGAAAUAAAAGUGACUAACUGCAUAAUAAAGGUCCCUACCACAAGUGGCAAUAUAAAGUGACGUUCUUUUGCAUUGUGCAUCCAACCAUAAAAGCACAUGACAAUCUCUGCUUCCCUCUGCGAAGGUCCUAUCUUUUAAUUUUUGUCUUAUACCUUAUACAAGAGUCAUGGUGAUCUUCACCUUUCCUUUUUACACUUUAUCCUUUGGCAAGCACUUUGUGUUGGAAAGAUCCUGAUAUAUAUAUAUAUCCAAUUGGAUGUGGGUUUUCAUAAAGAAUUAUUGUUGACGUUACCGUUGAGGUAAAAGGUUGGGAGGCAAAACUAUAAGCCCCUAUCUUUCUCUGUGUCCGAUUUAAACUUCAUACCCAUAACUAUUGUGUGCGUGUUAGCAAUUGUGAAAGAUUAAAAGAUAGUUGAGUAUGUGGACUUUCUGAAAAGCUCUUAUAUUGACUCUUUCUGAUGUAAUGAUAAAUUGCAAUUGCUUCAAUGUCUGAGAUUAUAGUUUGCUAGUUUUCAAUGAAGUUUCUAGUUCAUACUUUACAUUGUGAAUAGAUUGUUACUUGAAGCAUAAGAAAUCAUAUGACAAUAUAUAUGUUGUUGUUCUAAGAAUGAUCAUGAUGCCCUCAUGUCCGUAUUCUAUUUUAUCGACACCGCUGUCUCUAAACAUGUGGACAUAUUUUUCGAUAUCGGCUUCCACUUGAGGACAAGCGAGGUCUAAGCUUCGGGGAGUUGAUACGCCCAUUUUGCAUCAUGCUUUUAUGUCGAUAUUUAUUGCAUUAUGGGCUGUUACUACACAUUACGUCACAAUACUUAUGCCUUUUCUCUCUUAUUUUGCAUGUUUACAUGAAGAGGGAGAAUGCCGGCGGCCGGGAUUCUGGGCUGGAAAAGGAGCAAAUAUUAGAGACCUAUUCUGCACAACUCCAAAAGUCAUGAAACUCCACGAAAGUCAAUUUUGGAAUAUAUCAAAAAUAUUGGGCGAAGAAAGCACCAGAGGGGGGCCACCCACUAUCCACGAGGGUGGGGGCGCGCCCUACCCCCCCCCCCUCCCCCCCCCCUGGGCGCACACUCCUGCCUCGUGGGCCACCUGGAAGCCCCCUGAUGCUCAUCUUCUGGUAUAAGGUGUCUUUUUCCCUGGAAAAAAUCAUAAGGAAGCUUUCGGGAUGAAGCGCCGCCAUCUCGAGGCAGAACCUUGGCAGAACCAGUCUAGGACACCGGCGGAGCUAUUCGGUCGGGGAAACAUCCCUCCGGGAGGUGGAAAUCAUCGCCAUCGUCAUCAUCAUCGAUCCUCUCAUCAAGAGGGGGCCAAUCUCCAUCAACAUCUUCACCAGCACCAUCUCCUCUCAAACCCUAGUUCAUCUCUUGUAUCUGAUCUUUGUCUCAAAACCUCAGAUUGGUACCUUUGGGUUGCUAGUAGUGUUGAUUACUCCUUGUAGUUGAUGCUAGUUGGUUUAUUCGGUGCAAGAUCAUAUGUUCAGAUCCUUUAUGCAUAUUAGUACCCCUCUGAUUAUGAACAUGAAUAUGAUUUGUGAGUAGUUACGUUUGUUCCUGAGGACAUGGGAGAAGUCUUGCUAUAAGUAGUCAUGUGAAUUUGGUAUACGUUCGAUAUUUUGAUGAGAUGUAUGUUGUCUUUCCUAUAGUGGUGUUAUGUGAACAUUACUACAUGACACUCCACCAUUGUUUGGGCCUAGGGGGAGGCAUUGGGAAGUAUCAAGUAGAUGAUGGGUUGCUAGAGUGACAGAAGCUUAAACCCUAGUUUAUGCGUUGCUUCGUAAGGGGCUGAUUUGGAUCCAUAUGUUUCAUGCUAUGGUAAGGUUUACCUUAAUUCCUCUUUCAUAGUUGCGGAUGCUUGCGAGAGGGGUUAAUCAUAAGUGGGAUGCUUGUCCAAGGAAGGGUAGUACCCAAGCACCGGUCCACCCACAUAUCAAAUUAUCAAAGUAACGAACGUGAAUCAUAUGAGCACGAUGAAAACUAGCUUGACGAUAAUUCCCAUGUGUCCUUGGGAGCGCUUUGCUUCAUAUAAGAGUUUGUACAGGCUUGUCCUUUUCUACAAAAAGGAUUGGUCCACCUUGUAGCACUUUGUUACUUUUGUUACUUGUUACCCGUUAUGAAUUACCUUAUCACAAAACUAUCUGUUACCGAUAAUUUCAGUGCUUGCGGAGAAUACCUUACUGAAAACCACUUGUGAUUUCCUUCUGCUCCUCGUUGGGUUCGACACUCUUAUUUAUAGAAAGGACUAUGAUAGAUCCCCUAUACUUGUGGGUCAUCAUACAUCAUCGGGCAGGUAAUCACCAAGAUUGGUACGGGGCACCAUCCCCGGAUGAUUAGCGAUGAUAUCGUUAGACACCUUGAGCGGGGGGCAUGUUUGCUUCGCCUGUUCAUCGAGCUAGGGAUUUUUUUUCCCACUUAUUCGUGAUGCUAACCUUGCAUCACUGCAAGUACUUCCCGACCUCUCCUCUUCCUUAUAUGCUUUUUUAAUAGUGCGCACAUAGUUGGAAUCCGGCGGAGGCGGUGGUGGUUGCUUCAGGGCAUCGAUAGUCCGCUUCGCUUUCACCGGAUCUACCAUUUCCUUCGGAGGUGGAGGUUUCGGUGCAAAAAAAGUCCCUCACUUGGGCACGGCUGAUGUCCUCGUUUUCCGUGUCGAUCCUCUCAUAAGGUAACUUUUCCAGAGCCUUGAGAGAUGGACCAUAUUUGAACUGCUUCCUUCUUCUACUUGUACUACUGCUAGCCGCCGGAGCGGCGGCCUCUCUCUUCCAUCAUUGCUAACACGGCGGAGUCGGCUGAUGCACCGGAGGAGGCGGAGGGGAGCCUUGGUGCCCUCAUGCGCCGGAGGAGGCGGAAUGCUCGUCAGAGGAGGUGAAGAAGGAGCCGGAGUGUCUUCACGUGCCAGAGGAGGCGGAUGAGGAGGCGGAGAACCCUGAACACUCGUCGGAGGAGGAGGCAGCGGAGGAGGUGGAGGCGGAGGCGUCCAGUUUGGAAGCUUGAUGUACUCCUUCCGCCAUAGACAUGGAGUCUUCAGAGCAAGACCCAGCAGAAUCUCCCCUUCACUUGUAGGGUGGUCAAGCUCGAGCUCCUCAAAUCCCUCCAUUACUUCAUCCGCCAUCACAAGAGCAUAGCCCUGUGGAAUCGGACAACAGUGAAAAGUUCCGGCGGAUUGAGGAGGUGGAACAGUGCCGACAUCCGCCUUUAAGGUGAUGUUUUGCCAUUAUAACAUAAUCUGGCAAUGUUGAGCCUCCGUGAUAGCAUCCACGGGGUAGCUAGGAGCCGUGAAGUUAGGCUGCUGAACGUCCGUGGAAGCCACGCUGCUUCUCCGUUGAGAUGGAGGGGUAGCUUUUGGGGUAGCUUCAUGCCACUGAGAUGGUUGGUCGGCAGUUUGCUGGCUCUCAAUUUGUUCCUAUAGUUUUAGUACUCUUGCAUUGAGCUUCUGUUUAUCGCUCAGCUCAUGUUCCUCUUCCUCUCCCGGGUUUUGUAACCGCCUGCGUCGGGAAACCCAAUCUUCCACGCAACGGAGCCUGGUGUGCCUCGUGUUCGUCCACGGUGCUCAGAAUUCCCGAGAGCCUCGGUCAGCUCAUCAUUCUCUCUAUCGAGAAUGAACGUCCCUUCCUGCGUUGCCUUGAUUGCUCCCUGAAGCUUCGUGAUGGGUGUUGCAAGCUUCUUGUCCAUCCAACAACACUUCCCUAAUUCAGGGCACCAAUAGUGGAAUCACGGCAUCUCACAUUGUGUGAGGGCGUGAGGAGAAUAUGAUGGCCCUAGUGGCUUCUUGGGGAGCAUUUUGCCUCCAAACCGCUCCAACGGAGACGUACUUCCUCUCAAAAGGAAGGAACUUCGGUAACACGUCCUCGUCUCCUCUGGCUCUACUCUUGGUUAUCUCUUACCUUUACUUGUCCAAGCUUUCAUUGUGUUGUAUCCCAUGCUUGCUUGUGUGCUUGUUGUUGCAUCAUAUAGGUAGCUCACCUAGUUGCACAUCUAGACAAUCUACUUAGUUGCUAAGUUUAAUUUGGUAAAGAAAAGCUAAAAAUUGUUAGUUGCUUAUUCACCCCUCCCCCCUCUAGUCAACCAUAUCAAUCCUUUCAAUUGGUAUCAGAUCCUCGUCUCUUUAUUAAGGACUUUACAGUCCGAAGAGAAUGGUUGGCACCGGAGACGAGGGGGGGAGUGCCCCGGUGUGAAUCCAUCCUCAUCUACGGCUGAUGGGGGAUCCUCACUCUCUCAUGAGGAGUUCAAUGCGGCUUUGGACACAUUGAAAACCUCCAUGAUGGCCGAGGUUAAAGGCAUGUUUAAGGAGUUUCUUGAUGGCCUUAAAUUAUCCACCGAACCGUUGGAAGUGGUUGAUCCCGCUAACAAGGUGGCGGAUGCUAACUCCAUAAAGGGGGAAGCUAGUAGUGAGCAAGUUCCUUUGCCUAGUGGUAGGAGCGGGAGUGGCAUCUUUGCCCAUGUUGAACCUCCUCUUACCUAUGGUGGACCGGUUCCCUCCACGCACGUAAAAAAUGAGGAUUAUGUCACUUGGGUGUAUCGCUUUAAACGCCACAAAUCAUAGUUCUACUAAUCUUUGGAGAAUUAUUGGGCAAGGUUUCUGCCCGCAUGAUCCAAGCAACUUCACUCCUAGAGAACCCGCGGAUCAUCAAUUCAAUGAGUCUGCUCUCUUCAUUCUCCAAGAAGUUAUUCCUCCCGAAGAUAUUGCGCGCUCCGACCUUUCACCGUGGCCAAGGAAGCAUGGGAGCAUGUUGUAUCCUUGUACAAGGGAAGUGCAAGCAUUCAAUUCUCAAACUUUGAAGAGGUGCAAGAUGAAGCCGAUGAGUUUGCCAUGAUUGAGGAUGAAGAACUUUGAGAGCUUUAUCAAAGAUUAACCACUCUCGCGGUCCCGCUCCGAGAUCAUGGGAGCAAGGAUACGGAUGACAAUUGGAUAAAGGGCAAUUUUCUCAAGUCCAUGAUGCCUUACCACAAGGCCAUGUCCUCCAUCAUCCGUCAAAGGCCGGACUUCCACGCCUUGUCCUCAAGUGAAGUGUUGGAUGAGUUUGUUGCAAUGAGGAUCUUGGACAAGACGGCCGACAAUGCGGUGUUGCGUGCUCAACGGUCAAAGAAGCCCAACCUUGCUUUGAAGGCCAAGGCUAGUGUGGAUGAAGAGGAAGAAUAGGAGAGUUGCCCCGAAGACACCAAAUAUGUCUAUCAUGAGCACAUGGCUCUUGCUUCAUGGCAAUUUUGGGGCAACAAGAGGAACACAAGGCCCAACUUCAACAAGAAGAACUCAAGUGGCACCAAGGGCAAGCAACGUGUGAGGACGUGCUAUAAUUGUGGCAAUGUGAGUCACUUUGUUGUGGAUUGCCCUUAUGAGAAGAGGGAAGACAAUGGUGGCAAGCUUAUCCAAAAAGACAAGGCCAAGUCUUUCCCCGACAAGAACAACUUCACCAAGAAUACUCCUCCCAAGGGGUUGGUGGCACAAGAAGAGUACAAUGAGGAUGAUGAUGAUGACGAAGAUGGUGAGACGGUUGCCGUGGCCUCCGUUGCCAUUGAAAUAACUCCACAAGUGUCCCUCUUCGAUUCACCCAAUGAGAACAUCACCGGCACGUGCCUCAUGGCUAAAGCUACCAACAAGGAAACCCCCAACAUCAAGACUACCAUCACUACUAAUCCUUCCUUGACGGAUUGCAUUGAUGAAAGUGAGGGGGCGAAGGAGGAGGAGAAUGAAUUUGAGUCUUUUAUAGGAAAGCUCAAAGGUAAAACAAAGAAGCACUUCGCUCCUCUCUUGGAACAACUUGGUGAAGCCAAUGACAUGAUCGAGGUUCACGAAGAGACCAUCUCUAAGAUGAAGAGCAUAGUCGUGACUAUGUCGAUGAGAUAUUGGAUCUCUCUAAUGAGCUUGAGGAAGAGCGUGGUCAUCGUUUGACUCUUGAGGAGUCACACAACGAUGAUCAUGCUAAAUUAAAGAAAGAUCUUCCUCAUGCUCUUGUUGUCUCUCGUGUGCUAAAUUCCGAGAAGGUCAAACUUGGGUUGACCAUGCUAGACUCAAGGAGGAGUUUGAUCUUCUUGACAAGGCUCACAAGGCCUUGAAGAGUGUUCAUGCUAGCCUCAAAGAGUCUCAUGAUCAACUCCAUGUGAGGCUAAGCAAGGUGAAAGCCACAUUUCCUCAUAUGGUUUUAAUUGAUAAUGCAAAUGCUACUAACCCGUGUUGUGAGCAUGUGCAUCUUGUGGAGGAGAAUACCAAGUUGAAGGAGCAACCUGAGAAAGGCCUUGUGUCCUGCAUACAAGGUGAGAAGAACUCAACAACCUUUUGAGCAAUCAAAAGGAAGUUGUGGCCAAGGAGGGGAUUGGGUUUGCAACCAAGUCCAAGAAGAAGAAGAAUGACAAGACCAAAGAACUUCCUCCUCUCAAGCAAACAUUUGUGAAGGAGGGAGAGGGUACUCCUAAGGAGAAUAAGAACAAUACGAACGGUGCUAGUGCCAAGAAGGGCAAUGCCACUUCUUCCAACAAAUCCAGUGACUUUAACCCUUCUUAUGUGUUAUGUCGUGCUAGUGAUAGGCAUGUUUAUGCCAAAUUUGUUGGUUCUUCUUAUGGGUACAUUGAAUGGUCUAUUUGGGUACCUAAGACCCUUUUCGCUAACAUCAAAGGGCCCAUCACAAAUUGGGUACCUAAAACCAAGCAUUUCUUGUAGGUGUUUGCUUCACGUGGGGAUCAUGGUUGCUCCAUAGUGGAGCCACAAAUCAUAUGACCGCAAGCAAGGACUUGGUGGUGGGCGUGCACAAAGUUUCAUCUAUGCCCACCAAUGUCGAAUGGGGUGAUGCCUCAUCUUCUAAGGUAUUGGGUCUUGGCAAGGUUGUCAUUUCUCAUGAUCUCACGAUCGAGAAGGUCAUGCUUGUUGAAUCUCUUGCAUACAAUUUACUUUCCGUUCGUCAAAUUGCACUCAUGGCCUUUGCCACUUUCUUUGAUAUUGAUCCCAUGGCCCUCUUGUGGUGCAAGACUCUUAAAGUAGCCUUUGUUGGGCAUGUCGAGAAUGGUCUUUAUGUGAUUAACUUUUCGGAGCGACCCACUAAGACCACGACAUGCCUAAUGGCUAAAGUUGACGUGGGAUGGCUUUGGCAUCGCCGUUUAGCCAUGUCAAUAUGAGAUCUUUGCAAAGUCUUCUCAAGGGGGACCAUGUCCGUGGACUACAAAUGUUAGUUUUGCCAAAGAUCGUGCUUGCAAUGCUUGUAUCCAAGGAAAGUUACAAGAGAAGGCUCACCCUCCCACGACUAUCAUCUACUCGACGAGGCCUUUGGAGCUCCUUCACAUGGAUCUCUUCGGGCCUCCAUCCUUUGAUAGUCUUGGGGGUAGAAAGUAUUGCUUGGUGAUUGUGGAUGAUUAUUCCAGAUACACUUGGGUGUAUUUCUUCAAGAGGAAGAGUGAGACCCAACAAACCUUCAUCGACUUUGCAAAUGAGGCUCAAUGUCAACACAAUGCAAAGAUUUUGAUGAUAAGAAGUGACAAUGGCAUCGAUUUCAAAAACUACACCUUGGAUGAGUUUCUAAGUGAUGAGGGGAUCAAACAUCAAUAUUCCGCACCUUACACCCCUCAACAAAAUGGUGUAGCGGAGAGGAAGAACUGGACAUUUAUGGAUGCGGCAAGGACCAUGAUGGCGGAGUUCAAGUCUCCGUACAACUUUUGGGUCGAAGCCAUCAACACCGCUAGUCAUGCAUCCAAUCGGCUCUAUCUCCGCAAAAGCUUGAACAAGACUUCAUAUGAGAUACUUACCGGUCUCAACAAGUACUUCCGGGUGUUCGGUUGUAAGUGUUUCAUUCUCAAGAAAGGUGUUCGUUUGUCUAAAUUUGAGGCUAGAGCUCAUGAGGGCAUAUUUGUUAGUUAUGCUACAAACUCUCAUGCUUAUCGUGUCCUCAACAAGUCCUUGAUGAAAAUAAUGGAUCCCUAAUGGAGCAAAGUGGUAUUUGUGAUGUAGGUGAUGAAAUUCCUCCCCAAGCCAUAAGAAGAAUGGGUAUCGGUAAUAUCCUACCCAUUGAGGAACCCCUUGUGGCCGAAGGAGAAGGACAAUAUUCCACUCAAGUGGAACCAUCACCAACCCAAGACCCACACGCUUCCAAAGAACCAAGUAAAGGCCCUCCUCCAAAUGAACAAGGUCAAGCGCAAGAUCAACCUCAACAUGGUGGUGAUCCACAAAUCGAUGCCCAAGGUCAAGUUCUUGCUACCGAUCUAGUUCAAGAUCAAGAGCAAGCUCAAGAUCAAGAACAAGCUCAAGACGACGCUCAUGAUGAUCAAAGUUACUGCCCCUCAACUCUCUCUUGAGGAGCAAUUGGAGCAUCGUGCCGCCAAUUAUUGCUUCCAAGCUCGCUUCCCAAGAGCAUCUCAUGAAGAAUGUGCUUGGAAGUUUAAAAAAGGGGGUAAGCACUCGUAGACAAUUGGCAAACUAUUGUGAACAUCAUGUGUUUGUUUCUUAUGUUGAACCCCAAAAGGUCUAUGAGGCGCUCGAGGAUCCGGAUUGGCUUAAUGCCAUGCAUGAAGAACUCAACAACUUCAAGCGCAACAAGGUGUGGAGAUUGGUGCCAAGGCCAAGGGAGAAUCAUAAUGUCAUUGGAACCAAAUGGAUCUUCAAGAACAAGCAAGAUGCUCACGGGAUUGUCAUUCGCAACAAGGCUCAUUUGGUGGCACAAGGCUACUCCCAAGUCAAGGGUAUCGACUAUGGUGAAACCUUUGCUCCCGUUGCUCGCCUUGAAUAUAUCCGUUUGUUGAUUGCUUAUGCUUCUCAUCACAACUUCAAGUUGCUAAAAAUGGAUGUGAAGAGUGCUUUUCUUAAUGGUCCUCUUAAUGAGUUGGUGUUUGUCAAACAACCCCCGGGAUUUGAGGAUCACAAGUUCCCCAAUCAUGUGUACCAACUCGAUAAGGCGCUCUAUGGCCUUAAACAAGCCCCAUGUGCGUGGUAUGACCACCUUACCGAGUUGUAGCAAGAUCGUGGGUUUGAAAUUGGGAAAAUCCACCCCACUCUUUUUACUAAGAAGGUCAACGGGGAGUUGUUUGUAUGCCAACUAUAUGUUGAUGAUAUUAUCUUUGGUUCUCCUAACAAUGCUUUGAAUGAGGAGUUUGCCGCACUCAUGACCGUGGAGUUUGAGAUGCCCAUGAUGAGAGAGUUGAAGUUCUUUGUUGAGUUCGAAGUCAAACAAAGAAGAGAAGGAAUCUUCAUCAACCACGCCUAAUACACUCAAGACAUGCUCAAGAGAUUCAAGUUGAGUGAUGUCAAGCCGGCGUCUACACCAAUGCCUACCAAAUGCCAACUUGACAAGUACCAGUUUGGGCGUACAAGGGACCAUGAUGCUGAUGGUCAACACGUGCCGGCUGGAGAAAACUUAUGCGAACAUUUUCUUUACAAUGCAUAAAAAAAUCUAGAAAAUAUUGUGUUUUUUUAAAUGUGUGAAGUUUCAUUUACAAAACUAUGUCACAAACAUUUCUUUGAAUGUUACAAUUUUUCCCACUGUACAGUACAUUUUUUAAACAUCAAAAACAUUCUUUUGAAAUCAUGAACAUUUUUGAAAUUUCAAAAAAAAUUAAAUGAUGUGAAUUUUUUAUUAAAAAAAUUAUUCAUGUUUUUGUAAAAAUGUUUGGAAUUUUCAAAAGUGUUCACUCUAAAAAAUUGUUUGCGGAUUUUUAAAAAAGAAAAUGAUUUUUCUAAAUUUUGUUCGAGAAGAAAUUGUUCGAAAUACCAAAUUUUGUUCUUAUUUUCUAAAAAAUUCGGAAUUACAAAGUUUAUUAGCAUUUGGAAAAUACUUUUUGAAAAUUUAAAAUUAUUUUUGUUCUAAAAAAUAUUCGACAUUUCAUAAAAAUGACAAUCUAUAAAAAAGGGUUUCAAAAAUAUUUUUUAAUCUGGAUGUUGUGCUCUGUUGUUAAUAGUUUCCCGUUUCCAAGUUGUCAACAGUAGUUAUUGGUUGUGGUGGUAGGAGGUGUAGUUCCUCACUCCUCAGUACAAAGGUCCUGGCUUCAAUUCCCGUCUCGCACGUUACGUCACUUGAGUUCUUUCUGUUGCGCUCCACGUCUAUAUCUAUAUCAAUAUAAAAAGACCCAAAAGGGCAGAUCCAACCGAUCUCGGUCAUCGAACUAAGUCAAUCCAACGACCUAUACUGCUCCAAUGGCGAGCGUUAAAUGUGUUUAACAUGCAAUUAAUAUCAUACCAAAUAUUGCACUAAUCACAGGAUUAACACACAAAUAAUAGCAGGACGAGACUUGUCUGCUCCCUUUCCAUGCUCCCAUCCGUGCUCCCGCGUACGUGGCUUAAUUUGAUUGGAAGAAAAUAAGACCCGGCCCCACCCCCUGAAAAUCAGGGGGGAGAUGAUUAGAUUAGAAAAGAAAAAAGGGAAAAUGACAGCCGUAGGAUGAAGUGGAAGCACGGAUGAGAGCAUGGAAAGGGAGCAGGCAAGCCGGAUCCAUAAUAGCAUACUUAAUACCCGCGUGCAAUUAAUAUAUUUCCUAAAUAUUAACGUGUGUUGCACGUGCACAUUUACUAGUGAGAUAAAAGAUCCAUUGAUGUCAUAAUUUAGAUGUGAGAUAAUAUCUCUCUCGCAUCUAGAUGUUAUAUAGACAGAACCUACAAUAUAAACACGUCCGCGGUACCAAGUACUAUGGAGUACAUCUAUCCCUGCUGUGCAGGGGGCUCGUUCAUACUAGUACAUUGGAGGUCCUCCUGCGCGUGGCGGACGUCGCCGCGGUCUGCAAGCUGUGGCGCAGGCUCAUCGCCGACCGCUCCUUCCUUCGCCGCCGCUGGCCUGAGAACGCGACCCACUCGUCCUUCUUCGCCGACUUCUUCACCCAACAAACAGCGGUUACAGGGAAAGGAGGACGAGGUUCUGCUUGUCGGCGUAGAUGAGGUUGGGGACCCCAACUCGCCGCCCGUAUUCGUUCCGGUUCGACGGUCGGCGCUCGGCCCCGGCCGCCGCUCCUUUCUCGGCCCACGUGCACCCGCAGGGCUUCUCAAUGGGGCGACGCCUCUCACCGCGCGCGGUGGCCUUCUCCUCGUGCGCCUCGCUCCAGACCAUGACCAUGGCCCUAUCAAGCUAGCCGUGUGUGAACCGUUCGCCGGCACAUGCGAUGUGCUUCCACCGCUCGUAUGCGAGCCGAUCCGCUCCUUGCGCUACGCAAAGACUGCUGCUCGCCGAACGCACUGCAGGGGGCGCCGCCAGCAGCGUCAAACUACUCCACAGUUUUCAGGGUCAUCGGCCUGGCCCGCGACAACGGUUAUCUAGACUGUAGCUUGCACUUGCACAGGUUCUCGUCCACCGAGCCAAACCGGGUCGUCUCUACAAAGCGCUUCGGCGAGGAACACGGGUGCGGUGGGCAUGGCGUCUCGACGGAUGUGUAGAUCUCCAAAUUCAAUCUGUGUGCCACAAAAUGUAUGUUUUCAAACAUGAUUUACAUAAUCUGGUCACACUAGAGUUAUUUAGAUCAACCAACACACUAGAAUUAUUUAUCUAGUUCUCUAAAACCUGGUGCGAAAUGAAAAACAUGUCACAAAACCUGGUACAUGAAGCACUUUAAUUACUCGUACUAUAACUUUGUCUCUUUUUUUGAAACACAACACAGAAGCAGACGCUUUCUUACAUACACACAUACACUCACUCUUACGAAAGGACAUACAUACAUCGUACUCCUAUGAGCACCUCUGAGUGACUCAUCCGGUAAGUUUUGAGAUUGAUAAAGUCUUCACGGACGCUUUGCUCGGGCACGUUGGUUACCACUAAAAAAGAUAUAAAGGCAUUGUACAGGGGCGAAUCUACGUUGAAGGUCGUGGGGGCGAAUGCCCCCACUCAAUUUUUUGGCCCAUUUAUACCCGGCCUGGGAUAUAGAACAUUGCCCCCGCUCAAACCAGGAUAUUUGCCCCCACUGACCCACUUUUGUGUUGUUCUAUUAAAGCUCAUCUGUCCGUGUAUGAGAAAGAGGCAGGAACGGAGCAGCCCAUCUAACAGAGAAUACAACACGCACAUGCAUACGAGCAGGCUGAAUCUGCUACAAAUGUACGCAUUCGCCCUGAUUAAGGUCAUCUCCACCGCGCGACAACGAAACGUCCGGGUCUGUCUGUUUGGCUCUAAACGGACAAAUGAAGCGGCCCAACGCGCAACCCCAUCCACAAGAAAACGUCCGCUUCUGGUCUGGCUUGCCCCAUCCCAAGCGCAAAUUUGGCUCGGCUUUCUGCUCCUCCCCGUCCGCUCUUGUCCAGGCCUGGACCCACUUGUCAACCACUCACCUCCACCGGUCUCUCUCUCUCCCUUUUUCUCUCUCUCCCUUUCUCUCUCUAGAGCACGCCCGCGUCGACCUCUCCCCGCUCGCGCACCCCGCAGGACGAGCAGCAGCUGCAGUCCCCGCCGGUUCUCGUCCUCGCAGAACAUGGGCGCGCGCGGCGGUAGGCGCGAGGCGGAAGGCGGCAGCGGGGGCGCGCGCGGCGAUGGGCGGGCGAGCGGGCGCGCGCGUGGGCGUGGAGCGUAAGGCGCGGUGNNNNNNNNNNNNNNNNNNNNNNNNNNNNNNNNNNNNNNNNNNNNNNNNNNNNNNNNNNNNNNNNNNNNNNNNNNNNNNNNNNNNNNNNNNNNNNNNNNNNNNNNNNNNNNNNNNNNNNNNNNNNNNNNNNNNNNNNNNNNNNNNNNNNNNNNNNNNNNNNNNNNNNNNNNNNNNNNNNNNNNNNNNNNNNNNNNNNNNNNNNNNNNNNNNNNNNNNNNNNNNNNNNNNNNNNNNNNNNNNNNNNNNNNNNNNNNNNNNNNNNNNNNNNNNNNNNNNNNNNNNNNNNNNNNNNNNNNNNNNNNNNNNNNNNNNNNNNNNNNNNNNNNNNNNNNNNNNNNNNNNNNNNNNNNNNNNNNNNNNNNNNNNNNNNNNNNNNNNNNNNNNNNNNNNNNNNNNNNNNNNNNNNNNNNNNNNNNNNNNNNNNNNNNNNNNNNNNNNNNNNNNNNNNNNNNNNNNNNNNNNNNNNNNNNNNNNNNNNNNNNNNNNNNNNNNNNNNNNNNNNNNNNNNNNNNNNNNNNNNNNNNNNNNNNNNNNNNNNNNNNNNNNNNNNNNNNNNNNNNNNNNNNNNNNNNNNNNNNNNNNNNNNAGGCUGCGGGCGAGUGAGCGGGCGCGUAGGCAGCGGCGCGGCUAGGCUCGGCGGGCGCGGCAGCGAGCGGGCAAGAGAGUGGGCGCGCAGGCGGCGGCGCGGGCUCGGCGCGCAUGCGGCGUGGCAAGGCUGCAGCGCGCGCGAGCGGGUGGACGAGCGGCCACGGCGAGGGAGAACUCGCGCGCGCGUCUCUUCGCUGCUGCGGGACGGCCACGACGGGCGAGUGGGCGCAGGCGGAGAGCAGGCGUGCCGGCCACGCCGAGCUGGCGCGGGUACGGCGCAGCGUGUGCUGCUGUGGACGGGCCAACUGCAUACACGGACAUUUUGGGGUUGAUGGCCGCGUUGGGCGCCUCCAACAAAACCCGAACACGCACGUACGUUUUGACACCCAUUGCCAUCUCAAACGGACAAAAUCCGGGCAAAGGAAACGUCUGUUUGGAGUCGUGCGUUCGAGUUGGCCUAUCCACGUCUACUUCUCGCGCGACACCACCGAGCCAAAGCCGCUGCCGCCGGCAGCUGCGCGCCUACACGGCACCGGCCGCCCCUCGGAUGAUCAGUUAUUCAGCCUCGACCUAUACAGUGCAUGCCGGCCGGCCGGCCGCGUCGCCGUCCCUAAGAGAAAGAAGAAGCGCACGACCGUCCCUAAGAGAAAGAAGAAGCGCACGACUGAUGAAGCCCUAGGUUCAGUUCUGAUCUAUUGCUUUCUAAUUUUCCUAUUAUUAUUCUAUUCUAGUUGCAUGUUUAAAAGGUAAAAACUGGUUGUUAGGUUGAUUGAACUUAGCUUCAUGUAACAAUUUCGUAUGAAUUAAGUUUAAGCAUGUGGCUGUUGGAUUAGAAUAAAUUCUAUAUGUGCCUUCAUGUACGUCAAUGUAUUUAUUGUUUAACUAUUUAACAAUGACAGGAAAACUAAUGGAGAGAUUUUUUGCAAAAUCUAGUAUGCUUGAAAUAGUUCAUCUAGGGGCAUGUACAACGGGGGCGCUUAGGCCCGAUGCCAGGGUUCCAUUCCUGGACGUUUUGGUCUAAUCCCGUCCGAUUCUGGGAUUCUCACUAGCGUUGAUGCCAGCCCAGUCGUCGGGCGCCUCCUUCCUUUUACUGUCCUAUGUAUGAGAAAAAAAAUCUUCUUGUUAGCCCUCAAAUAGGCGCCCAUGCGUUGGCCCUUCAGACUCUUACAUCGAGGCAAUCUUCAAAAUUAAUAAUUUAUAUUAUCUAAGUGCCCAUACAGGAGUCUCUCCAUUGUAGAUGCCCUAAACAAGCUUACUCGGUAAUGUGCUAAAGCUUAUAUUUUUAUCUGUCAAUGCUUACAUUCUAUCUGUAUUUAAAAAUGAUUUUUUUCUUGCUGGGGCUUGAAGGCUAGAAAUCGCUUUAAAGGAACGACAUAUUCAUAUUUCUCGAGUUUUUCUGUCUUAAGUGGUUAGUUUACUUUUAUUUUGGCAAUGAACUUGUCAUAGUUACGUGUGUGAUGAUAUUAUCUUACAAGAAAGUAUACGAUUUCGCUUCUUACACAUUAUAUGUAUGCUUCUGUGGUUGGUUUGUUAAGUGAUCUACCUAUUAGUUCGUAUACAUGUUUCUGAAAAAAUAUCGUACACCUCUUUGCCCCCUCUCGGUUUUUAUCCUGGCUCCGCCCCCGCAUUGUAUACUAGAAUAAAUUCAGAAUAGUGAGAACACACAUACCAAGUCUAAGAGUGAACCCAGAUGGAUAGGUCCCGACACAAGGUCUGAGCUACACUUAGGUUGCUAUAAUUUUGUCUUCUCUGCUGUGGCCAUCAACAUAAUUUCAUCACUGGACCGGUCGCUCAACACCUGCCAGAUGGGGCUCUCUAAUUGACUAAUAUCAAUCAUUUGAACAGAUUGUACGAGUUUGCAGUGCAAAAAGAUUGCACAUUACAUUCCGAUUUCGCAAAAAAAAAAUGGAAAACGGCACAACCACCGUAUAUAGCAAAUGAAUGCUCCUGGCUACCCGCGUCAGCAUCACUACAUUCAUACUAGCUCAAUAAUUGGUUAAUCGUAAAUGUUGGAAUGGCAAUGGCAAAUUGGCAAUCGAAGAGCCGGACAGAUAGGCCGAUCGCUCUUGCAUCCCAAGCUCCGACUGGUGCCCACAUACGUAGCUACUCCCUUAUAGCUUGAAAAAUGUUUUUGUAUUAUGGGACGAAGUGAGUAGCUUGGAUCCAUGAUUCGAGCGACGAAAAAACAUCUGACACGUGGCCGACAGAUCGGUUGGCGCCCGGGCUUGCUCCAUGAUCCUGUGGCCGUGGUGGAGUACUAUCCGGCGGGUAGAUCAUAUCCGACGGUGAAAAACUCCCCUGACAAGAGGAGGAGAGGAGUGUGUAUCUAUCUAACCGAUCAAGUAAUCAUCAAAUGAUCGAGGCGACAAUCUCUGACGAGACGGAGCAUAUUUAUUGACGGAGACCCAGAAUGGACACGACGGAGUGUGAUGGAUAUCGCUAGGGUGGCCACUGGCCGGCCGGGCGCCGGGACCAACCUCGGUCGUCAGUCUUGGCCUGCACACCUCGCAUGCACGCUGCCUCGCCUUCCGUCGUCGGCUCCGCGUUCAUUCAUUUCUUGGACAGCGCCACCGAUCGACGCCAACACAAUCACGCAAGUCCCGGCCGGAUCGAAUCCUAUCAUUGUACGUACGUUGGUGCAACCAUUUUAUUCCAUACAUUUCCGGUUCUCCAUCACACAUAAACCCUUCGGGUUUCCAAGAGCCCAUACGGAAUGCAUAUCACGUACCUUUUUUUUAUGGAAUUAUCACAUACUCCCUCCGUUUUUUUUAGACUGCAUAUAAGAUUUAAAUAAAGUAAAACUUUGUUAACUUUGACCAAGUUUAUAAAAAAAAUCAAAAUUCACAAUAUCAAAUCAGUAUUGUGAGAUGCAUCAUGAAAUUAAUUUUCAUACCAUACAGGUUAAGUAUUAUAGAUGCUGAUAUUUUUCCUACAAAGUUGGUAAAACUUUAUGAAGUCUGAAUUUGACCAAAUAUUAUAUGCAAACUAAAAAGAAACGGAGGGAUAAUGCAACAUUUGAUGUGCACUGAUCUCACUAAUCAUUAGUUCCACACAAUUAAAACGGGUGUUCAGACUAAGCUCAUACUACCAAUCAUUAGCUCAUACUUACUCGCGCGAUCGUGUUGACGCUGAUACCAUUUUCUAAGGCUGGUCACAAUGGGCAAAAACAUAAGCUAGUAACUUACACACUUUUUUAGACUAUGUUACUACCUCCAUAGUGGGUAGGAACAUCUAUGUAGUGUCAUGCAACGAUGUAUUUAUUAGGUUAUAGACUCAUUGUUUAUUGAAGUGUGUGAUGUUUCGGUAACUUAGCUAGUUACCACAAGCACCUCUCUCUUCAUUAAAUAUGUGCCACAUAAGCAAAGUUGUAUUGGAAUGUGUGAUGUUACUCCUAAGUUCCUCUCCAUUGUGACCAGCCUAAUGCGUAACUGAUCAGUAGAUAAUCCUACUUGGACCGGGGAGGUUAGCGUGGUCAUUCAAAAAUGCUAGACAUACAAAGACUUACACGCUUUUACACGCUCCUUUCAUCUAACAACCAAUCACAAACCUCUCCCCCCCUGAUUUUCAGGGGGUGGGCCGUUCAGCUCACCUAUUGACCAAUCAAGAUUAAUCAUCCUAUAAAAGCCUGUAAAUCGUUUGUACGUGUAGCAUUGCCGGUGGUCAUUUCAGUUCGGCACAGUGCUGUGGUUGCACGCACAACCGGUGUGCCAUAUAUCUACAUACAGAAUACUGAUCAAUGCGCGGGCUACCUAGCUAGUUGUGCCCGGUAUGUAAGCUCAUCAAUCCACCUCACACGAUCCCGCAAACUGAUGCGCUCUGCCGCGCAUUCCAUCCACGGCCUCGCCGGCGCCGAAGUAUCAACCUAGCUGCGCACUGCCGCCAUGUCCGGCGAGCUCUCCACGCGCUCGUCGCCCUCGUUCGCCGCCUCGCCCUCCGGCACCGACGACGCGCGGUCAGCAGGAGAGUCGACGCCGCUGCGGGUCGAGGCCGAGGGCAGCAGGUCCGGCGGCACUGGCAGCACCGUCGGCGGUGGCAACGGCGGCGGCAGCAGCUAGGGCUGGGGCAGUGGCGCGUCGGGGACACGUGGGCGCUCGACCCGCGCGCGCGGUGGGUCCGGGAGUGCAACCGCGCCUACCUGCUGUCCUUCGCGGCGGGGCUCAUGCUGGACCCGCUCUUCCUGUACGCCGUGUCGGUGAGCGGCCCGCUCAUGUGCGUCUUCCUCGACGGCUGGCUCGCCGCCGCGGUCACCGUGCUCCGCUGCAUGGUGGACGCCAUGCACGCGGGGAACUGCGUUACGCAGGUCCGCGUCGUGCGCGCCGAGGCCAUGGCAGCGAAACGGACGCGGCGCCGGAUCGCUGACAAGGAGCAGGCCGCGGCGGACGCGGACCAGGCGGAGGUCGACGCCGCGGCCGCGCGAAGCCUGCCGGCGUACGCCAGGUCCAGGAAAGGGAUGGCGCUUGACUUCUCGAAAUCAUUCUGGGAAGCUUACGCACCCCGGUCGUGUUAUCUUGGCCGCCCGUACGCGCUGGGAUCCGUGCCGUCGUCAGCCGCUAAAACAGGUCACGGGCAUUGCGGCAGUGUGAUUACCCACCACAGGUCUGUGAUCAUUCUAGUUCCAGUAGGCUACUGUGCAUGAAGUCUAGCUGGGCAACACAGCUAAAAGACACGUGCAUAUGGACAAAGUCAACAACAACACAGCUUCACAUACUCGUGACAUGGGUUUUUAACUCAACUCCGCUUUUUGGUUACGCGGGUGGGAGAAGGUUCGCUGGCAGUGCCUGGUGAGUGGUGACCAUGACUCAGGUACGAUGCACAUGUUUUAGGACAUGGACGAAGUACACGAUGAAAAGUCACAGUUCAUGUACAAUGUACAUGGUUUGGGAUCAACGUCCGUUGCAUCAUUCGAAUGUUCGAAAUCUCACAAACUGGGCACGGUAGCGACAACGUACACGGAGGCGAGCAUGGGACACCAUGGAUACAACGUUAGAAUACACGAGUCGACAUGAACGUUGGCAUGGUGGCAACGACGGACGUUGAGGCGAGCAUGAUGCCAUGGAUACAAUGGUUAGAAUACACGAGUCGACAUGGAUGUUGGCACGGUAGCGACGACGGACGUCGAGACGAGCAUGAUGCCAUGAAUACAACACUUAAGGUACGCGACUCGACGCAGACGUCGGGACGGUAGCAACGAUGGACGCGGAGACGAACACAUGACGCUACGAAUACAACACUUAAGAUACGCGACUUGGCACGGACGUCAGGACGGUAGCAACGACGGACGCAGAGACGAACACAUGACGCCACGAAUACAACGCUUAAGGUAUGCGACUCGACACGGACGUCAGGACGGUAGCAACGAUGGACACGGAGACGAAUACAACACUUAGGGUACACGACUCGACGCGAACGUCGGGACGAUAGCCUGAGACAAGUACGUAUGCCACGAAUACAACAGCUAGGGUACGCAAGUCGAUGCAGACGUCUGCACGGUAACGACGACGAUGGACGCGAAGACGAGCACGGUACGCCAUGGAUACAAUGGUUAGAGGAGGCAGGUCGACACGGAUGUCUGCUCGGUCACUGUCCGCGGGCAUAUCUAGAUGUGUCUGUGUACGUAUAGGGGACCGAUUUUACAACUAUGGUUGUGUAGAAGCUCCAAGCGCUCAUAUUUUGCGAGGGACCUCCAGAUGUGCUUCGCACAUGUCAAACACUUAUCGAUGGCUGUACGAGUGAUCGGGGUACACGAAACAAACAACUUGUGCCGCGCCACAUGCAUUUUUCUACGAUAGCUGGCCUGAUGAUUUUUUUUUUCUUGCAUUGACACAGGGAAGUAGGGAACAGUGCUAGAUUUUAUUUAGACCGUUAGCCCAUGAGACACCGUCUCGUGAGCAUCUCAUCGAUCUUCGGGCGGCAGAAAGAAACAAGACGUCUCAGAAUCUAGGGGACCUUUUUAUUCAGUCCUACCCACGAGCCUGCCAACCUACCGUAUGAGUCAGGUCAUGACGCUAGUUAAUGGAGCUUAAUGCUACGUAUCUCGAGGUACAAGAAAAAAAACGGACUGUCAAGAUAACAUGGCCCGGAUGCGUAGGCUCAAAAAAUCCACCUCCCUUGACUUCUUCGUCAUCCUCCCCGUGAUGCAGGUGCGUGCCUCUUCCGUUUCCUCCCUGAGCUACCUCUACGAUGAACUAGAACAUAAAUGCGCGCGUUGCUGCGCCCGUAUGUCUUAAGGGUAAAAUUUAAAAUUGUUAGAGAAAAUUAGAAUGACAGAAAUGUCUAAUAAUUUCAAAUGCAAACUUUAACAUCUUGAAGUUGGUGGUGGGGCAUGUGUAAAUAGGAUGUAGUGAGUGAGAUAUUACAACGUAUGCCCAUUGCUUCUCCUAUUCUGAUUUGGAUUGUUUGACUAUUCUAUUAUUUUCUCAUAGCUCUUAUCUAAUCACAUGUUCCUCCGUUUCCAGCUUGGUGCUAUAAGCGAGCAUGUAAAAUGGAAGGCUUGCCAUCGCCAAGGGCAAAACUACGCCGUGGCUUGCCUGGAUGAAAAGCAAGAUGGAAAAGGCAAAAUAAGGCGAUGUGAUUGGUACGAGUAUAUAUGAAAGUAGCUCAGCUAUAGAAAGAGGCAAACGGAUAACAAUUCUCCUCCACCAACAGCAGCAGUUUCAGAAGGGCGACCAAUGAUCCAUCACUGCCAUGGUUCUGCCGCCGCUUCUCGCUGGAUAGGACGCACUGGCGGAGCUUAGUGUAUUGCUGGGGGGCUGUGGCCCCCCCAACCUUAGACAAUUUUGUGAAGGAAAUACUAACUUUGUGCUUAGUUGGAAGAAAAAUUAGCAUUUUGCCCUCUUAAAUGUUCAUAUUUUGUGUUCCAGCCCCCCCAAGCAUUCUCCUGUAGCUCCGCCACUGAUAGGACGAUUCACAUGGUCAAAGCAGGUGUAACAGUACGACGAAUGCAGACAUGUGGGGCGGUACAACUGCCAGGGCAUGGAGGUCGACGAAUGCAGCGUGAAAACAGGGGUGUACGCCGACGCUGCAUGCGGCCGCUGCAACCGCAAUGGAAUGGAACACGAACGACGCAGUAGGGCAGGCCAUGGGAAAAAAGGGACCCACCUACGGGAGCCUACGAAGGAAUAAUAGAGCGACGCCCCCCCGGCACACGUGUCUUAGAAGCUCGCCGUCGGGACGCAAGACGGCGGCGGCGCAGCGCCAACGAACAGGGGAGGAGCGCAAGGAUACGGCUGGGACAAGAAUGAAUAGCCUGGAAGGUGCUCACAUUGUUCUGGGCCAGCUACGAACAAUUGGGCCCAAUGGCCGUUCGACCAGUAAAAGGCCCGAUUACUCACCGCACGCCUUACUCGUUCCGAGGAGCAGGGCCUGGGUAACGAUGCCUCGAGCGGUCAACGUGCGUAAGUGAUCUCUGCGACGGCCAAACUAAUCUGGAGCGUGUACAUGGAUGGGAUCCAACGACUGAGAACGUCAAAUCGUUGUGGAAGGGCAUAGCUGGCUCUGUUUUACUGUCUAGUAAAUUUCAUCUGGAUUUCUUGAAAACUACGUACCCAGAAACGGUUUUUGCUGCACGAUCAAAGAUACACAAUAUUGAUGCAAUGGAUAUUCUAUUAAAACUCCUUUUUGGGGUUUCUUGGUUUGUUUUCUGCUAAGACUACCUUCACUGUGUUUGGAUUAUCUAGAGCACCUGCUCAGCUUCUGAUCUUGCUUAUAUUGACUUCAGUUUAAUUUGUUGGUCCGCAUGAAAAUGUGAUUGCAUAAAAAAUUACAUGGGCUGGAAAUCACUUGUUAAUCCUACAACCAUUCCCCGUAGGAAAAAUUGCACCCAACAACAUUACGCCUCGUCAUCUCAUAGAUCAUUGUUUCGGUUUGUAAGUCGUUACCAUAACCCGCGGUUCUUCACACCACAUUUCAUCUUGAGUUCUUGACUGUUCAUAAAUUUUACAGUAUGAUUUCUUUGUCAAAUGACACAGGAGUACUAGCUAAAUCCGGUUAACCGAGCAGUAGCAAUCUUUGAUGGCGUUUUCCUUCAGAUACUUUAAAAAAAAAAGAUGUCCAAACUCCUGUACCGUGCAGUGACACGCCAUCUCAUCCCAGUUUUUUUAAGGGAUCUCAUCCCAGUGAUUUCAUUUAAUUAACCCAUGGCUAAAUCCAGUUAACCACAAUCGAGUAGUAUUUUCGAAUAUGACAACAACCCCUUCAAGAAACAGCGAUAGACCUCCUCGCAUAGGAUCCCCUAGGAUUCCAACAGGUAGAUUGUGUUUCAGCAUAGGUUCUUGUUUAAGGAACACUUCAUCUAUUUUCCUUCUUUUCUUCAUAAACAUAUCAUUUUCAUGGUCAAGUAAAUAUUGUUCUAACGGAUCAGUAGGAGGCACGGCAAUAGAAGCAAGACCAGUAAUUUCAUCCUUACUAGGCAGUUCUUUAACACAGGGUUGUCUACCAAAUUUAGAAAAAUUAAACUCAUGUUUCAUAUCCCCCAAGCCAAUUGUAACAACAUCCUUUUCACAAUCAACUUAGCAUUAACAGUGUUUAAGAAAGGUCUACCAAAUAUAAUGGGACAAAAGUCAUCUUGUGGGGAACCAAGAACAAUAAAAUCAGCAGAAUAUUUAAGUUUCCCACAUAAGACUUCAACAUCUCUAACAAUCCCAAAUGGUGUAAUAAUAUCUCUAUUGGCAAGUUUAAUAGUGACAUCAAUAUCUUCUAACUCAGAGGGUGCAAUAUCAUGCAUAAUCUCAUUGUAUAAGGAAAUAGGUAUUGCACUAGCACUAGCACCCAUAUCACAUAAGCCAUAAUAACAAUGGUCUCCUAUUUUAACAGAAAUAACAGGCAUGCCUACAACAUGUUUAUGUAUCUUAGUAUCGGGUCUAGCAAUAUUAGCAGUCUCACCACAGAAAUAAAUAACAUGCCCAUCUAAAUCAUCAUCUAAGAGAUCUUUAACCAUAGCAAUACUAGGUUCAACUUUGAUUUUCUCAGGAGGUGUAUAAGUCCUAGUAUUACUCUUACGAACAACAGUUGAAGUUUUAGCAUGAUCCUUUAUCCUAACAGGAAAAGGAGGUUUCUCAACAUAAGUAGUAGGAACAAUAGGAUCACUAUAAGUGACAGUCUUUUCUUCAACAGUAAUAGGUGCAACUACUUUUACUUCAAUGGAAGUAUUAUUUUUAAACUACUUCUCCUUAGGGAGAUCAACGUGAGUAGCAAAAGAUUCACAGAAAGAAGCUACUAUCUCAGAGUCAAGUCCAUAUUUAGCGCUAAAUCCACGAAAAGCAUUGAUAUCCAUAAAAGAUUUAACACAAUCAAACUUAGGUGUCAUACCUGGCUCCUUACCAUCGUCGGAACCCCAAUUUUAAUUCUUUCCAGUAAGUCCCAUUUGAAUUCAAUAGUCUUCAGCAUAUAAGAACCAGCACAGGAAGUAUCGAGCAUGUUGCGAUCAUUAAGAGAAAGCCGAGCAUAAAAUUUUUGCAUAAUCAUUUCUCUGGAGAGCUCAUGAUUGGGGCAUGAAUAUAACAUUGACUUAAGCCUCCCCCAAGCUUGAGCGAUGCUUUCUCCUUCGUGAGGCCAGAAAUUAUAUAUGUAAUUACGAUCACGAUGAACAAGAUGCAUAGGAUAAAACUUCUGGUGAAAUUCCAACUUCAAUCGUUUAUAAUUCCAAGAUCCUGUAUCAUCACAUAGCCUAUACCAUGUCAAUGCAUCUCCCUUCAAAGAUAUGUGGGUGGACCGGUGCUUGGGUACUGCCCUUACUUGAACAAGCAUCCCACUUAUGAUUAACCCCUAUUGCAAGCAUCCGCAACUAAAAAAGAAGUAUUAACGUAAAACCUAACCAUAACAUUAGACAUAUGGAUCCAAAUCAGCCCUUAAUGAAGCAACGCAUAAACUAGGGUUUAAGCUUCUGUCAUUCUAGCAACCCAUCAUCUACUUAUUACUUCCCAAUGCCUUCCUCUAGGCCCAAAUAAUGGUGAAGUGUCAUGUAGUCGACGUUCACAUAACACCACUAGAGGAAAGACAACAUACAUCUCAUCAAAAUAUCGAACGGAUACCAAAUUCACAUGAAAACUAAUAACAAGACUUCACCCAUGUCCUCAGAAACAAACGUAACUACUCACAAAGCAUAUUCAUGUUCAUAAUCAGAGGAGUAAUAAUAUGCAUUAAGGAUCUGAACAUAAGAUCUUCCACCAAGUAAACCAAUUAGCAUCAACUACAAGGAAUAAUCAACACUACUAGCAACCCACAGGUAUCAAUUUGUGGUUUGGAUACAAGAUUGGAUACAAGAGAUGAACUAGGGUUUUGAUGGAGAUGGUGCUGGUGAAGAUGUUGAUGGAGAUAGGCAAAGGCUAAGCUUGGGGAUACCCGAGGCACUCCAAGAUAAUAUUGAAAGAAGUAGCAAGCAACUAAGCUUGGGGAUGCCCCCGAGUGGCAUCCCCGCUUUCUUCUAACGACCAUCGAUAUUUUACUUGAAACUAUAUUUGUAUUCGUCACAUGAUAUGAGUUUUGCUUGGAGCGUCUUGUAUUAUAUGAGUCUUUGCUUGUUUUGCUUUGUGUUUUAAGUAUUGAAUCCUUGGUGGAUACACCAUUUUUAGAGAGCCAAAAAUUAUGCUACUCUUGCUCCUAUGCUUCACUUAAAAUUUUAGAGCCAAGGACUUGCUCUAGUACUUCACUUAUAUCUUUUUGAGCACAGUGUGAUUUGUUAAUUUUAAAGAAUUGUUCUCAUGCUUCACUUAGAUUUAUUUGCGUUUAACAUGCUUGACACACAUUAUCACCAAAACUAAAGAAUAACUUUAAAUCAUACCGACACAAGGAGAAGGAAAUUGCGUACUUAGUGAGUCUUGCAGCAAGUGUGUUAAAUUUGAAUUCCUGCCUGUUUAAGAAAUAAAUAAGUUAGCGAGAUCAUAUAUAUAAUCAGCAGUGCAAAUUAUAACCACCGUUCGAAAGUUGCAAACCUGCUCGUACCUCAUAGUUGCAAGAGCAGAUAUGGCAUUCAUCAAGUUUUCUCCUUUGACCAUCACACUAUAUACUGUAUGGAAAAUUAGUGAGGACAAGAUUUUACAGUCUGCAACUUGGUGCGAGUGAAUGAAAAUCUGGUGAGCGACCAGUGUGACCGGCUGCUGUGCUGGUUAGCAUUUGUAGAACCAACCACCAACUCUGGCUUUGCUUCCAGUUUGCAGGAUGCCCCAGGCCUCAUCCAUGUUAGUGAAUCGUGCUUCAACCAGUCCUGUACAUGAUGAACUCCCUCUGCAACCUCUCUUAUUUCUAGCCUGUACACCGAGGAUAUGGGAAGCGUAUAUUCAGAGAACAGAUAUGAGAAGCGUGUACUGUACAUUCAGAGAAGCGUAGCUCACGGGAAAAGAUGCCUCUUGAAGGCUAGGGGCUAGGGCCCCAAUGCGCCGCGUGUGGCGGCAGCCGGCGGCAACGACGACCCGCGCUCCAGGAGAGGCCAGCGGCUCUAGGGGUGUGGGAGAGUGUGUCCAUGGGGCAGCAGCCGAGCGGCGGGCGGCGAUGACCCGCGCUCCAGGAGAGGCCGGCGCUGACCACAUCCUUGCAGCAGCAGCCGAGUGGUGGAGCGGCUGACGGCGACGACGACUGCGACCGCGUCCGUGCGGCAGCGGCCGAGCGGAGGAGUUGUAGGGGUACUAUGUGAAGGCGCUCGUCCAUAUUGUGGAAGAAUGGCAGAUUCGCGUGGUGAGCAGUAGUGGUAGGUGGCGGCAAUCCACACUGGGGGCGAGCGUUGGAGACGGGCCACAUUCAUCCUGUGGAANNNNNNNNNNNNNNNNNNNNNNNNNNNNNNNNNNNNNNNNNNNNNNNNNNNNNNNNNNNNNNNNNNNNNNNNNNNNNNNNNNNNNNNNNNNNNNNNNNNNNNNNNNNNNNNNNNNNNNNNNNNNNNNNNNNNNNNNNNNNNNNNNNNNNNNNNNNNNNNNNNNNNNNNNNNNNNNNNNNNNNNNNNNNNNNNNNNNNNNNNNNNNNNNNNNNNNNNNNNNNNNNNNNNNNNNNNNNNNNNNNNNNNNNNNNNNNNNNNNNNNNNNNNNNNNNNNNNNNNNNNNNNNNNNNNNNNNNNNNNNNNNNNNNNNNNNNNNNNNNNNNACGGGGAGAGGAUUGCGGAUUGAGCGUGAUGAACGGACCGAAAACGGAAAGUGGGACAGGCUGUGACGAGGGAUGCGGGACGUGCGUGCGGGGUGGCAGAGUUUUCGUCCGCCCGUGAAAAAUGCUAAACGCACUUCGAACGUCCGUUCGUGUAACAUUGAUGGUUAGAUCUAAUUAAAUGAUCUGAUCAAAGGGCUAUAAUUCCUCCGUAUUGUUCUGUGUAGUUUAGGCUGGGUGCACAGAGCGAUGAAUAUGUUUUCUUGUUUAUCAGUAGUAGAGAUACAUAGUCGGUUGUUGCAUGCAGAAUUGGUGUGGCAUGACCACGUGUGGGCAUACAAUCUGCAUGUCAUGUUCAUUCUAGACACAACCGUUGAAUCUGCUGUUUGUGCUCUGUUCUAGAUCUCUCUCAUUGAUCCAGACGAAUCCAGCGACACCGCUCCACCGCCUACAUGCGGCUAUAAAGGCUCUCUCACCCGACAGUUCUUUCCUCGCCUCCUCCCCUCCCGUUUCCCUCCGAGUGUCGCCUCCACCUUCCAUCUCUUCGUGAAGAAGAGGCUGGUGUGCCGCGCGUGCUAUGGUGUUCCUGGUCUCGGCCGCCACCAGCACAAAGCAUGAGGUUGCAGACGUCAGAGAUGGACGCGACGCGGCAGGCAAUGGCGUCGGACCAGUAGGAGCUGGAGCACUCGGACGUGGCCGGCAAGCGGUGUUUGUGAUGCUGCUGCCACACACGAUGCACAAGGACAAGAGCGCGCCGGUGCAUGCGUAGAGCGCCGGCACGGCGGGCAUCAUGGUGGACUCGUGGUGCGUCGCCAAGAGUAAGCGACCGAACGGUACAAAUUCUGACAGCCUUCUCCAGACUCUGCACAACGACGACUUUGCUGCCGCCACCAAGGACAAGUGCAUCUCCCUCAUCGUGCCGCCCUUACACAAGCGCUAGCACACCGGCCACGUCUGGCCACGCCCACGGCAGCGUCGACAGAGUCGAGAAUCUCAGGCCCGAGUUGUGCGCCGUCAAUCGAAGGAUCCCGCGGGAGGCCCCGUGCUCCAUGGUUGUCCUGGUGGACCGCGGCUUCAGCAGUUGUGAGCAGGUAAGCCCGUAGGUCGCACACGGCGUGUGCAUCGUCUCCUCCAGCAGGCCGGAGGACAGGGAGGCCCUCGAUCUUGCCGGGGGGAUGGUGAGCACCACGGUGUGCAGAUCACUGUGGUGCGAUUCCUUGAUGGGAAGGCCGACAGUGAGGAGCACACGGAGGUCACGCUGCGUCCGUUCGAUGAAGGAGCCGAUGCUUGCACGCAUGAGCUUGACAAGGCCGCUGUUGCGCAGUUCCGUCAGAGGAUGGGAGACGCCGUGCGGUUCGACGAGUGUGUAAUGGCCGGAAACGUGAUCGGGGAGGUGGUGGAAAUCAGCAAGAGCCGGGAGUACGGACCGGUGGUGAGCGCAAGGCGCGCCUGCCGUCGACGACAGCGGGGGAGCUGGCCGUCCGCGGUCCGCCGGCGCGCGCGUGAUGUACCACCUGUAUACCGUCCGCGGUCCGCCACCGAAAAGUUCUGGCCGGAGUAGUGUCUGAUGGGCGCCGGCGGGACGUUCGUGUAGGAGAGCCUUUACAGGUACCCAGUGUUCUAGGCUGGGCUCCGCGUUUGCCUCGGCAAGGAGCUCGCCGUGCUGGAGAUGAAGACCGUGAUCGUGGCAGUGGUGAAGCAGUCAGACUCGGAGGUGGUUGGAGAAAAGACCACCGUGUCCAUGUUGCGCUCCGGCCGGGGCUGAGGCAUCCAUCAGCGGUUGCGGCGGGCUCCCUGUAUGGGUCAGCUGAGAUAUAAAUUUGUUGGUUUCGAUUAUCGGGAAAAAUGUUCUCUACCAUACAUAUGCUUUAUGUUUCAAAAUAAUGUAAUUAUAUUGUUAUGAGAUCCUUUUGUGUUAUGAGUUAUUACAAAAUUAGGAACACUCCAAAAAAGAUAUUAGAGACAUUAAAUUAAAAUUUUCAUGCGCCAUUAUAUUAAUUUUUGUUGAAGCCUUGUUGAAGCCAUAAAUGUUAAAUAUUUUUACUAUGUAUGGUUUUAGCAUUACACAUAUGGUUUGUACUAAUUGUUCUUUAAGUUGUCUAUGGUUUAUCUUGAGAUUAUGUAGUUGCUUAAAUAUUAUAAAUAUUUUGUUAAUAAACUGCUUAUAGAGUCUCCACGAAAUUAUUUAUGACAUCCAUAAUUCUUCAGUCAAGUAGCAAGCUCAAAUAUAUUUUAUUCUCCUACCUUUAUCGAUUGUAAGAAGUCCAUUGUUUAUUUUGAAGUAUCUAAUCCCAUUCAACUCUUUUCUUGUUAUUUUUCAUAUUUUAGGGCAAGCAGAUUUUUCUUAAAUCCAUAGUAAUUCAUAGUAUUCCCCAAUUUUUCCGUCCAUACUGAUCAUCCUCUUUCUGUCUGUCUUGACGACAAUUUUUAUAUAUAUUCUCCCAAGAGGUAACUAUAAAUAACUUACUUUCUUUUCAUGGUCCUUGCGUUUUUGAUUCAAACAAUAGCAUGCACGAUUUGUUUUCACCACUACCUAACCAUUAUGGUAGUUGCCCGCAUUUAUCUUCCGCCAUUCCAUAUUCCAGUUUUACUUCAAAAUUGAUAUUUAUAUUGAACUAUUAAUGUGAGUGUGAAAAGUUUUCCGAUGCCUGGAUAUUUGUGUACCACUACCUUCACGGUUUUCCUAACCUCUCUUGCAUUAUAUAUCGAAGGAUACCUCAUCAUUUGCUUGCCAUUUCGUCAUAUUGGAAGUCCUUUUCCCCACGACUCACACGUGGUCUUGGUCAUAGCCCAUUGAUUGGUGCGUUUGAUUUCAAUGUUGGUAAUAUAUGUUUAAAAUGAUAAGAAAUUUGUAGAACGAAUGGAACUUGACUAAAAUUAGAUAUAAUAUCGGUAAAGUAGUUGAGUUGUAUUAUUGAAUGAUGCAUAUAAUCCAAGCAAAAUUGCACCGAGACCACGUGUUUGCCUAGCUAGAUUAUAUUUACUAAUAUUUCACUCUUGUAUCAAACAUUUAUGGGAAAAAAGACUUGUUUUCUGUAUGUAUACAUGCAGCAUUUUUUUUGCGGCGGUACAUGCAACAAUUUUUGAUUGUUUGAUUAGAUGCACAUGUUCGAGCUUCAUUUUCCAAGAGGAUGUACAUGUAUUUUUCAUGUAUAUAGUAUCAUCAACAAAUUGCUAUGACAAUGCUUCUAAUACUUUGUUUGUUAUAUAAUUUGUAUGAACGCAAGCAUGUAUCAGAUUAGGCAUGCAAAUAGGCUGUCUUUUGAUUAAAAUGCACUUGUUCCAGCUCAUUAGUUCAAACGCAAAUAUAUUUUUUAUAGUAAUGCUGCCGCGCUGGCCGAUCGUAUUUGAACACCAGAAGCUGCCGUCCCGAGUAGUGAUUGGUGACAGUCUUUCAAAUGUUUGAGGCUAUCCUACCAAUGCAUGUGCGUAAGACGUGACGCCCGGUGUGUGCCUGUUUUCUGUAUAUAGCCUGGGCAUGCAGCCGCCCAUCUUUCCUUGUAUCUCCACGUAGAACCGGGUGUGACACCUACUGAAGCAGCGUGCAGAAAAUGCUUGCCAUUUGGCGGCCUCAACGAAGUGCAACGGUGACUCACUCACCUGUACAUGCUCUAUAUAUUACCGGUUGUACACUCACGAGCAAGAUCAGCUGAGUACACCACAAUGGACGAAGCUUACCGCCCCCAAAGAGUAUCCUCCAUAGCAAAGCAAGUUAAGAAGAAGGGCAAACAUCCAGCCCUAAAUUUUAAUCAUGGGAGCGGAAGCAGCUUGGUAAGCUCUUGGCUUCACCUACCUUUUUAUCUUCAUUUAUCCCUUGCAAGUAAGCAACUUAUUAUAGUACAAAUUCUUCCAUACAGGAGGAGAAUCUUAUAGUAUACAUUCCAAGACGACCAAUACUUGAAACAGUGAGUGAAACAAUUGGCCUAAAAGUACAAGGCUACACCUGUUGGUAUGUUCAUGAAGGUAUGAUACAAGCAUCCGUACUAAUUGCUAUGCCACGUCAGAUAGAUAGUUUCAUAGAAUCUUCCAUUACAUAUGAAGGAGAGGCAGCUAAUACAGAAGAUGAAGCAAUGGAAAAGGCAGCUCAAGUGGCCUUAGAAUGCAUCUAUGCAGACUAUAAUAUUUCUAUCAAUGACCAUAAUUACUAUGCCCUUGAAGUCACAAAAGAAAGGUUGUUUACAGCAAGAGAAAAGGCUCAAACAAAGCAAUGGUAGUUCAAUAUGGCUCUCCAUCAAGUAACUACACUGCAAAACAAAUUUGCAAGACAAACAAUGAUUCUCGCAAAGAUAUGCAACAACUUCUUUGAUAUAUUACCACUUUGCAUGUAUCCCCAGCGCUCAGACAGCGACGAUCCCAUUAUCACAUACACAAGCGCGCACCCUCCGUUGCAAGAAUUUGCAAAAUCACUUUACCACUUUAUCACAGGCACCAAUCCAGCAGGAGGAUAUAAUAGGAUGAUCUAAUCCACCAGCAACUACUUGUAGCUCAUUUAUGUAGUGUGUUUGUGUUUCUAUAAACAGUUCUUCUAGCUCAUUUAUGUAGUGUGUUUGUGUUUCUAUAAACAGUUCUCUGCCUACAGUGAACUGUAUGUACUUUGAAUAAUUGGUUUGCCUCAUAAGUGUACCACUUUUAAUUUGUAUCUUUGUAUCCCUACAUUUAUAAAAUUUCAAUAGCUUCAUAUGUUCGGUUUCUUCAAUGUCUCUAUAUAUUAUUCUGAGACUAAAUGAGCAUGCACCGAUCUACUCUUGAAUCAGUAGAUUGCACAUUUGCGAGUGAUCACCGAGCGCGGCCUGCCGCCGCGCGGGUUAGGCUAGUAAAAAUUAUGUGAAGAUAAAGUGGCAAACAUCAGAAGAUAAGAAUACUCGAUUAACAACAUAGGACAACUACAAACUCCAAAUUCAUUUUCUAUUUCCUCAUCAUAUUGUGAUGGUUUCAAUGAUAUUGCUAGAUCAUAAUGUUUAUACUUUAUUUCAAACAUAAUUAUCAAUUUACCAUUAACAAACUUAAGACCUGACAAGUGAGAAAACAAGGUUUGCUAAGAGAAACAAUAUCUGAAUUUCUUAAGCAAAAAAUAGGAAGAGAGAGAAGCUAAUAUAUAACUUCACAAAGUUCCUUUGUGGCUCGUCCUACAUGAAACCUCUUAUCUCCAGCCCUUCAACACUCCUUUGAGAUCCGUACUCUCCAACUAACUUGCAACAAGAAGAUUUCUCUUUUUUGUUUCUCUCAAAUGAAAGAACAUAUGGACUUCAAACUUUUCAGAUCAAACAAACUUUACAAGUUCAGUGUGUGAAAAAACUUUCAGAUUUUUUGGACCAACAUAAAUAUACAAAAUGAGGAUUUUUUUAUUAAAAUAAUAUUUUUUAGCAUUUUAAAUGCAUGAAAAAAGCUGAAAGUUUUUUCCCACGUGGUAAUUAGAAUGUUUUGUUGUCCUGCAAAGUUUGAAGUUUAUACAUUGUUUCGUUUGAGAGAAACAAAAAUGACAAAUGUGCCUGCAUGGAUCUUGAUGCCAAAAUGGAUGGCUAAGAUAAGGGGUACCGUGUAGCUCAAGCUACACAAAACCACACUCAUAUAACUUACAAGUAAAGGUGGAAUAAAAAGGGAAAGGACUGGUGCGCUCGUUGGUCGCCAGAGGUGCGGUACCCCGGAGCAGCCGAGGUGGACGUGCUCACAGUGGUGAUUCCCGGCGGCGGGCGGCAUCAGUGCUCCGUUUGCAGCAUAUACACACCAAGGUGAAAAGGAGAGAAGUUGAGUGAAACAUCCCGUGAUUUGAGGAUCUGCUGAUCUGGGAAACUUAUCGGGACUUGCUUUUUUUCUACUAUAGACUUGCCAAAUCUCACCCAAAACAGAUUACAAGUAGUCAAAUUCUAGAUCUUGUUUAAGAACAACUUUAGCAGACCCGCAAAAAUACAACCCGCAAAACGCGUUUGCGAGUCAAAAACAUGCGCGGCCGAGCAGAACCCGUAUCUAAAUCUGCAUAUUUUGGAAAAAUACUUUCGCGGAAGAAACUGCACAAAGAUAGUUCAUCACAUACUACAUAGUUCAUCACAUGAUCAACAAGCUACAAGCAUAGCUAUACUACAUACUACGUUAAACUAGUACUAGGGGGUCGAAUCUGACGGCGGCGAGGUCGCGGCAAACUGGACGACCCCGUGGAGGAGCCGGACGCUCAAUCCUCCUCGCCGGAGCUGCACAGAUCGACGUACUUCUCCGCCUGCUCCGCGUGGAUGCGGCGCCACUCGUCAGCCUUCUCGUUGGCGGCGACGUUGUCGGCGACCGCCUGCCGCCACUCGACGGCUUUGAGCUCCUCAGCGUGGCGCCGACGCUCCUCCUCCUCGCGCACGCUCCGCUCGGCGAUGGCGGCGGCGACGGCGUCGAAGUCCGCGACAAAGUCCUUGGGCCCGACGAAUCCUUGGUGGCCGAGCGGAGCUGGCUCCUCGGGCUCCUCCUUCACCGGGAUGAACUGCGCCGGCGGCUCUGGCUCCUCCUCCUCGUCCGACCACUCCCUCUUCACGGGGAGGAACCCCGCGGCGGAGGAGGAGGAGGAUCCGGCGUAGGAAGACCUCGCGGAGGAGAAGGACGCGCGCCGGCGGUCGUACUCCUCCGUCUCGCGGUGCUCGAAGCUUGCCGGCGGCGACAUCCCAUGGUUGGUCCACUUCCGGGCGCCACGCUUCCUCGCGCCGUCGGACCGGACGUGCCCCUCGCGCUCCGGGUCCCUCUCACAGCCGGAUCUGCUGCCGGAGCUGCGUCCGGAGCUCCACAUUCGCCCCCACAUGGCGGCUGGAGGCGGGGCGGAGGGUCGCCGACGGCGAGAAAUUGGGAGAGGGGAAAGGGGAAUCGGGUGGCUCGCGGCGGUGGCAUGAUAGGGUUUGGACCCGCAAAAGGGUCGCGGAACCACACUUAUAGUGCUCGUGGCAUGCGGUUUGCGGGCUGCGGCAAAUUUUUUUUCGGGCCGGGCGAGUAUGCGGUUUGCGGGCUGCGGCAAAAUUUUCCCGAGCCCGCAUACUCGCCGAAAUUUUUGCUGGCCGGGCGUUUUGCGUGGUCUGCUAGAGUUGCUCUUAACUGUGAGCUACGCAUAAAGGACGGUAUUCGACUUGGCAAAGUCCUGUGCUACUGCUGCCACCAGCCGGUCUCCAGCUAUCUGUCGCCACUCGCCUACCCCUCCCAUGGGAGAGGAGACUUGGGGUUGCGGCAGUAGAGGCUACAGGAAAAAGAUGGGAUUGCGCCACCAGCCUGUCUCUUGUCAUCCGUUGGCCGUUGCCACUCGUCCGCCCCUGACAUGGGAGAGGAGAACAUGGGCGUGCGGCAGUAAAGGUUACAGGGAGAAGAUGAGGUGGAGCGAGGACAGGGAGAUCGCGUACCUGGGCCGUCAUUCGUCGAUGCCAUAGACGCGUCGCUCCUGCUUGUCGCCCUCCUCGCAGGAGCGGCAGCGAUAGAGGCCUACGAGACAGAGAGCGAUGUAAUUGGGGACGGGGAGAGGGAGGUGGGAGGUGGGACAAGGUGGGUACGUGGGCUUGAUACGUCUUCAACGUAUCUACAAUUUUUGAUUGUUCCAUGCUAUUAUAUUACCCCUUUUGGAUGUUCAUGGGCUUUAUUUUACACAUUAUUAUCAUUUUUGGGACUAACCUACUAACCGGAGGCCCAGCCCGUAUUGCUGUUUUUUUUGCCUAUUUCAGUAUUUCGAAGAAAAGGAAUAUCAAGCGGAGUCCACACGGAAUGAAACCUUCGGGAGCGUGAUUUUUGAAACGAACGUGAUCCAGAGGACUUGGAGUGCAAGUCAAGAAGCAGCCGAGGCGGCCACGAGAGGGUAGGGCGCCCCCCCCUACAGGGCACGUCCCCCUAUCUCGUGGGCCCCUCAGGCGGCCACCGACGUACUUCUUCCUCCUAUAUAAGCUUGCGUACCCGAAAACAUCCAGGGAGCAUCCGAAACACAAUUUCCACCGCCGUAACCUUCUGUAUCCGCGAGAUCCCAUCUUGGAGCCUUCGCCGGCGCUCUGCCGGAGGGGGAAUCGACCACGGAGGGCUUCUACAUCAACACCAUAGCCCUUCCAAUGAGUUGUGAGUAGUUUACCACAGACCUUCGGGUCCAUAAUUAUUAGCUAGAUGGCUUCUUCUCUUUUUUUGGAUCUCAAUACAAUGUUCUCCCCCUCUCUUGUGGAGAUCUCGAUCUAUUCAAUGUAAUCUCUUUUUGUGGUGUGUUUGUCGAGAUCCGAUGAAUUGUGGUUUCAUGAUCAAGUUUAUCUAUGAGAAAUAUUUGAAUCUCCUCUGAAUUCUUUUAUGUAUGAUUGAGUUAUCUUUGCAAGUCUCUUCAAAUUAUCAGUUUGGUUUGGCCUACAAGAUUGAUCUUUCUUGCCAUGGGAGAAGUGCUUAGUUUUGGGUUCAAUCUUGCGGUGUCCUUACCUAGUGACAGAAAGGGUUGCAAGGCACAUAUUGUAUUGUUGCCAUCGAGGAUAAAAAGAUGGGGUUUAUAUCAUAUUGCAUGAGUUUAUCCCUCUACAUCAUGUCAUCUUGCUUAAGGCGUUACUCUGUUCUUAUGAACUUAAUAAUCUAGAUGCAGGCAGGAGUCGGUCGAUGUGUGGAGUAAUAGUAGUAGAUGCAGGCAGGAGUCGGUCUACUUAUUGCGGACGUGAUGCCUAUAUACAUAAUCAUGCCUAGAUAAUCUCAUAAUUAUUCGCUUUUCUAUCAAUUGCUCGACAGUAAUUUGUUCACCCACCAUAAUACUUAUGCUAUCUCAAGAGAAGCCUCUAGUGAAACCUAUGGCCCCCGGGUCUAUCUCUUAUCAUAUUUGCUUCCAAUCUACUUUUAUUUGCACCUUUAAUUUUUGCAUCUAUAUUAUAAAAUACCAAAAAUAUAUUUAUCUUAUCAUACUAUCUCUAUUAGAUCUCACUUGCGCAAGUGACCGUGAAGGGAUUUUUGCGUUGGUUGCGAGUUCUUUGUUUGUUUGUGUAGGUGCGUGGAACUUUUGAGGAGCAUCCUACUGGAUUGAUACCUUGGUUCUCAAAAACUGAGGGAAAUACUUACGCUACUAUUGCUGCAUCACCCUUUCCUCUUCAAGGAAAACCAACGCAAGCUCAAGACGUAGCAGGGCUGUUUUAUUUUCUUUUUGUUUUUUUUCUUUCAAGCGAGGAGGCCCUUUUUUCACGUACGCGCAGAAGGGGUUCGAACGAGGCGAGGGGGGCCGAAUAGAGGUUGAACCAUCACGACGUUCGAUUCUGCUUUAAUAGUAGAGAUUCAGGUGGGGUGUUGUAAUAAGUCCUUUUUAGUUAGUUGGAUGAGCCUCCUGUCUUUGUUGUGAAGUAAGCUCGUGGACAAUAUUAACUUUAUUUUGAUUUCAACAUAGCUAGCAAUGAAUGAUGGCCAAUUUUGUUCACAAAUAAUCUCAUGAGACUAAUUGGGUGCUGUUAACAUGUUUUUCUACAAAUUUGGUCAACCAUAAACAAGUUUGACUUAGAAACUUCAAUUACUUUGAAAUUGAAGUAGUAUGUUGUAAAUUCGGGUGACAGUGACAGCCUUUAAACACGAUGCUCCAUUACGAAACUAAAUGUAAUGUCAAAAGGGGUCUUAUAUUAUGUGAUGGAGGGAGUAGGAUAUAUUCGUCGAGAACUACUUUCUUUACUUGUGUGUACUGCAACGCUUUCACGCAUCAUCACCAUGAAAGAAUGCUCUAGGCAUCAGCCCUAACUUCUUCAUCGUGAGCCGACAACCUACGCCUGCAGAUGGGGCACUUAUCGCUCUCCUUGAGCGUCUCCUCAAGGCAUGCACCAUGGAAGAUGUGGGGCAAGGAGCACCCGGGCCAUGCGGCGGCGUCGUUCUCCAGCGGCUCGAAGCAGACGGGGCACACCUGCCCGGCGCCCUCCUCCGUGACGAUUUUCCUCCGCUUCGCCAGCCGCUCGAAGUCGCCGUCGGCGGCUUCAUCUUCGUCCGCGCGCUGCACGUGCACCGGCUCUGGCAGGCGAAGCUCCAUGCCGACGUGGUACCCGGGCCAUGGCUCCGCCAUCAUGCCCCGCAACGCGUUCAUCACCGCAUCCAUGCGCCAAUACGUGUAGUCCUCGAGCCGGAGGAUGCCGACAUCGACCAUCACCUUGAGACGCGUGGUCCCCGGCAGGAUGCCCACGGCCAAGUUCGUGACCAGCUCAGACCAGAGUUUCUGGAGCCCGCACCUAUGGCGGGCGGGGUAUAUCAGCGGCGCCAGCGAUGACCCAGCCCACUGGAGCGAGCUCGCCACGUCACCGGAUGGCGGGACGGCGAAACGGAGAUAAUGCAGCAUCGGUUUCUUGGACACCUCCACGCCGCCGGGCGCCGCCUCAAACUCGGUGUAGCGGUAGAGCACCAAGAUCUCCUUGUCCUUGCCUUGUCCUUGUACUUGGCUGGAGGUCGGGCGAUCAGUCGGCGGCGGCACCACGGCGGCGACGUCCAAGAAGCCGGCCGUGUUCACCGAGGAGGCAAAACGCAGUGUCGGCCCAAGUAACCGGCCUUCGGGCACGUACUGCCCUUGCAGUAGCGGCGGCCCGCCUCUGGCGCUGCUCGCCACGGCCGCUACGCGAGAGUCAAUCUUGAUCGGCACCUCGACCUCGUCGUCACUCUCCUCCUCGUCAUAGCUGUCAUCGCUGUAGUACGACUCCUCGUCCUCCUCGUCAUCGGCGGCCUGAUCUCCGCCCCCAACAACCGGCGCCUCUUCUUCCUUGUCCCCCGCCAAAGCCGAGGGCGACGGGAGCGCGAGAACGCAGCCUUGAGGCUGGAUAGCCGUGCCGGUGGAGUCGCCGGGCUGCUUCAUCGUCAACGAAGCCAUCUCGUCCAUCGAUCGAUCAGCGUCGUCGUCGACCAUGGCCGGGUUUAUCAAUCGGCCGAUUGACAACGGCGCGAUGGAGCUUCUAGGUGGAGGUGGAGGUGGAGUUUGUUCUCGCCGGAGCAAGAUGAGAACAGAACGUGUUGGCUUCGAGCCCGGCUAUGUUGCCCCGCCUUUUAUCGACUCCAUCCAAUCUGAAACCGGCUCCAAGCAGUAGAAUCGAAUAUUUUUUGCGUUUGUUUCAAAAUAGGAAAGAAACGCAUUCUCAAGAAAAAUGGGAAAGAAACGCUUGUUGGAAAGCAAUUGGAAAGAAACGACUAUUUUUGCUUUCAAAAAAAGAAAGAAACAAUUGGUGGGGAAUUAAAACUGCACGAAAUUGGAAAGAAUAAAAACGCGCCUAUUUUGCUUUCAAAAAAAGAAAGAAAGAAAGGGGGAAUUCUAAAAUUGCACGAAAUGGGAAAAAAAAGACGGCGUUGCCGGGGAUCGAACCCAGGAAUACUUACCACUAUACUACAACGACCUUGAUGUUCCAUUCUUCACCGCAAGCUUAUUAUUAUGACAGAAAUCUAUUUGCUUCAUAAACUAGUCUACAAGAGUACUACGUAUGUACGGUAAGUUUCACAAUUUAUAUCGCCAUAUUCUGCAAACAUACACACAAUUUCAACCGCUUUUCGUCCAUCCCUGACUCGUAGCUGAGCUCACUUCUCCACUUCUCUGUACAACAAAGCAUCCGUGUCCUGUGCAGUGCUAGAGUAUCCGUGUGGUGUGCUAGAACCAACCUCUGACCCACGACGGCGGGCAUGCUAGAGCUAGAAGGAGAAGUCGUCGUCCUGGUUGGGCUUGGGCGAGGCGAGGAUGGCGGUGUAGAGCCGGAGCUUCUCCUCGCCGAGCGACGAGCAGCGGGACAGCGGGCGGAUGAAGGAGAGCGACUCCAGCGUGGCAGCGUCUUGCGGUGCUUGUAGCGGCGCCACGCCAGCUGCACGGCGACGGCGGUCCAGGUGCGCCACCCGGGCGAGUAGUAGCGCGCGCUCCGCCGCACCCGCUCGUUGGUGAAGGUGUAUCGGAAAUGCUGCGUCACGUACACCUCCAGCCCGAACACCUCCGUGCUCUCCAGCGUCACCAGCGACGACGAACGGCCGCCGCAGGCACCACGACAGCAGCUCGUCCCGUGAAGUUGCCCGGCCCCAGCAUGCAGCAAGUCGUCGCCCCGUUCCGCAGCUCCUGCCUAUUGGAUGUGAGAAUUGCACAAUGUAUUGAUUCGGUGCAAUGUGCACGGUAUAUAUGAGUACAAUGUCGGGCCUCUACCUCAAUCUAUACAACAAACUAGAGAGGUGGGCCUAAUGUACAAAAGACAAUAUACAUGCAUAAAUAAUAUCCUCAACACCCCCCGCAGUCGAAGCGGCAACGCGGCUGACGCAAAGACUGGACCGGAACUCCUCAAAUGAUGCCGUAGGCAAGCCCUUGGUCAUGAUAUCUGCAAAUUGGUGGGAAGUAGGGACGUGUAAAACACGAAUAUGACCAAGAGCCACCUGUUCCCGAACAAAAUGAAUAUCCAACUCAAUAUGCUUGGUCCGUCGAUGAUGCACCGGGUUAGCGGAGAGGUAGACCGCCGAGACGUUAUCGCAGUAGACCACCGUCGCGCGGUCAACAGGGCAAGACAGCUCCUGAAGCAGCUGACGAAGCCAGGAAAACUCAGCGACGGCGUUGGCCACCGCACGAUACUCAGCCUCAAUACUGGAGCGUGAGACCGUAGGCUGCCGCUUGGACGACCACGAGAUAAAUGAGGGUCCAAGGUAGACACAAUAGCCCGAGGUGGAGCGGCAUGUGUCAGGGCAGCCCGUCCAGUCUGCAUCGGAGUAGGCUGUGAGGGCAAUGUCGGCGGAGGCGUGAAGCGUGACCCCAAGAUCCAUAGUGCCACAAAUGUAGCGGAGAAUCCGCUUGACAGCGGCCCAAUGAACAUCCCGAGGAGCAUGCAUAUGAAGACACACCUACUGCACUGCAUACUGGAUCUCUGGUCGAGUCAAAGUUAGGUAUUGGAGAGCACCAACAAUAGACCGAUAGAAAGCAGCAUCCGAAGCAGGGGAACCAUCCGUGGCAGAGAGCUUGGCCUUCGUAUAAGCAGGCGUGGCGACGGGGAGCUCAUGAGCGUACUUCCGCUGAUGAAGAAAGAAGCCAUCCGGACGGCGCACGACCUCAACACCGAGGAAGUAGUGCAGAGGACCCAAGUCCUUGAUGGCGAACUCAGCGCGAAGACGAGCCGUGAGCUGACUGAGAAGGCCAGCCGUGCAUGCCGUAAGGAUGAUGUCGUCGACAUAUAGUAGCAAGUAGGCCGUGUCGGAGCCCUGGUGAUAAACGAAGAGCGAUGCGUCUGAGCGAGUGGAGCGGAACCCAAGCUCAUGAAGAAACGCCGCGAUGCGUCGGUACCAAGCGCGCGGAGCCUGCUUGAGUCCAUACAAGGACCGCGAAAGCAGGCAUACGUGGUCGGUAAGUGUCGGAUCAACGAACCCGGUGGGCUGCUGGCAGAAUACCUGCUCCUCGAGGUGGCUGUUAGAAUAAAUCCGAGGACACUGUCGAUCAUCCGAGGACCAAGCAAUCACAAAAGCACGACACCGAGAUUUGUUAACGAGGUUCACCGAUAUGGCAACAUAAUAGCGAUUUGUUGGAGUUGUGUCGAAUAUUGUGUACAAGGUAGGUUACAGUUGGACUUAUAGUUGUAUCGUGUUUACAUAGGAUGUGGAGUCGUGUCCUAGUAGGACACUUGUAUCCUAGGCCUCUGUUAUAUAGCGGGGGUAGACACACGAUGUAACCUAAGCCAACAUAACAAGUGGUAUCAUGAGCUAGGUUGUUCGGAGGCUGCGGGUUGUUGAUCUAGAGGAAGUAUCGAGUUUGAGAUGCAGUCAAGUACGGCGUGGUUCUCGGUGAGAUUGAGAAAAGCAAAUCGGAGCGAGAUGCAUGGGCAAGCAGCAGACAUGACGGGCGGCGGUUGACCGGUGGAUUGAUCGGGCGAACGUACAUAAUUCCCGGCGAGGUCGGAUCGAGCAGGCGACGCGUCGAGGUAUUCUCGAUCGACUCGGUCUCGACGAGAUAGUUGUCGUGAAGGAACAUGGACAAGUCAGGCCCAGUCCGAGGCGCGUACGGGUGGCAGGCUAGCAGUGAUUACGGUCCAGGUGCUCUGAGCGGAGGGUUUGUGCGGGCAGCGGUCCACAGGUGGACGCUUGCCGGCCGAUGGCUGGGCACAAGGCCGGCUGAUGCGGGAGGCUGCUAGCGCGUGGUGCAUGGGCACAUGCUGACGAAAACACUUGAGAUUUGUUUGAAAACAAAAAAAAGGAAGAACAAUCUGCAGUAUUUCACGUGGCAUGGACAGCAACACAAUUAAGAAAAGGGAGCUUUGGAGGUUAUGGGGGCAAAUGCUUGGUGCACCCAUGGAGACUAUCAGGAAAGUGAAAUUUUCUUUUGGAAGUGUUGCUAAUUGCACGUGAGGUUUUACCAUGACAAUGGCAGAUUGGCGAUGUGCUUACAAGGCUUACGGAGCCUUGAGCGUGUCAUGCAGCCGGACAAGUUCGGCUGGGUCGGACUAGGUAGUCUGACGGAUCGACUUGGAUGUCGCUUGAUACAGAAGACGGUGGUGGAAUCGGCGACGACGACGUAGGAGCGUGAUGCUGAUGGUGACCGACUUCUGGGGCGUGGAAACACACGUGGCGCAGGCCCCGAGGGCUUGUGUGGCUUCGACAAGACUAUGGCGCGGGGUUGAUUUAAGACGGUGCACAUGAGAGCUUGAAGUCGACGGGGCGCGAGGGUGGACUGAUCAUCUAUCAUGGAGUCAUGUUGAAGGUGGAGCUAGAUUGAGGGGCUACGGUGUAAGGAUCCAGAGAAUCGAAGCCUAUUCAGCGGGGAAAAGCGAGUGACACGUAGUUCGGACUGGAGCCCAGUGGUCUGAUGGAAGCGUCAAACUCGUCAUCGGUCGGUGAUGACCGGUGGUACUCUGCAGUGGGGGUUGAGUGGUGUGGUCUCGCGACCCUUGUGACUCGACCGGGACAGCAGAGGCUCGACGCAGUAAUAGCGGCGAGGCGUGCGGUGCGCACGGGGCAUGGAGACGGGCCAGGGCUCUGGUGGUCAUACAUGUGGUGAGACAACUGCGAAUUUGACUCGGGAUGACUACAAACAAUGGUGAAAUUCCUUCAAGUUUCAGACAGGCGGUCAAGAAAGGAGCGGUGAUGUUGAGUUCAGGUAACUCUUAUGUGUGACACCCAAUAUUUGAGUUGUUCAUUUUCACGCAGGUCAGUGAUCAGUGUGUGAUGGCAUUGGACGGAUACUCUGGAAGUUGGGAGCACAAGCUAGAGUAACAAAGAACUUAAUUUUGCUCGAGUGUUGACUAUGGUCAAGAAAAGAAGGGACUACAAGUUGCAGGUGGAGUCAUAUGGAGUCUUUGGAGUAGCAGCGGUACUCAUGGGAUAUACUCAAGUCCAAUGUACAUGGAAGUUUGAUGCAUUGACGAAUUCAAGGUGGUGGACAAUAUUCGCCAAGGUGGAGUUUGUUGGAGUUGUGUCGAAUAUUGUGUACAAGGUAGGUUACAGUUGGACUUGUAGUUGUAUCGUGUUUACAUAGGAUGUGGAGUCGUGUCCUAGUAGGACACUUGUAUCCUAGGCCUCUCUUAUAUAGCGGGGGUAGACACGCGAUGUAACCUAAGCCAACAUAACAGUGACCAUGAAGGAAGGCGUUGGAGACGUCCAUCUGGUGCACCGGCCAAGCACGGGAGACCGCAAGGUGGAGAACCGUGCGUAUCGUGCCGGGCUUGACGACCGGAGCGAAGGCGUCGGUGAAGUCGAUGCCAGCAUGCUGUCGGAAUCCAUGAACGACCCUGCGUGCUUUAUAGCGAUCAAGGGUACCAUCGGGACGGAGCUUGUGUUUGAAGACCCACUUCCCGGUAAUCACGUUGGCGUGUCGGGGACGGGGAACAAGCUGCCACGUCUGGUUGUGCAACAGGGCGUCAAACUCCUCUUGCAUCGCAGCCAUCCAGAGCGGGUCACGAAGAGCGGCUCGCACGGAGGAUGGCAAUGGCGACGGCUCAGAGGUGGACACCGCAUGGACGUAGUCAUCCGCGGUGUAGCGCGAGCUCGGGCGAAAAACGCCCGUACGAGCACGGGUGACCGGACUGGCCACAGGUGCCGGGGGCGCUGAGGAGGCCGGGGGCGCCGAGGGGGGUACCGGGGCCGAGGGCGCCGGGAGCGCCGAGGGGGGCGCCGGGGCCGGGGGUGCCAGGGGCGUCAAGAGGGCCGCGAGGGCCGCAGGCGCCAAGGGGGCGCAGAGGCCGCGACUGUAGGAGGCGCCGCAUACGGGGGGCGCGCCUCAAAGCCAGGGGCGGGCCAAGAGAGGCGCGCGAGCGCCUUGGGAGCGGCGUCGAGGGGCCCGCGUCACCGGUGACGGGAGGAACAGCCGGAGGUACCUGCUGAAACGGAAACAUAUGCUCAUCAAAGUAAACGUGCCGUGAAGUGAACACACGGUGGGAGACGGGAUCGUAGCACCGAUAUCCCUUGGAGUUGGAAGGGUAGCCGAUGAAGAUGCAAGCGACAGAACGAGGUGCGAGUUUGUGAGGAGCGGAGUCCGCACUGCUAGGAUAGCAAAGGCACCCGAAAAUAUGCAAGUCAUCAUAAGAUGGGGGCGUACCGAAGAGAAGAUGGUGAGGUGCAUAGUUCCACCGUGGGCGGCAAGGGCGAAGGUUAAGGAGAAGGGAAGCAGUAGCGAGUGCAUCCCGCAAAAACGAGGCGGCACAUUAGCGUGGAACAGGAGUGUCCGAAUGCAGUCGUUCAGAGUGCGAAGGACGCGUUCGGCUCGACCAUUCUGUUGUGAAGUAUACGGGCAUGUGAGACGAAAAACUGUGCCGUGGUGCGACAGAAAAGUGCGGAAAGCAAGAUUGUCGAACUCUUUUCCAUUGUCAGUCUGAAGAGCAAGGAUGGGACGCCCAAACUGCGUGCUAACAUAGGAGUAAAAGGCCGACAAAGUGGAGAGUGCAUCCGACUUUCGUCGUAAAGGAAACGUCCACACAUAGUGAGAAUAAUCAUCAAGAAUAUCCAGAUAAUAUAAAUAGCCCGAAUUACUAGGAACCGGAGAGGUCCACACAUCGCUAUGAAUCAACUGAAUAGGAAAGGAAGCUAUGAUGGUGGAGUUAUUAAAUGGAAGGCGAACAUGUUUGCCGACACGACAGGCAUGACAUGUGUGAUCCUCUAUCUUAUUACAACUGAAACUGAAACUCCUAAGAAUAUGACGAAGUGUGACGGGGUUGGGAUGACCCAAACGAGCGUGCCAGAGAUCGACGCUGGUGGAGAGAGCAACCGGUGCGGUGGUGGAGGUGGACGGCGGAUGCACCGGAUAGAGCUCGUCGAGGCUGUCACAUCGGUGAAGUACCAUCCUGGUUCGAGCGUCCUUGACACAAAAACCAAGCUCGUCAAAUUCAACAGUAACAGGAUUUUCACGAGUUAAACAACGAAUGGAAACAAGGUUCUUAAUAAGAUGAGGUGACACAAGAAUGUUAGACAAAGUAAUAGGCAUAGAAGUAGAAGGAAAAGAAGUGUGCCCGACAUGUGUGAUAGGUAGUGUGGAACCUCGCCGACAAUGAUGCGGCGGUCGGUGGUGACUGGAGUGAAGGAGGCAAGAUUACCAGGAUGAGCAAACAUGUGAGCCGUAGCGCCAUUGUCCAUGUACCAAUCACCACCUCCAGUGUAGUUGGUCGGCGUGGGUGCAUCAUGCAGCGCGGCGAGAAGCGCCGGAUCCCAAGGUGCCGGCGGCAGGGCCGGCGAGGGCGGCGGCAGGGCCGCAGGGAGACCGUAGGCGCCGCUCAGCUGCGGCGGUGGGUAUCCUCCGUACGGCUGCGGAGCCGCGCAGUACGCCUGGUGCAUCGAUGGGCGCGGCACGGGAAGCGUCGGUGCAGGAGCCCGUGGAACCGGCAUGGUGUAUGCAUGGACGACACCGGUCCAGGGGUUUUAGUCGGAGGCUGAUGGGGGCGGCACCUAGAGCUGCGGCGGCGCCUGAAACUGCUGAUGCUACUGCUGACCGCCNNNNNNNNNNNNNNNNNNNNNNNNNNNNNNNNNNNNNNNNNNNNNNNNNNNNNNNNNNNNNNNNNNNNNNNNNNNNNNNNNNNNNNNNNNNNNNNNNNNNNNNNNNNNNNNNNNNNNNNNNNNNNNNNNNNNNNNNNNNNNNNNNNNNNNNNNNNNNNNNNNNNNNNNNNNNNNNNNNNNNNNNNNNNNNNNNNNNNNNNNNNNNNNNNNNNNNNNNNNNNNNNNNNNNNNNNNNNNNNNNNNNNNNNNNNNNNNNNNNNNNNNNNNNNNNNNNNNNNNNNNNNNNNNNNNNNNNNNNNNNNNNNNNNNNNNNNNNNGGGCCGUACGGCAGGGGCAGUAGCCCCGGCUACCGGGGUGCCAGGUGAAGGAAAUAUGCCCUAGAGGCAAUAAUAAAGUUAUUAUUUAUUUCCUCAUAUCAUGAUAAAUGUUUAUUAUUCAUGCUAGAACUGUAUUAACCGGAAACAUGAUACAUGUGUGAAUACAUAGACAAACUUAAUGUCACUAGUAUGCCUCUACUUGACUAGCUCAUUAAUCAAAGAUGGUUAUGUUUCCUAACCAUAGACAUGUGUUGUCAUUUGAUUAACGGGAUCACAUCAUUAGGAGAAUGAUGUGAUUGACUUGACCCAUUCCGUUAGCCUAGCACUUGAUCAUUUAGUAUGUUGCUAUUGCUUUCUUCAUGACUUAUACAAAGUUCCUACAACUAUGAGAUUAUGCAACUCCCGUUUACCGGAAGAACACUUUGUGUGCUACCAAACGUCACAACAUAACUGGGUGAUUAUAAAGGAGCUCUACAGGUGUCUCCGAAGGUACAUGUUGAGUUGGCGUAUUUCGAGAUUAGGAUUUGUCACUCUGAUUGUCGGAGAGGUAUCUCUGGGGCCUCUCGGUAAUGCACAUCACUACAAGCCUUGCAUGCAAUGUAGCUAAUGAGUUAGUUACGGAAUGAUGCAUUACGUAAUAAGUAAAGAUACUUGCCGGUAACGAGAUUGAACUAGGUAUUGGAUACCGACGAUCGAAUCUCGGGCAAGUAACAUACCAAUGACAAAGGGGACAACGUAUGUUGUUAUGCGGUUUGACCGAUAAAGAUCUUCAUAGAAUAUGUAGGAGACAAUAUGAACAUCCAGGUUCCACUAUUGGUUAUUGACCGAAAACAGUUCUAGGUCAUGUCUACAUAGUUCUCGAACCCGUAGGGUCCGCAUGCUUAACGUUACGAUGAUAGUUUUAUUAUUUGUUUAUAAGUUUUGAUGUACCGAGGGUUGUUCGGAGUCCCGGAUGUGAUCACGGACAUCACGCGAAGUCUCUAAAUGCUCGAGACAUAAAGAUUGAUAUAUUGGACGACUAUGUUCGGACACCAGAAGUGUUCCGGGUGAUUUCGGAGAAAACCGGAGUGCAGGAGGGGUUACCGGAACCCCCCGGGGAAGUAUUGGGCCUUAGUGGGCCUGAGGGGAGAGAGAGGGCAGCAGCCGAGGAGGUGGCGCCCCCCUCCCAUGAGGGGUCCGAAUUGGACUAGGGGAGGGGGGCGCAGCCCCUCUUUCCCUCUCCCUCUCCCUCUCUUUCCUUCCCCCUUCUCUCUUCCUAGUUGGACUAGGAAAGGGGAGUCCUACUCCCACUAGGAAGAGGACUCCCCCCUCCUUGGCGCGCCCCUAGGGCUGGCCAGCCUCCCCCCUUGCUCCUUUAUAUACGGGGGCAGGGGGGCACCUCUAGACACACAAGUUGAUCUUCAUGAUCGUUCCUUAGCCGUGUGCGGUGCCCCCCUCCACCAUAUGCCACCUUGGUCAUAUCGUUGCGGUGCUUAGGCGAAGCCCUGCGUCGGUAGAACAUCAUCAUCGUCACCACGCCGACGUGCUGAUGGAACUCAUCCCCGACACCCUGCUGGAUCGGAGUCCGGGGAUCGGUCAGACGUGCCGUACGUUUGGUACUUGGAUCGGUCGGAUCGUGAAGACGUACGACUACAUCAACCGCGUUGUCAUAACGCUUCCGCUUUCGGUCUACGAGGGUACGUGGACAAUACUCUCCCCUCUUGUUGCUAUGCAUCACCAUGAUCUUGCGUGUGCGUAGGAAUUUUUUUGAAAUUACUACGUUUCCCAACAGUGGCAUCCGAGCCAGGUUUUAUGCGUAGAUGUCAUAUGCACGAGUAGAACACAAGUGAGUUGUGGGCGAUACAAGUCAUAUUGCUUACCAGCAUGUCAUACUUUGGUUCAGCGGUAUUGUGAGAUGAAGCGGCCCGGACCGACAUUACGCGUACGCUUAGGCGAGACUGGUUUCACCGUUACGAGCACUCGUGCUUAAAGGUGACUGGCGGGUGUCUGUCUCUCUCACUUUAGUUGAACCGAGUGUGGCUACGCCCGGUCCUUGCGAAGGUUAAAACAACACUAACUUUACGAACUAUCGUUGUGGUUUUGAUGCGAGGUAAGAACGGUUCUUGCUCAGCCCGUAGCAGCCACGUAAAAUUUGCAACAACAAAGUAGAGGACGUCUAACUUGUUUUUGCAGGGCAUGUUGUGAUGUGAUAUGGUCAAGACGUGAUGCUAUAUUUUAUUGUAUGAGAUGAUCAUGUUUUGUAACCGAAGUUAUCGGCAACUAGCAGGAGCCAUAUGGUUGUCGCUUUAUUGUAUGAAAUGCAAACGCCCUGUAAUUGCUUUACUUUAUCACUAAGCGGUAGUGAUAGUCGUAGAAGCAAUAGAUGGCGUAACGACAACGAUGCUACGAUGGAGAUCAAGGUGUUGCGCGGUGACGAUGGUGAUCAUGACGAUGCUUCGGAGAUGGAGAUCACAAGCACAAGAUGAUGAUGGCCUGAUCAUAUCACUUAUAUUGAUUGCAUGUGAUGUUUAUCCUUUAUGCAUCUUAUCUUGCUUUGAUUGACAGUAGCAUUUUAAGAUGAUCUCUCACUAAAUUAUCAAGAAGUGUUCUCCCUGAGUAUGCACCGUUGCGAAAGUUCUUCGUGCUGAGACACCACGUGAUGAUCAGGUGUGAUAGGCUCUAUGUUCAAAUACAACGGGUGCAAAACAGUUGCACACACGGAAUACUCAGGUUAAACUUGAAGAGCCUAGCAUAUACAGAUAUGGCCUCGGAACACGGAGACCGAAAUGUCGAAUGUGAAUCAUAUAGUAGAUAUGAUCAACAUAGUGAUGUUCACCAUUGAAACUACUCCAUCUCACGUGAUGAUCGGACAUGGUUUAGUUGAUUUGGAUCACGUGAUCACUUAGAUGACUAGAGAGAUGUCUGUCUAAGUGGGAGUUCUUAAGUAAUAUGAUUAAUUGAACUUAAAUUUAUCAUGAACUUAGUACCUGAUACUAUUUUGCUUGUCUAUGUUUGUUGUAGAUAGAUGGCUCGUGUUGUUGUUCCGUUGAAUUUUAAUGUGUUCCUUGAUAAAGCUAAGUUGAAAGAUGAUGGUAGCAAUUACAUGGACUGGGUCCGUAACCUGAGGUUUAUCCUCAUUGCUGCACAGAAGAAUUACGUCCUGGAAGCACCCCUGGGUGCCAGGCCUGCUGCUGAUGCAACUGACGACGUUAAGAACUUCUGGUAGAGCAAAGCUGAUGACUACUCGAUAGUUCAGUGUGCCAUGCUUUACGGCUUGGAACCGGGUCUUCAACGAUGUUUUUAACGUCAUGGAGCAUAUGAGAUGUUCCAGGAGUUGAAGUUAAUAUUUCAAGCAAAUGCCCAGAUUGAGAGAUAUGAAGUCUCCAAUAAGUUCUAUAGCUGUAAGAUGGAGGAGAAUACUUCUGUCAGUGAACACAUACUCAAAAUGUCUGGGUAUAAUAAUCACUUGAUUCAACUGGGAGUUAAUCUUCCUGAUGAUAGUGUCAUUGACAGAAUUCUUCAAUCACUGCCACCAAGCUACAAGAGCUUCGUGAUGAACUAUAAUAUGCAAGGGAUGGACAAAACUAUUCCCGAGCUCUUCGCAAUGCUAAAAGCUACGGAGGUAGAAAUAAAGAAGGAGCAUCAAGUGUUGAUGGUUAACAAGACCACCAGUUUCAAGAAAAAGGGCAAAAGAAAGAAGAAGGGGAACUUCAAGAAGAACAGCAAACGAGUUGCUGCUCAAGAGAAGAAACCCAAGUCUGGACCUAAGCCUGAGACUGAGUGCUUCUACUGCAAGCAGACUGGACACUGGAAGCGGAACUGCCCCAAGUAUUUGGCGGAUAAGAAGGAUGGCAAAGUGAACAAAUGUAUAUGUGAUAUACAUGUUAUUGAUGUGUACCUUACUAAUGCUCGUAGUAGUACCUGGGUAUUUGAUACUGGUUCUGUUGCUAAUAUUUGCAACUCGAAACAGGGACUACGGAUUAAGCGAAGAUUGGCUAAGGACGAGGUGACGAUGCGCGCGGGAAAUGGUUCCAAAGUCGAUGUGAUCGCGGUCGGCACGCUACCUCUACAUCUACCAUCGAGAUUAGUUUUAGACCUAAAUAAUUGUUAUUUGGUGCCAGCGUUGAGCAUGAAUAUUAUAUCUGGAUCUUGUUUGAUGCGAGACGGUUAUUCAUUUAAAUCAGAGAAUAAUGGUUGUUCUAUUUAUAUGAGUAAUAUCUUUUAUGGUCAUGCACCCUUGAAGAGUGGUCUAUUUUUAUUGAAUCUCGAUAGUAGUGAUACACAUAUUCAUAAUGUUGAAACCAAAAGAUGCAGAGUUGAUAAUGAUAGUGCAACUUAUUUGUGGCACUGCCGUUUAGGUCAUAUCGGUGUAAAGCGCAUGAAGAAACUCUAUACUGAUGGACUUUUGGAAUCACUUGAUUAUGAAUCACUUGGUAGUUGCGAACCGUGCCUCAUGGGCAAGAUGACUAAAACGCCGUUCUCCGGAACUAUGGAGCAAGCAAGUGAUUUAUUGGAAAUAAUACAUACCGAUGUAUGCGGUCCGAUGAGUGUUGAGGCUCGUGCCGGGUAUCGUUAUUUUCUGACCUUCAUAGAAAAUUUGAGCAGAUAUGGGCAUAUUUACUUAAUGAAACACAAGUCUGAAACAUUUGAAAAAGUUCAAAGAAUUUCAGAGUGAAGUGGAGAAUCAUCAUAACAAGAAAAUAAAAGUUUCUAUACUCUGAUCACAGAGGUGAAUUUUUGAGUUACAAGUUUGGCCUUCAUUUAAAACAAUGUGGAAUAGUUUCACAGCUCAUGCCACCAGGAACACCACAGUGUAAUGGUGUGUCCGAAUGUCGUAACCGCACUUUAUUGGAUAUGGUGCGAUCUAUGAUGUCUAUUACCGAUUUACCACUAUUGUUUUGGGGUAAUGCAUUAGAGACAACUGCAUUCACGUUAAACAAGGCACCAUCAAAAUCCAUUGAGACGACACCUAUGAACCGUUGUUUGGCAACAAACCUAAGUUGUUGUUUCUUAAAGUUUGGGGAUGCGAUGCUUAUGUCAAAAGGCUUAAGUCUGAUAAGCUAGAACACAAAUAGAAGUGUGUCUUCAUAGGAUACCCUAAGGAAACAAUUGGGUGCACCUUCUACCACAAGUCUGAAGACAAGAUUUUUGUUGCUAAGAACAAAUCCUUUCCAGAGAAGGAGUUUCUCUCGAAAGAAGUGAGUGGGAGGAAAGUAGAACUUGAUGAGGUAAUUGUACCUUCUCUCAAUUUCGAAAGUAGAUCAUCCGAGAAAUCCGUUCCCGUGAUGUCUACACCAACUGGAGAGGAAGCUAAUGUUAAUGAUCAUGAAACUUCAGAUCAAGUUGCUACAAAACCUCGCAGGACAAACAGAGCAAGAUUCGCACCAGAGUGGUACCAUAAUCCUAUUCUGGAGGUCAUGUUACUUGACCAUGACGAACCAACGAACUAUGAAGAAGCUAUGAUGAGCCCAGAUUCCGAUAAAUGGAUUGAGGCCAUGAAAUCUGAGAUAGGAUCCAUGUAUGAGAACAAAGUGUGGACUUUGGUUGACUUGCUCGAUGAUCAGCAAGCCAUAGAAAAUCAAUGGAUCUUCAAGAGGAAGAUGGAUGAUGAUGGUAGUAGUACUAUCUACAAAGCUCGAGUAUCAAAAAGGUUUUCGACAAGUUCAAGGAGUUGACUAUGUUGAGACUUUCUCACCCGUAGCGAUGCUUAAGUCUGUCCGAAUCAUGUUAGCAAUUGCAGCAUUUUAUGAUUAUGAAAUCUGGCAAAUGGAUGUGAAAACUGCAUUCGUUAAUGUAUUUCUUAAAGAAGUGUAUAUGAUACAACCAGGAGGUUUUGUCGAUCCUAAAGGUGCUAACAAAGUGUGCGAGCUCCAGCGAUCCAUCUAUGGACUGGUGCAAGCAUCUCGGAGUUGGAAUAUACGCUUUGAUGAGUUGAUCAAAGCAUAUAGUUUUAUACAGAAUUGUAGUGAAGCAUGUAUUUACAAGAAAGUGAGUGGGAUCACUACAACCUUUCUGAUAAGUACUCCCCCCAUUCGGAAUUACUCGUCCAAGAAAUGAAUGUAUCUGGAUGUAUUUUAGUUGCAGAUACAUCUGUUUUUAUCCAUUUUAGUGACAAGUAAUUCCGAACGGAGGGAGUAUAUGUGAAUGACAUAUUGUUGAUCGGAAAUGAGGUAGAAUUUUCUGGAAAGCAUAAAGAGAAGUUCGAAAGGAGUUUUUCAAAGAAAGACUUUGGUAAAGCUGCUUCCAUAUUGGGCAUCAAGAUCUAUAGAGAUAGAUCAAGACGCUUGAUAAGAUUUUUCAAUGAGUACAUACCUUGACAAGAUUUUGAAAUAGUUCAAAAUGGAUCAGUCAAAGAAGGAGUUCUUGCCUAUAUUACAAGGUGUAAAAUUGAGUAAGACUCAGAAACCGACCACAGCAGAAGAUAGAUAGAGAAUGAAAGUCAUUCUCUAUGCCUUAGUCAUAGGUUCUAUAAAGUAUGCCAUGCUAUGUACCAGACCAGUUGUGUGCCUUGCUAUGAGUUUAGCAAGGAGGUACGAUAGUGAUCCAGGAGUGGAUCACUGAAUAGCGGUCAAAGUUAUCCUUAGUUACCUAAGAGGACUAAUGAAAUAUUUCUCGGUUAUGGAGGUGAUAAAGAGUUCGUCGUAAAGAGUUACGUCGAUGCAAGAUUUUACACUGAUCCAGAUGACUCUAAGUCUCAAUCUGGAUACAUAUUAAAAGAUGGAGCAAUUAGCUAGAGUAGCUCCAUGCAGUGCAUUGUAGACAUAGAAAAUUUACAGAAUGCAUAUGGCUCUGAAUGUAUCACACUCAUUGACUAAACUUCUCUCAUGAGCAAAACAUGAUCACACCUUAGUACUCUUUGGCUGCUAAUCACAUAGCGAUAUGAACUAGAUUAUUGACUCUAGUAAACCCUUUGGGUGUUGGUCACAUGGUGAUGUAAACUAUGGGUGUUAAUCACAUACAGAUGUGAACUAUUGGUGUUAAAUCACAUGGCAAUGUGAAAUAGAUUAUUGACUCUAGCGCAAGUGGGAGAAUGAAGGAAAUAUGCCCUAGAAUCAAUAAUAAAGUUGUUAUUUAUAUUUCCUUAUAUCAUGAUAAAUGUUUAUUAUUCAUGCUAGAAUUGUAUUAACUGGAAACUUUGUACAUGUGUCAAUACAUAGACUAAACAAAGUGUCCCUAGUAUGCCCUGAUGUCUGCUAGAACUACGUCGGUAUUUCCCCAAAGAGGAAGGGAUGAUGCAGUAUAGCGACGGUAGGUAUUUCCCUCAGCGAUGAGACCAAGGUUAUCGAACCAGUAGGAGAACCUCCUCACACCACGUAAACACCACCUGCACACAUAUAUAAAAUACUCGCAAACUGACGUGUUAAAGGGUUGUCAAUCCCUUUCUGGUACGGCGCCUCUAGUGGGCAAAUAACGUGAGGUAAAAAAUGGUAGAUCAGAUAAAUAGAUCGCGGAACAAAUAAAUUGCAGCAAGAUAUUUUUUUAUUUUUGGUUUAAUAGAUCUGAAAAUAAAUGCAAGAGAAAAUAGAUCGCAAAGGCAAAUAUGAUGAAUAGAGAGACCCGGGGGCCGUAGGUUUCACUAGUGGCUUCUCCCGAGAGAAAAUAGCAAACGGUGGGAAAAGAAUUACUGUUGAGCAAUUGAUAGAACUUCAAAUAAUCAUGACAAUAUCCAGGCAAUGAUCAUUAUAUAGGCAUCACGUCCAAGAUUAGUAGACCGACUCCUGCCUGCAUCUACUACUAUUACUUCACACAUCGACCGCUAUCCAGCAUGCAUCUAGUGUAUUAAGUUCGUGAGCAAACGGAGUAAAGCAAUAAGAACAAUCACAUGAUGUAGACGAGAUUCGUUUAUCUAUUGCAACAGAUAUAGAUCUCAUCUUGUUAUCAUUAGUAGCAACGAUACAUACGUGUCGGUUCCCUUUCUGUCACUGGGAUCAAGCAUUGUAUGAUUGAACCCACUACAAAGCACCUCUUCCCAUUGCAAGAUAAAUAGAUCAAGUUGGCCAAACAAAACCCAAAUAUCGGAGAAGAAAUACGAGGCUAUAAGCAAUCAUGCAUACAAGAGAUCCAAGAAAACUCAAAUAACUUUCAUGGAUAAGAACAUAGAUCUGAUCAUAAAGUCAAAGUUCACCAGAUCCCAACAAACACACCGCCAAAAGACUUACACCAUAUGGAUCUCCAAGAGACCAUUAUAUUAAUAAACAAGAGAGGGAGAGAGGAAGCCAUCUAGCUACUAACUACGGACCCAUAGGUCUACAAAGAACUACUCACGCAUCAUAGGAGAGGCACCAAUGGAAGUGGUGAACCUCUCCAUGAUGAUGUCUAGAUUGGAUCUUGGUGGUUCUGGACUCUGCGGUGGCUGGAUCAAUAUUUCGUCGAAUCCCCUAGGGUUUCUGGAAUAUUUGGGUAUUUAUAGAGCAAAGAAGCGGUUCGGGCGGCACCCGAGGUGGGCAUCACCCACCUGGGCGCGCCUGGGCCUCCUGGCGUGCCCUGGUGGGUGUUGCUCCCCUCGAGUAGCCCCCAGGUGCUUCCUUGGCCCACUGGCUUUCUUUUGGCCCAAGAAAAUCCUCCAGGAGUUGCGUUGUGUUUGCACUCCGUUUGAUAUUGAUUUCCUGUGAUGUAAAAAAUAUGCAGAAAAUAGCAACUGGCACUAGGCACUAUGUCAAGAGGUUAGUACCAAAAAAUGAUAUAAAAUGACUAUAAAAUAAUUGUAAAACAUCCAAGAAUAAUAAUAAUAUAACAGCAUGGAACAAUCAAAACUUAUAGAUACGUUGGAUACGUAUCACCAUCCCCAAGCUUAAUUCCUGCUCGUCCUCGAGUAGGUAAGUGACAAAAACAGAAUUUUUGAUGUGGAAUGCUGCCUAACAUGUUCAUCACAUUCUUUUCAUUAUAGCAUGGACAUAUGGACUUUUAUAUGAUCCAAAGCCAUAGUCUAGUUUUGACAUAAAGACAUUAAUACUCAAGCAUACCAACAAGCAACCAUGUCUUUCAAAAUAUCAACACUAAAGCAAGUUAUCCCUAGCCCAUCAUGCUCAAUCAUUGAUCCAUUCAUGAAACACACUCUAAUAUUAGCUACACCCAAUGCUCAAAUACGAUCAUAGUGACCCUUAAUUUGUGCUUUAUAAGAGAAGAUGGAGACUCAAUUCAAAAUAAAAAUUGCAUAAGUAAAAGAAAGGCCCUUCGCGGAGGGAAGUAGGGAUUUGUAGAGGUGCCAGAGCUCAAAGCUUAAAUUGAGUUAUAAAAUUAUUUUUGAGAGGCAUACUUUUCCUACCAACGAAAAUAACUUGGAGCAUCCCAACACUUUCCAUGCUAGAUACAUCAUAGGCGGUUCCCAAACAGAAAAUAAAGUUUAUUCCUUUUUCCACCAUAACUUUCACUUUCCAUGGCUAGCCGUAUCCUCUGGUGCCUUCCAUACCAUCACUUUCUAAGGAAUUUAUUAUUUGACAACAUAAAGUAAAUUCAUUUAUUCAUUUCGGGACUGGGCAUCCCUAGUACGUUUGACGUACUCUCAUGCAAUGACAAGUGAAUAAACACUCAUCGUUAGAAUAAUACAUCUAGCAUGGAAAAUAUAGGCUACCCUUUACCGCCUCGCGAGUAGAAGAGCACACAAAAGAGAAAUGUAUUUUGAACAUUAAGAUGGCACAUGCUAAUUUUCUUAGAACGACAUGGAAAUAUCACUUAUAGGUAGGUAUAGUGGACUCAUAAGGCAAAACUGGUUUAAAGUGUUUUGGAUGCACAAGUAGUGAUCAUACUUAGUGCAAAAUGAAGGCUAGCAAAAAGAUUGAGAAGCGACCUACCAAAAAGCGAAAAAUAUCGUACCCAAGCAUUAAGCAUAAGUAACACCGAAUAAUGCACCAUAAGUAGGAUAUAAAUUUCAUUGCAUAACUAUUGACUUUAGUGCUUGCAUAGGGAAUCACAAACCUUAACAUCAAUAUUCUUACUAAAGAACAAUUACUCAUCAACGUUACUCGCAUAUCAUAUCGUCAUAUCUCAAAACCAUUACUAAGAAUCAAGUUUAUUUUGUCCGAUAAUCUUCAUGAAAGAUUUUAUUAUAUCCCCCUUGGAUAUCUAUCACUUUGGGACUAUUUUCGUAUGUUGCUUUUGAUAGGCUCAAACAAAUAUAAGUGAAGAUCACGAGCAUAUUUUUUCUUUCUCUCAAAAUAAUCUAAGUGAAGCAAGAGAGAAUUUCUUAAAAUUUUACUAACUCCCAAAUGAGAUAGACUAGGGAUAGAUGUUUAAGUAGUUUUCGGUGCUUAUCUUCAUAUCCUUUGAACCAAACCUCUCUCUUAUCCCUUGUUCUCCAAGCAUGUAAUCUCAACAACAAUUGUAUGCGCUGUUAUCCAGGGAGGUGCACCCCUGCCAUAUAAACAUGCAACGCGCCCCUCCAACGAGGCAAGACGCUUUCCGCCUAUCGCACAUGGUAAUCAGAGCAUCUCUCUUCCAAUACAUCCAGCUUUCCAAUCUCCAUUAGUGCCUAGCAUGUCUUCCUCCGGCUCCGCCCAGUUCGGCCUCAACAACCAGGUCACGGAGAAGCUCACCCGUACGAACUACGUACUGUGGCGUGCCCAGAUCACGCCGCAGCUAAGGGGAGCUGGCGUCUUCGGCUAUGCCGACGGCAGCACACCGGAGCCAGCCCGCGUCCUUCCUGGCAAGGACAAGGACGGGAAGGACUCAACCGUGCCCAACCCUCUCCACCCCAUCUGGGUCCGGGAGGAUCAACAAGUGCUCGGGUACCUGCUCAACAAUCUCUCCAAAGAGGUGUUGGUGCAGGUGACCGCGAUCACCACGACGCACGCGCUCUGGACAACCUUGGCGGCCAUGUUCUCCUUGCAGUCGCUUAGCCGCAUCAACAACAUCCGCACGGCUUUGCUUCAUGCGCAGAAGGGAACCCAGCCGGUCGCCUCCUUCCUCGCCCACAUGCGCGGCCUCGCUGAUGAACUCGUCGCGGCCGGCAAGCCGCUGCAAAACGACGAGAUCGUCUCCUACGUCAUCCACGCGCUGGACAUGGAGUACCAGCCUCUGGUGUCAGCCCUCGACGCUCGCACCUCCCCUGUCACCCUGGAUGAGUUGUUUACCAUGCUCAGCAACUUCGACCAAUGCAUGGCACUCUACCAGGGGGCGGGUGGCUUCAAGCCGUCCGUGAACGCCGCAUCACGCGGCCGCGGCAGUCGCCGCGGCGGUCCUCCACGCGGCAAGGCAUGCUCUGGUGGUGGCGGUAACAACUCCAACCCUCGCGCCGGACGUUCCCCCUCCACCAACCCCAAGGGACGCGGCGGUGGUGGUGGCCAUGGCUCCAACAGAGCACGCCCCGAUGCACCGCGCUGCCAGAUCUGCGGCAAGCUCGGGCACAGUGCUCGGGACUGCUGGUACCGCUACGACGUGGACGACGACUCCUCCCAGGACGAGGACAAGGUGGCGGCUGCUGCAGACGGCUCCUACGGCGUCGACACAAACUGGUAUGUCGACAGCGGGGCCACCGAACACAUCACCAGCGAGCUUGAGAAGGUGACCACGUGGGAGAAAUACCGCGGCAAGGACCAGAUCCACACUGCCAGUGGUGCAGGUAUGAGGAUUCGUCACGUUGGUCACACAAUUAUUAAAACUCCCCAUCGCAAACUUCAUCUUAAGAAAAUCUUGCAUGUCCCUAGUGCUAGCAUGAAUCUUCUCUCCGUUCAUAGAAUUUCCAUUGAUAAUCAUGUCUUCUUAGAAUUUCGUCCCUUUUUCUUUUUGAUCAAGGAUUAGGCAACGAAGAAAGUUCUUUAUCGAGGUAGAUGCAUUCGAGGGCUCAACCCGUUGAUUUCGGAGCAUCGAAGAUUCAAUAAACGAGUCUAUGGUGUUGCCAAACUUUCAUCAACCCGAUGGCACGAUAGAUUAGGCCAUGCUUCUUUUUCUUUAGUUGAAAGGUUGCUUAGGAAAAAUAAGCUCCCGUUUGUUGGUGAGCGCAAUAUCGAAACAGUUUGUGAUUCAUGUCAACGUGCUAAAAGUCAUCAGUUACCCUAUCCUAUAUCAACUAGUGUGUCUACAAAACCAUUGCAAUUAAUCUUUUCCGAUGUUUGGGGUCCUGCCCCUAGCUCCGUUGGUAGACACACUUAUUACGUGAGUUUUAUCGAUGACUAUAGCAAAUAUUCCUGGAUCUAUCUUCUUAAGAAAAGGUCCGAUGUCUUUCAGGUUUUUCAAAACUUUCAAGCUCUUGUUGAGCACAAGUUUGACAGCAAGAUUAUUGUUGUUCAAUCAGACUGGGGGGAGAGUACGGAAAGUUGAACUCUUUCUUCCAAAAUCUUGGCAUCUCUCACCAUGUGCCAUGCCCUCACGCUCACCAACAAAACGGCUCUGCAGAACGCAAACACAGACACAUUGUCAAAGUAGGACUAGCCCUCUUAGCCGGCGCCUCCAUGCCCCUCAAAUUUUGGGAUGAGGCUUUCCUCACGGCUGUCCACAUCAUCAACAUGCUUCCUAGUCGCGUUAUCAAUAAUGAGACUCCGGUAGAGAGGCUUCUUCACGUCAAACCUGACUACAAGUCACUUCAUGUGUUUGGUUGUGCGUGUUAGCCUAAUCUCCGUCCUUACAACAAACGCAAGCUCAUGUUCCGUUCAAAGCAAUGUGCUUUUCUUGGUUAAAGUGCCUUGACAUCUCCACUGGCCGUGUUUAUAUUUCUCGUGAUGUAAUCUUUGAUGAAACCAAGUUUCCUUUUGCUGAUCUCCAUCCUAUUGCCGGCGCUCAGUUACGUCAAGAAAUACUCCUUUUGCCACCUCAUCUAUCCGGCCUUGAUCAUGGGGGAGAAAAUAUUUGUGUUGAUCCAGUGGUGACUAAUCCUCUUAACCUUGCUCAUGAGCUUUGUGAUGUUGCAGGAGAAAACGGAAGUGAAAACAGAGAAGAAAAUGAUGCACAAAUUCAUCCCCAAGUGCCAUAUUUCAUGUGUCACGAUGUGGGGAGCAAAUCUGCCUCGGAGUGCGCCGGAUCCGCCUCGGGAUCGCUGCAGGAGCAGCAGCGCAGGCAAUCUGCACCGGGAUCCGUGCAGGCUGACGCAUCAGAGCCGACAGCGGGCCAACUCGUCCGUGCGACCGACAGCGCCUCCGCGCGCGCCACGCGCUCGCCCGCAGCUGGCGCCGACCCCGCAUCUGCGCCGCUCCAUUCAGCGGCUGACACCUGGCAGCACUCGGGUGGUUGAAGCGGCGUGCGUUUCCCGGAUGAAUCGCGCUGCUACAAGUGGCGCGUUGAGGCGCAGCUGACGGGCGCUGGAUCCGGUGCUGAUUCGCAUGGGCCCAUGCAAUCAUGCGCCCCUGAUGAGCCGGUCGGGAGGCUGGGAUCUUCUGUGGCUUCUCCAGCACCUGCGUCAAGGGCCGAAGCCACAGAGGAUCCAGGGCGAACACGAGGUGAAUCUGCCCGGGAAUCCGCAGCGCCCACAACUCCUGUCCUGAUGUAGGAUCUUCUGUGGCCGCUCAUCCUGCUGCACCGUCACAACGACAAACACGGUUGCGACAAGGUGUGAUAAAACCCGUUGAUUAUAAGCAUAUAACAAAAUAUGGCCUAGUUUGUUCUACAGGUGAACCCGGUGAGCCAAGUACACUUGAGGAAGCACAUGGUGAUGAAAAGUGGAAAAGGGCAAUGAAGGAAGAAUACUUGGCACUUGAGAAAAAUAACACAUGGCAUCUAGUCCCUCCACAACAAGGUAAAAACCUCAUUGAUUGCAAAUGGGUUUUUAGAAUAAAAAGGAAAUCUGAUGGUACUAUUGACCCAUACAAGGCAAGACUUGUUGCCAAAGGCUUUAAGCAACGAUAUGGGAUUGACUAUGAGGACACCUUUAGUCCUGUUGUUAAAGCUGCAACCAUACGCCUUGUUUUGUCCAUUGCUAUUUCUAGGGGCUGGAGUCUCAGGCAACUGGAUGUACAGAAUGCGUUUUUACAUGGCGUUCUGGAAGAGGAGAUAUACAUGAGACAACCUCCUGGGUUUGAGAAUAAAAAAAACACCCUCAUUUGUAUGCAAACUUGACAAAGCACUCUAUGGGUUAAAGCAAGCACCAAGGGCAUGGUACUCACGCCUUUGUCACAAGAUGCAGACACUUGGUUUUGUUCCUUCCAAGUCUGACACUUCCAUGUUCAUUUACAAUAAACUGAACACAUCCAUAUUUGUUCUCAUUUAUGUUGAUGACAUUAUUGUUACAAGUUCAUCUGAUGAAGCAAUAACUGCAUUGUUAAAGGAUUUGAGUACAUAUUUUGCUCUUAAGGAUCUUGGAAAUCUUCAUUAUUUCCUAGGGAUUGAAGUGAAGAAACAUGAUGAUGGACUUCAUCUCUCCCAAGAAAAAUAUGCCACUGACUUGGUAAAAAAGGCUGGCUUGCAAGGUUGUAAACCCUCACCCACUCCUUUGUCAAGUCCUGAAAAACUGUCUCUUACAGAAGGUACACCUCUAAGCAAAGAGGACAGCACUAAAUACAGAAGCCUAGUUGGUGCACUACAGUACUUAACUUUAACAAGGCCUGAUAUCUCCUUUGCUGUGAACAAAGUAUGUCAGUUUCUUCAUGCACCCACCACCGUUCAUUGGACUGCUGCCAAACGUAUAGUUCGAUAUGUCAAAAAUACUUUGAGCAUUGGUCUUAAUUUCAGCAAGUCACCAUCCACCUUGGUCAGUGCCUUCUCUGAUUCUGAUUGGGCAGGUAGUCUAGAUGACAGACGGUCCACUGGUGGGUUUGCAGUAUUUUUUGGUCCUAAUCUAAUAUCAUGGAGUGCAAGGAAACAUGCAACUGUGUCUAGAUCCAGUACAGAGGCAGAAUACAAAGCCUUGGCAAAUGCAACAGCAGAAAUCAUAUGGGUUCAGUCCAUUCUUAGGGAACUUGGUGUGAAAAACACUAAAGCUCCAUGUUUGUGGUGUGACAACCUUGGUGCUACUUAUCUGUCUGCUAAUCCUGUGUUUCAUGCUAGAACAAAACACAUAGAGAUAGAUUUUCACUUUGUCAGAGAAAGAGUUGCCAACAAGCAACUUGACAUUCGAUUUGUACACUCCAGAGAUCAAGUUGCUGAUGGGUUCACCAAGGCUUUGCCCACACGGAGUUUUGAAGACUUCAAGCAUAAUCUCAACUUGAUGAAGUUAUGAUUAAGGGAGGGUGUUAAACGCAGCCUUGUAGAGAUAGACUAGGGAUAGAUGUUUAAGUAGUUUUCGGUGCUUAUCUUCAUAUCCUUUGAACCGAACCUCUCUCUUAUCCCUUGUUCUCCAAGCAUGUAAUCUCAACAACAAUUGUAUGCGCUGUUAUCCAGGGAGGUACGCCCCUGCCAUAUAAACAUGCAACGCGCCCCUCCAACGAGGCAAGACGCUUUCCGCCUAUCGCACAAAGCAUUGCAGGUGGAGACUCCAAAACUUUGAUAAUGUUUCAAAUUUGCCCAAACGAGAAUGACCCUGGCGAAACUCUCUCGUCUCUGAACUUUGUGAGCAGAAUGAGCAGUAUAGAGCUUGGACAGGCAAGGAAACAAGUUGAUGUUGGAGAACUGUCAAGAUAUAUAAGCGGAUGGUACUUGCUCUAUUGCCCUCCCUGUUAGUUCAUGCUUUAGUAUGAGUUUAGCCUCCACCUCUGAAGAUUUCAUGGUAACUUGCAUCAGAGCUUUGCAUUCUAUGUCUGAAUACCUGACUGCAAAUAUGGUGUUGGAGAUAAAGAAAAUGCAUUGCCGCAUCGACAUGAAAUCAGAAUAUUCUUGCUCCUUUUUUAUGCAGCAAAUGCUACUGAACAUGUUAAGAAGAGUCAUGUACUGAUUGAGAUUCUUAGGGAAGGACAAGAAUAUGUUGAGGAGAGUGGAGUUUAAAGAUGACUGCAACUAAAGCUGCUGGUUUUGUUUUGUUUUCAUCGCCCUUGAACCGAACAUUUCCUCCUUUGCACAAAAUGUAUUUUUAGAUGCUACUCACCCAAAGUGUUAGAAUAUGAACAUUUUUAUAUCAAUUUCAUUUUUUAUAUCCCAACUGGACAUUUUUUUAUCGAUUUCUUUUUGUAUGAAUCAUUUAUUGUUUGUUACGGUUGGGCCAGUCCAUUUUCAGAAUUAUCGUGCGCAUCAUGGUUGUCAACUUGUUUCACUGGAAGGAUAACAUGAUAUUAAAAUAUAGUUAACAAUAGGUUAUCAAGUAUGGGAGGAUGUAUACAGAUUUAACAUGAUUUCUUGUUUAAUGAAGUCUUGAUUUGUUAGCUUUAUUUUGCCACUACAAAACUACUUUCCUUCCUACCAGGUAUGCUACAGUGAGAAGGAUCAACAAGGCUUCACUAAAAUUUUGUGCUUGGGAAAUGAUUUCAAACUUCCAAUUCCACGUAACAGUGAGAGGGGCAACAAGGUUGCACGUUAUUCAUAUGCUGGAAACCAAACAUAUAUAGAGGAUGUGUGAUAUAGAUUCAAGAGGCAUGUUGGUUCAUGAAGAUUUGUAAUUCCAAUUAUUUGUAUGAGUAAUUAUUAGAUGCUAUCCAUUUCAUGUGGAAUUUGAAACUUUAAACAAAUUUAUCAUAUAUUUGGUUAGGAUUUAUGAUGUUUGACAUAAUGUGUGUUACUGUAGACGUGCGUUGCACGUGCACACUUACUAGUAUAAAAGAAACGAAUCAACGCCCGGCAAUCCAGUCAACAUCCAACGCCCCCACCAAAAUCGCUAGACGCACCGGAGUAGCUUAUCCCUCCAAAUCCCCCAAUAAUAAACGUGUCAUGCCCCAAUUGGUCAGUUUUUCACUGAUAGGAAAAAAUCAAAAAACCAGGUAAAAGAAACCUGGCUAGGUUUAGUAUAUUAAUAAUUUUAGGACAGUACAAAAUCCACAUCCAACUGAUAGAUAUACUGGUGGUUCUUCGUAUUGUUGCCUUGCCUUAAUUUUUGUGAAGGAAAAGGGGAACUAUACAGUUUGAUACUGCUAUUGCAAAGAUCCUUGUACUAUAGUAGCUUAAGUAUGGCCGCCUCAUUUUCUGCUACAUAUGUAAGUGCAGUUCGAGUUGAGAAUACAUGAAAUGUAUUUUGAGAAAGAAGUUCAAAGAUCUUUGUUAUUUGGGCUUCAAAAUAUUUGUGAAAAAAAGUACCUUAGUUUGAAUAUGUAUAAACUUAUACACGGUACUUACAGUAAUCUUCUAAUUCAAGGACAAUUGCAGAAGUUUACUUGGUGAAGGUCUUGGAUCACUCAGCAUCACAGACUCAAAGAGCCCGAAGAGCUUUAAAAGCAACCUGAUUCAUCUGUAAGGGUAAUUUCUUAGUUUUCAUAUGAUCGCGAUGCAGAGGCUAGGAGCGCUGUCUCUUUCAUUAUCUAGAAAAAGCUACAUAUUGUUACAUAUCCUUUUAUGUCGUUGUGUAGCUUUGGGUGCUUCUGGUUGAUUUCUACUUUGUUAGAUGAUCGUGGGUGAUAUUAAGCUACUAAAUGUAGGGUUUGGUAGUGCCUUUUGGUCAGUAUUGUAGGUAGAUCAAAAGUAUCUGUAUUAUUUCAUUUAAUUAAAAUUAAGCAGGCCUCUGCCUGUUCAGAUCAAUGAGUUGCUUUGCACAAUUUAUUUUUUGAACUAUAUGAAGUUUGCAAUUGUGGCUAUUUGAUUCCACAUCAUUGUUCUAGGAAUUGAAAAUGAUAGAUUAAGGCUUUUAGUUUCAUAAUGCAAUACAUCAUAUGUUGGAACACAAAAAAAUGUGAAUCAGUUUCGGUCGUGCAGACAUAGCAUAUGCUUGAUCAGCUCACUUUUCUCCAGAGAUAGGUAUGUCUUUAACAAAAAUAAUUUAUUCUUAAAUUGUAUUAAUAAAGUUUCUUACUGUUCUCGACAACACGGUGAAUAACUUUGCAGGAAGAUAUGUUGUGUGAAUCAAAUAAGUUCCUUAGAAGAAAAGUAAUAUCUCUUGCAAAAUAGUAUGGACUGACUUCUUCCAACUCAUAAUUAUGGUUUUGCGUAGUUAACUAACAUAGUAAUUUUCCUUGCUUUCUGCAUAUAGUUAACUAACAGCAGGGACACUGCCAUCUAGGAAUAUAUGACCAAAACAAAUCGGUGGUUUCAUCCCUGAGCUUGCUGUACUUCUCCCAGGGAAAGGCUUUCCUGUAUGUCGAAGCAUGUGUAGCUAGCAUGAUUGGUGUGAUUUGAAUCUUGAUAUCAGACCUGCAAAUUGGCCAUGUUAUAUCUUUCCAAUUAUUUAUGUUUCGUUUGCAAGGUCAAACUUAUACUAUGCAAGUCUUGUUUGAAGAAUGGUUCUGACAUAGAACAUGUAAUAUGCCUGCUUUUCAGAAACCAAAUGUAUGCUAACUUGAAGUUUACACUAGAGGGUACAUACAUAGCAGAGAAGAUUCAUGAUACUAGUUCCAAGUAUAUUCUUGUUAUCUGCGAGCGACUAAAAAAUGAUGAUGUAGUUACACCGGCCAGUAGACGUGUCUCGCUAUAAUUGGGUAUGCUAAGUAGGGAACACUAUAUAAUUCUGUUAAGACAUUGUUCUUUGAGUCUUCUAUUUGUGUACAAAGUGAUGACAAAGCUAAGGGCAAGCCAAUGGAAGUAGACAACAAUUUGUAUUCUUGUGGGGGAGGGGAAUGUCGCCAUGGACUCGGUCAUGCUUCAUUAACACCGACGAGCAUGACGGUUGUUCGAGAAAGGAAGUAGUUGAAACGGAAUGUCGGGAGUGUGAGGUCUAUGAUUUAAUUUAAUUUCAUUGCAAAUAUCAGUGAGUGUCAUGAUGGAACAAAGGGUGUGGCUUGAAGUGCAAAGGUAAUUAUUCCCCAUGUCGAGAAAAUCUAAAUUAUUGAUCCAUUACAACACAUGGAUAUAUAUAGCUAGCCCUACAUGUAUUCUUUAUGACCUAAUUGAUGGGUGUGAGCAUCGAUGUGACAUGCCAUCUGGUGUUCAUCUCAUAUAGGUGGAGGCUCCACAACACUAACCUUCUAUAAGAGGAGAGAUAACGGGUGGAUGGUGGUAAGCAAUGGUGACAAGAGGAGAUGAUGUUGAAGGGAGGACGGCAUGAUGAAACGGGCAUUGGCGAUAGCAUGUAAGGAAGAAGACGGCAAGCGUACAUAAUAUGUAAGAGCACCUACAGCCGGGCACCGCAAACCAGCCUCAAACACAUGGUUUUGUAUGAAUUUGGGGUAGGACAUAUGAGGGAUGCAGCUGUGAAACACGAGAAAUGGGGUCCGCGCGGUCACCUUGCGGGCGCGUCUACGGGCGUAUAUGGGGCAUAAUUUGGUGACCGCGGCUGUAGAUGCUCUAAAGGGGAAGGGCCGGUCCAUGACUCGAGGGACAUGACGAUAGAUUCAUCACAUUUGCAGAAAGGAGAGGAAGUGGUUCGGUGUGCUCACAUAGAGAAAAAGGUAUAUGUUUGUUCCGCGGCAACGCACGAGCACUCGACUAGUUUUUGUAAAAGAAAAAGGAAAUUCUUGAGAAGACACUCCAUCUGCACUGCACGUGCAUCAGUUUCGCGAGCGAUUCCUUUUCCGGCGACCCGAGCAGGCGUGGCCUCCGCACCGCUCGACCAGAUCGGUGGCAUGGCACAUUGGUCCUGUCGCGAAUGGUCAACCAUCGAUGACUCGUCAAGCUACUUCACAAUUGAUGCGCACAGUGAUGAUGGUAAUAUCUCCUUAGCGAAGCUAUCUCAGCCGCUACCAGCGAUCAAACCCAGCUAGGAAUCUAUGAAUCUAUAGAGAUACUAAGGGCGUGUUUGGUUCAAGUUUUAAACAGUAGUCGCAUUGCAUACACUUCUCAACCCAGCCUGGUUGAGAAAAAACAGGCCUUAAUAUGCCAUAUGCAACUUGUUUGGUCGCCUGCAUCUAGUGUCCCUGCAUUAGGUAAUACGCAAGUGCACUUUAUUUGGUUGGCUUCAUUGUCCCUAGCGGCACAUGAACACGGCGUUUGGUUGCAUGCGGCGUACAUGUUGUGCUUACCUUGUACCCUAGUUAGUGAGCUUACCCACAAUGAUCACACCUAGCACACCAACGCCACAACGCAGCAAUGGUGACGAACUGGGCGAAGAUGAUGAAGUUCUCCAGCUUCAGGCCGAACUGACGAUCCACCUUUGCAGCUUCCACUUUGACAGCUCCAACCUUGACACUGUCGACACUGCUGCCUACAUGCUUUCGCACCCAGGCGGAGUAAGCUUGUUCUGUUGCCUGCCUAACUCUUGAACCCUCUAUAGUUGUUGUUGCUAUACGAUGCCACUUGUGCAUUGGCUUCUUCCCAUGAACUAUAAACCCCUGGAACCUCACCGAUGAACACGGCAUACCACUUGCCCUAGCAAUGCACAAGAGCAAGAGUUGAAGCAACAAAUCAAUGGAGCACAAGUAGCAAGCAAAGUAGCACACAAACAACAAUGGAGCAGAAGAGAAGUAAAGCAUGCAUGAUCAUAUGGCAUGGCAAGUUCAACCUAACACUACCUUGGUGUUAACCUACCGCCACAUCCAAAAGAGGGUGUCGUCCUACCACCGCAAGUUCACCAUCAGCGUGAGGGGUUAGUAUAUACCAUAUCACCAAAAUAUACGGACCAUCAAAUAGUUUUUGAGCCCUAGCUACACAAAAUGUACGUCAUCAUCGUCAUCGUCGUCGUCGUCGCCACCGCCAUCGCCGUCGGGGAUCAUGCACGCUCACAGGCAGCACUACUCUAGUUGUAGUGCUUGCCCAGCCAGCUCCUGAGCCACAUCACCCUGUGAGCAUCGGCCAUGGCAACGAACCCAACACCCUGGCCUUGUUGUCAAGCAGGUGGCUGAGAGCUGCCAUGAGAGCCUCGUCGCUGAAUCCACCCUCGGUCAUGACAGCACCAUACAGGUCAGGGUGGACGUCGAGGGGCUUGCACUCCCCUGAUGGCUGUUGCCACCUCCUUCACUGCCCGAGUCAUGCUGCAAAAGACAUUGAUCUCCUCCUCCAUCAGUCCUCCUCUCUUCCUCUUCCAAUCAUGGACGGGGUCAAAUGGCUUGUCGAAGGGAUUCACAGCUGGCUUGUUAGGGCCAUCAAGGACCUCGACGUCCGGGGUCCAGGGAAGUAUGGCAUGGGAGAACCAAGAGGCUCGCCCGAGCCCAUGGCAUGCUUCCCAGUUGCCAGCCUGAAGGAGAAGAUGUGUUGCAUCUGGUUGUAGUUCUGGAUGGGUGUGUUGAGGAACUCAGCGUCCCUUGGGUGGUCCUAAGAAUGAAACACAAGUGUUGUUAGUUGCGAUUAGGAGUAGGCAAUGGUGGACAGUAUGAAAAGGAAGAGGGCUGUGAGCUAACCGCCACAUGGCCGGCGUACUGCUCUGCCUCCAGAACUAUGGAGCAAGUGUUCUCAUCCCAUGAUGCGCCGCUAACGUCUCUCAGCUUGCACACUUGGAUCCAUCGACUUCUCCACUUCCUCAGGUGGUUGUACACCUGGGUGGCAGACACCUCUUGCCCACAGAACUCGAACACCUGCUUCGCAACGGGCCAAAUUCUUCCCGCGCGGGCCAGGCUGGGCCUAAUGCGGACAACCAAACACUCCCUAAGCUCCCAUGAUUUGAAGCGUUAUGGUGCUUUGGGGGUUGUGGUGUUGCUAAGGGCUCCGCAUGUAAGGUUAUGUGCUACGUAUUUAGUUUUAUUUAUUAAAUUUUUCACAUUCUUAUUAAUGAGAAAAUUUGUGAGUAUUAAAAUCAUUUUUUGAAAAAUUUAACAUUUUGUUCAGAUUCAUUAUGAUUUAUUAAAUUCGUGGAUAUUUUUAAGUUCACGGUCAUUUUUAAUGUUUGUGAACAUUUAAAAUUUGAAAGCUUAUUUACUUUUUGAAUAUUUUUUGAAAUUCAAGAAAUUUUUCUAAAAUCAAUGAUUUUUAAAUUUUCAACAAUUUUAAAUCCUUGAAAAUCUUUUAAUUAAACUAACACUUUCAAAUAAAAAAGAUAACCAAUUAUUACGGAGCUGGCGGUAGGACGAGCGGAAAAAGAAGCUAACCAACCGAGAGCUUCGUGGGGCGGCCCAUAUGCAAGUGUUAUAGCAUCAAACAACUCCACUCUCCUCUCGGAACAAAUAUUGUCUCCAGAGGCAACCUGACACGAGAUAUACGAACCAAAAAAAAAACACCACCAAAACAUAACUAAAAUACAAGCCAACAAGGAUAAAAUCCAAACAAAACUACCGGUCACAAUAAUCUACCAGAUAUAAAAGAGUUAAUCAUGGGUGUGAAGAAUGGCGCGUUAGCCUCUAGUAUUUUCAUAUGGCUGGCUUCAACGGGGUGCUCUCGUUAUUCUGUCUGCACACGGAAGCAGAAGGCCUCCGGGUAGAGAUCUGGAUACGGAGCAAGGGUACAGACUGGUACCUUGCUAGGGUGGUCGAGCUGAGACCACGAAUUGAGGGAGUGGUAUACUUGUGGCCUGGAGAAAAGAGUGACACGCUGCUCAUCAACUCGAACGCAGAGGAGAUGUAUGUUGCUUAUCUCGACACCGGGGCAGUGGAGAAAAUAACAAACAAAUUUCAUGGUUUGACAACGGAUGAUGCUGUUCCCAUAGAAAUAGAUUGGCCGUCUUUGUUCAUGUCUCGGCUUGGUGGACGGUGAUAAUACUAAUAAUGGGCAAUUGUUCUAUUUCGUGAUCGAGUAAUGCUAGACAUAUGAAAGGCUGUGUAGACAUUUUAUGGGGGUGCUGAUGUGGAUGAUUAGGAUUGAACUAGUCGUCAACCCGUACAUUCGCACGGUCUAUAUAUAUUAUAAUUUUUUUAAAUAUUGGAUGGCUUAGAAUCUCGUCAGUAUACUAUACAUGUUGGUAAAAAAACCUAUAAUAUUAGGCUGUAGUCCGAAUACGGUCCAAUGUUGUCAUCCAGAUGAAAAUCGGCAUUUAUCACUUUAUCAGUCUCAUCAUUUCCUGAUAAUAUUAGGUUGUAGUUGUAGCACCAUCGAACAGCAUUGCCGAGCACGACUAUAUUCCCCAACAGGUCAGAAAGUCAACCAAACAGAGUCUGCUUGCCCAUCAAAUUAAGAGAGACCAUGUCAAUUGGAGGCAUGAAUUUUCUAUUCAUAGAUCAUCACACGUACUGUACAAAUCUCAAGCUUAUGAAAAGGCGCAUUCAAUGAGUGGCUUCGUAUCUAAAGUAUAAAAUUAUUUUCUUAGUUCAACAGACGAACUGCAUAAUUUUGAAGCUUGGGGAAAAGCGCAUUCAGUCUUCAAACACUUAGACUAGCCACAAUGGGUAGUAACAUAGAGUAGUAACAUGGGCAUGUUACUACUUUAUGUUACUACCUCUACAAUGGGGAGUAACAUAUGUAUAGUAACAUGCAACACUUUAUUUAUUAGGCUAUAGACUCAUCUUGCCUUGAUAUGUGUGAUGUUACUCAUACUAGUAGUAACUAGCUAUGUUACCACAUACCUUUCUUUCUUCAUUUAUUGCUUGCCACAUCAUCUAUUUUAUCUAGAUAUGUGUGAUGUUACUACCUAUGUUACUCCCAUUGUGGGUAGUCUUAUACUUAUAAGACUGCUAAUCUCACGUGUUAUCUCCCCUGGUUGGAUGGUAUAUCAAAGCUUCGAAAGAAGAUAUCUGAUAAACUGCAAAACAACAUAAUUAAUGUUAUAGAACCUGAAGUUCUAAAGUAUCUGAAGCUAAUGUGUGAUUACAACAGAGAGGAGUAUGAGCAUUUAAAAAUUAAGAAAACGGCACCCACUAGUGCAUCGUUUGUAUUAGAUGAAGGCAUGGUUUAUUGUUCUAAAAUCAAACCCCUCAAAAUCUAAAGUCUCUGCAAUGAAUCAAACUCUUACGCGUACAAUGUUGAGAAUUAUUAACAAUAUUGUAUUUUUUCUGGGAGAUCUAAAAAUAUUGUCAAUCGAAACUGCCUAUUAAUUCAUUAGACAAAGAUCAAUACACAAAAAUCUAAAUAUAAUGGCGAUAUGCAGCAAAGUCAAAUCUUACUAGUGGAGAAAAUAACGAACAAAUUUCAUGGUGUCACUACAGAUGAGUCUGUUCCCAUGGAAAUAGAAUGGGCAUCUUUGUUCAUCUCUCGGCUUGGUGGACGGUGAUAAUAGUGGGCAAUUGUUCUUCUCGAUCGAGNNNNNNNNNNNNNNNNNNNNNNNNNNNNNNNNNNNNNNNNNNNNNNNNNNNNNNNNNNNNNNNNNNNNNNNNNNNNNNNNNNNNNNNNNNNNNNNNNNNNNNNNNNNNNNNNNNNNNNNNNNNNNNNNNNNNNNNNNNNNNNNNNNNNNNNNNNNNNNNNNNNNNNNNNNNNNNNNNNNNNNNNNNNNNNNNNNNNNNNNNNNNNNNNNNNNNNNNNNNNNNNNNNNNNNNNNNNNNNNNNNNNNNNNNNNNNNNNNNNNNNNNNNNNNNNNNNNNNNNNNNNNNNNNNNNNNNNNNNNNNNNNNCUCGGGUAGUUGACCUAGCCGCCAACAGCGUGGCUCAUCAGUCCUUCUAAUCUCCACGUGAUGCCGUCGGAGGAUGCCGGCGGGCUAAGCCCAUGCGGAAUACGGAGGCGGUGGGGCCUUCUCUAGUUGGUGCCAUUUAACUCUGUGCAUUUUGUUUGUAUAGUUUGGUUUAUAUGUUUGUUUGGUUUGUACAGUAUUUAUAUUUCGGAAGAUACCAUAUUAUGAAAUUAAAUACGGUUUGUUUUUUAUAUAUACCUAAUUAUUUUGGUAUUGUUUUGAUAUAUACAAUAAUAACCAAAGUUGAUGUGAAUUAAAAAAUGACAUAAUAAUAUUUAAAAAAUGACACACCCACACACAUGUGGAGAGCUGGCUUUGGUACCAUAAUAAUCUUUUUUGAAGCAUGGUCACCGGGUCGGUCAGUGUAUACACUACUGGAAAAUUCAUGUUUGCCGAGUGCAUUUCGUCAUGGUACUUGGCAAACAUAUCUUUGAUGAGUGCCAUCGAAAAAAAAACUCGGCAAACAAGCGAAACUCGGUAAACAUGUGCUUUUCAUAGGGUCGUGGACAAAACACUAGUCAAAACAGAGGAACUCAACAAAAAAGUGCUUUCAUGUGUCUUUCCCGAGUGUUACACUCGACAAAAGGGGUAUUCACUGUGCUGCAUUGUUUUCGCUGUCGAGAUUGCAUACGACCUCAGAUGAAGAUGAUACAAAAAUCCAAGUUUUUCAUUUUGACGAGACAAAUCAUUUUCAUGUUGAGAUUUUUUUUCAUUUUAGGCCAUAUUAAUAACAUUUCUUGCCAUGCCAAAAUAUGGUCUCAAAUGUUUAAGGCAGUGGUCAUAUUUAUUGCAUAGUUUAUGACAAAUAUCACUUAGGUGCAUCUUGCCGUUACAAACAAUGUUUCCAAAUAGAUUUUCCAACUUUUUUGUAAACAAAUAUAUGUUUCCAUUUUCUAAGUGUCAAAAUAGAUAUUUUUGUGAAGCAGGCUGAAAAAAGGUGCAAAAUGGCACCAGUCCAAUUUUCACAAAAUGUACACCAUGUUUUUGGAAAAUUCCCAACUUUUGUGGAUUUCCUAGAUUUCUAGCUACUUUCUCACAUUUAAAUGACUUUAUGUCGAUUUCCCAAAAGCAAUUCAAAUUUGAACUGCAAGUAUGUGAUAACUUUGUCCUAAAAAUUAGCAAAAAAAAUAUUUUUAGUAACACAAGUAGUCAUUAUACGGAAGAACCACUUAGAGUUUUGGAUAGCCAUGCCGGCCAUUUUGACCCUGUUUUGGGAAAAAUGAUUGACCCUGUUUUGGGAAAAAUGAAAGAAAAAGAAUACAAGUUCAAAAUAUGCAAUUGUUUCACGUGGACUCCUCUUAUUUGUACUUGUUGCGAAAAAAUGACCAAACUUCCAAUAUGAAAAUUCUGAAAAAAAAAUCAUUCACAAAAACGGGCAAUCGUGUAUCACCAUUCAUGGCUUUCAAGUCAAACUACCAAGAUGAUGGUCAUAUUCACUAUAGUUUAUUAUAAUUUUCUCAAAUUAGACGCAUAUGUGCAUCUUGCCAUUACAAACAAUGUUCUCAAAUAGAGUUUCCAACUUCUUCAUAAAAAAAUCAUUUCAUAACAAAAGUAUGGAUGUUAGUUUUCCUUGAUCCAUCCAAGAUUCUGUAUAUAUUAGUGGAUAAAGGCUGAAAAGUUUUACUGUACACAUAUGACUGCCGCUUGAAAUGUGAAAUAGAUGGGUACCGUUUUGACUUGCUCUGUUGUGUCUGCUGGAGGCACUGCCAGGUAGCGAGGAAGGUGAUUCUGAAACCAUUGGUGGUCUUGAAUUUCACGAAUUGUGAUUCUCUUCAUGGGAUCGACAAGAAGCAUUCUUGGGAUCAAAUCCUUUGCAAGAUCAGAUAAAUGACUUGGAAGGAUAUAGUUACCUCCCUGGAAUACCAAACAAGGGUAGUCAAAUCUCCAGACAUAAAAUGAAUGCUAAAGUCCAACUAAUCUACAAAAGGUAUACACUUGUCAUAUCCAACUUAA
rnacentral:lncRNA from 1 species